ACGAUGAGGGGUAGCUUUCUUGCAGCUCCAGCGGCAGGAGGGGUAGAAUCCCGUGCUUCUCGGGGCAGGAAAACCCUGACCCAAAUGUUCUUAUCUGGGUUGACGGUGAUAUCUUUGGAGAGCACUGGGAUGUGGGUGGUGUGAUCAGGUGAUGGAGCUGUGGAGGGUAAGGUGACGAGCCUGGUGACGGAGCCGUCGGGGUUGUUGACCAUCUUGAGAUAGUCAUUGAAAUUGGGUACUGCAGGGUAAUCUGCCAUGUUGAUCACUGUAAUAUUUGUGGGUAGUCUGGCAAUGAGCUAAAGGAUAGUCACUAGACUCACAACUAGAUAUAUUUAUAGACUUAUGGGAUUAAAACCGUGUUUGGAAACCCUAAUUUGAAAAUCUAAUUCAUCAUCAUGGCCUCGUACAAAAAUACUUUAUUAUUUUUUUUAUAAAAAUAAUAAUUUAUUUUAAAACAUGUACUUAAUAAUUGAAAUAAUUAAAAAUAUUUAUAAAAAAAUAGGUUACUUACAAAGAAAAAAUCACGAGAAAAGACAAAUUCAUAAAUAUAUUUUGUAUUUAUACCGAAGAGUAAAGGGGACAGGGAUGUGUGCAAUCAACUCCCAUAAUCAUUCAUUAUUAUUACAUUGGAAAUUAAAAGUAUAUUUUAUAAUUUAUUGGACUUAGGCUUAUCAAAAUAAUUCUAAAAAUAGGUGUACUAACUUUCCACAUGAAGCAGCGCAGUGCUAGUCCAAAUAAUCAGAGGGCCCGAUAUCCCUUUCGACUCUUCACGGGUUGAUUCACUUCAUCUAUAUUUGUUGGCCAUUGUUUAAGCAACUUGGGGACUGGCCAGCCCCACAUUGUCACAUUGAUUGUUUGUAGCUCAUACACUUGCAAGCUAGCAAUGGACAUAGAUAUUCAAAUACGUACCUCACCAAAACGUCAAGAUCGAUUUUGUUGGUCAUGGUUGUAUUGUGUGGAAGGACAAAAGCUAAAAGUACCGUCAAUGAGUUCCAUUAAAAGUGUAGUUUAAAGUGGGAUAACCCCAAAGCAUACCCUAUUUGUUGUUCAACAUUGAGGUUGAGGUGCAAGUUACGUAAAGGGUAGGAGAGAUCAGUCUUUUUCUUUUCGAUUUGAUGUUGAUUUGAAUAAAUCAAAGUAACGUAAGGAAUAAUGAGAAGAAAAGUCAUGCAUUUUGAUUGCCUUAUUCAUCACGGCACCACCAACAUAUCAUUCUUGAUUCUUACCUAGAAUAAUGUAUAGUAAUUUCUUCGUGUAUUCUGAUUUGUGAUCGCAUGGUAUUAGAGUACAGAUUCUAGGACGUAUACAAUUUCUGUGGAAUAGCAGAAAGAGAGAAGAGAUAGACCAAAGAGUUUGAGAGCAAUGAGAGAACCUGCCCCCUUGAUAGAACAACUCCAAGAAGAGAAUUCAAUCCAGAAUAACACUGGUGUUGAACCAGACUCAAACUACACCGAGUCAUGAAUCUGCUGCUGCACCAAUUGGAAUCAAAUUGGACGACAUCAAUUAUGCCCUUUGGUUCUAGGUUGUUGAGAUGUAUAGCUCGGGCAAAGAAAAGUUGGGGUAUAUAAAUGGUGAUUUUCCUAAGGCCCCGAGAGACAAAUCCUAAUUUAAGAAGAUGGGAACUGAAAAUGCAGUGGUGAAGGGAUGGUUGAUUAAUUCUAUGGACCCAAAACUGAUCAGCAACUACAUCAUAUUUCCAAAUGCAAAAGCGGUAUGGGAUACCAUCGCCACAACAUAUUUUGAUGGUACCGACGCCUCACAAGUUUAUGAUCUCAAGAGGAAAGUGACGAGACUCCAGCAAGGCGGGGGAUCUAUCGAAACAUAUUACAACAAUCUUCAAGGCCUAUGGAGGGAAAUUGAUUUUCGUCGCCCAAAUCCAAUGAAAUUUGAAAUUGAUUCAGGUAACAACAGUUGUUUUUCAAUUUACACGAGUAAGAUUUUAGGUGUGAAACCUGCAUUGAAGUUAAGAGUCAUCAUAUACCUUACCCAAUAAGGUUGAAAAAAUGUGAGACUUCUUUUACUUUAAUUCAUUCAAACGUUUGGGGUCUUGCUCCCAUUUUAAUUUCUUCGGGUAUCAGAUGGUUUGUGACUUUUGUAGAUGAUUGUAUACGUAUGACUUGACUUUAUUUGAUGAAAAAUAAGCAUGAAGUGUUUGAAAAUUUUCAAUCUUUCCAUUAUAUGAUAAAGACACAAUUCUCUGCUAAACUUCAAAUUCUUGGAUCUGAUAAUGGUUAGGAAUAAGACAAUAAUGAGUUUCAAGAAUAUUUCCAAGCACAUGGUCUUUAUCAUUAGAUCACUUGUUCUCAAACACCACAACAAAAUGGAGUUGUAAACAAGGAUUAAAAUAUUGAUAAAUAUGAAUAUACCCGUAUUUGGAUUUAUGAAUAUAUAAAAAAUAUCGGAGAAAUAUAGCGGAUAUUUUGAUAAAAAUAUCAGUGAGGUGAAAAUUAUUCAAUAUUCACAAGAAUGUUUGAAAAAACUUCAAAAAAAAAAAAAAAAUGAUAAAAUAAGUAAGUUAUGCUAAUUUUUUUUUAUAAAAAUUUGAUAAAUAUUAUCUUUAAUCGUACAUAUAAUAUUUAUCAAAUUUUUAUAAAAAAAUUAGCAUAAAUUCCUUUACUAUAUUUACAUUAAUUUAUUUUAUAAAUUAAAAUACUUUUAUUAAAACAUAUUUUUAUUACAUUUUAAAUAAAAAAUUAAAUUGAUUUAUAUAAAAUAUUUUAUUUGAGAUUUGAUUUCUAAAAAUUUAUUACAAGUGACAAUUUUUCUAUUAACAAUAAUUUAUUUAAAUAAUUGAAAUUAUUACUAAUUUAUCUUAUCAAAUUAAUUUUAAUUUAUAAAAUAUUAGGACUUCAUUAAUUUUUUUAUAUUGUAGCAAUUUUUGAGUAAAAUUAUAUUUUUAAUAUUUUAAAAUAAAAAUAUUUAAAAUUAAAUAAAAUUAAAAGGAUAAAAAAAAGAAUGAAGUGAUAUUAAUUUUUUAAAAUAACAGUAAUUAAUGAGAUAAAUAUAAAAACUAGUUAAAAAUAAAAUGAUAGUAUAGAUUUAAAAUAAAAAAUAAAUUAAAAAUGAAUAAUUAAAAAAUAAAAAAAGAUAAAUAUUUUUUAAAAAAAGCUUUCAAAAAAAUCUCUGAUAUUUCCUAGAUAUAUCGAUAUAUUUGUCGAUAUAUCUAUGAUAUUUUGAUAGGCUUUUUCCCCUACUUAGCGCGUCGCUUCACACUUGAUUUUUUCAUUGAUUUAUCGGUUCCAAACUAAUAUAGUGCCAAUAUUUCUACGAUUUUCCCGAUAUUUUUUCGAUAUUUCUUCUGUUCGAUAAUCAAUGCUCAAUAUCCUUUCGGGGCCGUCCGAUAUCCGAUAUAUUGGCGAAAUAUCACCGAUAAAAACUGAUUUUUCAAUCCAUGGUUGUAAAACAAAAAAACAAACAUAUCCUCAAAACAGCUCAAGCACUUUUAACUGCAGCUCAUGCACCCCGACGCUAUUGGACAUAUGUGGUUGUUAUUGUUAUCUACUUGCUAAAUCGAAAGUCAUCUCGAGUCUUGAACUUGGAAACUCCACUAGAAGCCCUUGCUCAUCGUGUACCAUUGCCCUUUAUCUUAAUGCUUCCGUCGCGAAUAUUUGGAUGUGCUUAUGUUCAUCUUCACAAAAACCAGCGUACAAAACUUGAUCAUUGUGUUGUACCUGGCGUUUUUUUGGGUUACAAAGCACUUAAGAAAGGCUAUCGGUGUUGUGAUCCCACUACAAGAUGUCUUUAUACCACAACGGAUGUCACUUUUCUUGAAUCUGAAACUUUCUUUCCUAAACAAGAUACUUAUUCUUCUCUUCAGGGGGAACUACUAAGUAAAUAGCAAAAUUGGGAAAAUUGGGAAAACUAGCCAGGCUUUAAUAAGAUGAACAUGGAAAGCAAUCAAAAGGAUGACACAGAUGACACAACUAGAAAUGAUGAAGCUUAAACACCAUCUAUUCUAGUUGAGGCUCAACCAUAAAAUAAUGAAACUCCAGUUGAUCUAGUUAAUUGGGACUCAACCAGACGAAGAAAUGGAGUCGACGACAGUAAUAAUGGAACAGAGAAAAGAAACUGAGGAUACCGAGACUAUGAGUAAGGAGGAGCAGUCCACCUCUAACACUUUAGUACCAAACGACCACUCUCUUGAGAAUACUCUUGAGGUACGAUCCCUAAAUUCCUCUCCUAGAAAUAUUAUAGAUGACUCUAUUGGUUAUAGAUUACCUUUCAGACAUAAUUGUGGGAAGCUAUCCAAGCGGUACUCACCAGACCAUGGAGAAAGGAAGUCGAAGUAUCCGAUCGCCGACCAUAUCUCUACCCAUAGAUUAUCACAACCUCUCAAAGCUUUUGUCCACAAGCUAUCUUCUGAUCAUGUCUCGAAUAUAGUACAAGAAGCCUUAAACAACCCCAAGUGGACCCAAGCAAUAAUUGAAGAGAUGACAACAUUGCAAAAGAAUGAUAUGUGGAUGCUUGUGCCCUUGCCAAAAGAGAAGAAAACGGUGGGAUGUAGAUGGGUGUUCUCCAUUAAACACAAGACAGAUGGUUCAAUAGAGAGAUAUAAGGUGAGACUUGUUGCGAAAGGAUAUACCCAAACAUACGGUAUAGACUAUCAAGAGACGUUCUCACUAGUAGCACAGUUGAAUACUGUUAGAGUAUUGUCAUCUCUUCCUGUAAACUUAGAUUGACCACUACAUUAGUUUGAUGUAAAAAAUGCAUUUCUUCAUGGAGACCUUGAGGAGGAAUUGUGCAUGGACAUUCCAUCGGGCUUUACUACCUUGUUAAGAACAAAGGUCGUGUGCAAGUUGUAGAAUGCAUUAUAUGGAUUGAAACAAUCUGUUAGAAGUUUGCUUUUUGGACUGCCACGUUAUGUUUUAAUUUUUCAAAGUUUGAAUAAAACUGAGUCAUUGUUAGUUCAUAUUCUUUAGGAGAUGUGAGUCCACUUUCAUAAAUUGUGGAUCACGUACUAUUUGUUUUGAAUUUGAGAUUUUUUUUCUCUUUUCAGUUAUUUCCCAGUUCUAUAAAUGUACGCUGGAUGGAGGAAAUAAAAAAAUUGACUUCCGUUGAUAUAUUUUCUCUAUUUUCUAUUGUGUCUUCUUUCCUUAACUUGUCUUAAAACACCAACAAUUGGUAUUAGAGCAUUAUAUUCUUGAGGGACUGUGAGUGAAAAAAAUUGUGAGUUUUCAAGAGAGUUGAGGGCCACCAAAACACCACGUAUUCCGCCAAAAUUUCAAGCAUGGAAGGAGACUCAAGUUUCUCAGCAAUGGCACCUCUAGUCUGCAGUGGUUAUAAUUACACCAUAUGGGCUGUGCGGAUGGAAGCCUACCUAGAUGCUGUAGAUCUAUGGGAGGUUGUUGAAGAUGACUAUGACGUUCCUCUACUAUCAGACAACCCAACGAUGGCUCAAGUCAAGAAUCACAAGGAAAGGAAAACCAGAAAGUCUAAGGCAAAAACUUGCCUAUUUGCAGUAGUUUCAGCUACAAUCUUCACCCGAAUUAUGUCUUUGAAAUCAGCCAAAGCCAUAUGGAGUUAUCUCAAAUUUGAAUAUGAAGGAGAUGAUCGAAUUAAAGGCAUGAAAAUGCUGAAUCUAAUAAGAGAUUUCGAGUUGCAGAAGAUGAAAGAGUCAAAAACCAUCAAAGAGUACUCUGAAAGGCUUUUAAGCAUAGCCAACAGAGUAAGAUUGCUUGGUUCGGAGUUUAAAGACUCUCGUAUUGUUGAAAAAAUUCUGGUUACUAUUCCUGAAAGAUUUGAAGCUACCAUAACCACUUUGGAAAAUACCAAAGAUUUGUUCAAAAUCACGUUGGCAGAGUUGUUGAACUCUUUGUAGGCACAAGAACAACAGAUGGUUAUGAGACAAGAAGCAACUGUAGAGGAAGCCUUGCCCGCCAAACAUGAAGUUGGUUGGAGAAACAAAAAGAAGAAAAAUAGAAAGCAUCAACAAGCAAAUGGAGAAGCUGCAGCGCACAGGAACAACAAAAACAAAGCUGGAAGUUCCAAGGGAAAGUACCCACCUUGUAAGCAUUGUGACAGAAUUGGCCACUCAUCGUUCAAGUGCUGGAAAAGGCCAGAUGCUAAGUGUAACAAGUGCAAUCAACUUGGACAUGAAGCUAUCAUUUGCAAGAACCAAAACCAGUAGCAAGACGUAGAUGCCUAAAUCGCUAAUGAAGAUGAAAAUGAUCAUCUCUUUGUUGCAACUUGUUUUUUAGGUAGCAUUUCAAGCGAUAGCUGGUUGAUUGACAGUGGAUGCACCAAUCACAUGACUCAUGACAAGGAACUUUUCAAAGAAUUGAACCCUACAAGAAUUGCAAGAGUCCGGAUAGGUCACGGUGGUCAUAUUCCUGUGAAAAGAAUUGGAACUGUUGCUAUUGCAACCCAUUUAGGUACUAAAGUCAUUAAUGAUGUGCUUUACGUACCUGAAAUAGACCAAAACUUGUUAAGUGUUGGUCAGCUACUAGAAAAAGGUUUCAAGGUGUAUUUUGAAGAUAAUUAUUGCCUGAUCAAGGAUGCCUCUGGUCAAGACUUGUUUAAGGUCAAAAUGAGAGGAAAAAGUCUCUCAUUAGAUCCACUUGAGGAAGAACAAAUAGAUUUUCCAACAAAAGAAAAUAUUGUUGAGUUAUGGCAUAAACGGCUGGGGAACUAUCAUUAUCAAGGGCUUAUCAAAAUGCAAAAAUCAGAAAUGGUGGAAGGCUUACCUGAGUUUGAAGUGAUUUCCACAAGCUGCCAGACUUGUCAAUAGAGAGCCUCAAAUAAGUUGCAGCUGAUUCACACCGAUGUUGGAGGGCCUCAAAGGACACCCUCACUCAAAGGUAGUCGCUAUUAUAUCAUUUUUAUAGAUGAUCUGACCAGAAUGUGCUGGAUAUAUUUUUUGAAAUUCAAAUAUGAGGUUGGGAACACUUUCUGGAAGUUCAAAGAAAAAGUGGAGAAUGAAAGUGGCUGCAAAAUUCAGAUUUUAAGAUCUGAUAAUGGCAAGGAAUAUACUUCAUGUCAACUCAAUUUAUUUUGUGAAGAAGCAGGAAUUGGACACCAACUUUUAGCUCCUUAUACUCCAGAGCAAAAUGGACUGAGUGAACGAAGAAACCGAUUUAUUAUGGAGAUGGCCAGAUGCAUGCUGCAUGAGAAGAAUUUGCCAAAGAAAUUUUGGGCAGAGGCUACAAACACAAUUGUAUUUUUUCAUAAUAGACUCUCUACAAAGGCAGUAAAGAAUCAAACUCCUUUUGAAGCAUGGUAUGGGUACAAACCUCCAAUGACUUUUCUUAAAGUGUUUGUUGUCUUUGUUUUACCUAUGUUUCUCAGGUUAAACUAGAUAAACUAGACAAAAAAGGUACUGCAGGAAUUUUUAUUGGUUAUAGUAUAGUUUCAAAGGCUUAUAAAGUCUUCCAGCCACAUACUCAUACUAUAAUAAUCAGUAGAGAUGUCCACUUCAUGGAAAAUGAAGAAUGGGAUUGGGAAGAUUCAAAGACAGAGCUUGAAACAAGUUUUUUAGAUGAAAGGAAGGAUGAUCCACCAGUAAGAGGUACUCGAUUGCUCUCUGAAAUUUAUCAGAGAUGCAAUGUUGCAAUUUAUGAACCUAUCGACCAUGAAGAAGCACUCAAAGAGUCCAAAUGGAAGGAUGCAAUGAAUGAGGAGCUGUUCAUGAUUGAAAAAAACAAAACCUGGGAGCUUGUUGAUAGACCUCAAGAAAGAAAGGUAAUUGGGGUAAAAUGGGUGUUUAGAACCAAGCUAAAUGCUGAUGGUUUAGUUAACAAGUAUAAAGCAAGGCUUGUAGUUAAAGGAUAUGCACAGAUUUUUGAUGUUGAUUAUUCUGAAACAUUUGCUCUAGUAGCAAGGCUUGACACAAUCAGAUUACUUCUUGCUAUUUCUGCACAACUUGGCUGGAAAGUGCAUCAGAUGGAUGUUAAAUCAGCAUUCCUUAAUGGAAUUCUUCAAGAAGAAAUUUAUGUUGAGCAACCUGAAGGUUUUGUUAUGGAAGACAAAGAAGACAAAGUCUAUUGACUUCAUAAAGCUCUUUAUGGCUUAAAACAGGCACCAAGGGCCUGGUAUAGUCGAAUAGAUGAUUAUUUGCUUGGUUUGGACUUUAAAAAAAGUCUUUUAGAAUCCACACUUUAUGUUAAGGAAAAUAACAAUAAAAUUCUUGUUGUUUCUCUUUAUGUGGAUGAUCUUUUGAUUACAGGAAGUAGUGCAAAGCUUAUUGAUGAGUUCAAGCUGGAUAUGAUGCAAGUUUUUGAAAUGACAGAUCUUGGUCUAAUGACAUACUUCCUUGGAAUGGAGAUCAAGUAAGGAAAAGAUCAAGUUUUUAUUUGCUAGAGAAAAUACGCAAAGGAGAUUCUCAAGAAGUUCAGAAUGGAAGAUUGCAAAGAAAUGAAUACUCUCAUGAACCAAAAAGAAAAGCUAAGCAAAGAUGAUGGAGCUGAAAAGGUGGAGGAGACAUACUUCAGAAGUCUCAUUGGCUGUUUGAUGUAUUUUAUAGCAACAAGGCCUGAUAUAUUGUAUGUUGUAAGUGUUCUAUCAAGGUUUAUGCAUUAUGCUAGUGAGGUGCAUCUAAAGGCAACAAAAAGAGUUGUGUGGUACAUCAAAGGAACUAUCGACUGUGGAGUUAAGUUUCAAAAGAUUCUAUAUAUGAAGCUGUUCGGGUAUUCUAACAGUGAUUGGGGUGGUUCCUUAGAUGAUAUGGAGAGUACUUCAGGGUAUUGUUUCAGUCUUGGCUCAGGAAGUUUCUCAUGGUGUUUGAAAAAAUAGGAUAUUGUGGCUCAAUCUACUGCGGAAGCGGAAUUUGUAGCAGCAACCGCGACAGUAAAUCAAGCAUUGUGGCUGAGGAAAAUUUUGGUUGAUUUGCAUAUGAAGCAAACACAAGGUACUGAUGUGUUCGUGGACAAGCAAGCUAUAAUAGCAAUUUCUCACAAUCCUGUGUUUCAUGGGAAAACCAAGCAUUUCAAUAUCAAACUCUUUUUUUUUAGAGGUGUGCAGAAAGAUGGAGACAUUAAUCUUCGCUACUACAAAACGGAAGAGCAAUUGGCUGACAUAUUCACAAAGCCUUUGUUAGUCAGUAAGUUUGAGUUUCUCAGACAAAAGCUUGGAGUUUGCAGUUCCUAAAGCAAGGAGGAGUGUUAGAAGUUUGCUUUUUGGACUGCCAUGUUAUGUUUUAAUUUUUUAAAGUUUGAAUAAAACUGAGUCAUUGUUAGUUCCUAUUCUUUAGGAGAUGUGAGUCCACUUUCAUAAAUUGUGGAUCACGUACUAUCUGUUUUGAAUUUGAGAUUUUUUUUCUCUUUUAAGUUAUUUCCCAGUUCUAUAAAUGUACGCUGGAUGGAGGAAAUAAAAAAAUUGACUUCCGUUGAUAUAUUUUCUCUAUUUUCUUUUGUGUCUUCUUUCCUUCGCUUGUCUUAAGACACCAACACAAUCACUUAGAGCAUGGUUUGAAUGAUUUAGCUUGGCUAUGAGGAAGCAUGGUUUCAAACAGAGUAAUUUGGAUCAUACUUUAUUCUUGAAACAUCGAUAAGGGAUUAGUAACAACUCUAAUAAUUUAUGUUGAUGAUAUGAUAAUUACAAGGAAUGACAAGGAGGAAAUCUCUAGCUUGCAGAAGCAUCUGGCAAUCGAAUUCAAAAUGAAAAAGCUCGAAGGGUUAAAAUACUUUCUAGGUAUCGAGUUAGAUCAUUCAAGUCAAGGAAUAUUUCUAUCACAAAGGAAAUACGUGCUCAAUUUUCUAUCUGAAACGGGAAUGCUCCAAUGGUACAAAACCAUGGUUUGAGAGAACACUCGAUCCAAGUACCUACAGACAAAGAAAGGUAUCAAUGACUUGUGGGAAAACUGAUCUACUUGUCUCAUACACGAUUGGAUAUUGCUUAUGCUGUGAGUUUGGUAAGUCAAUUUAUACAUCAUCCUAGUGAAGAUCAUAUGAAUACGGUGCUCCAGAUUCUACGAUACUUGAAGUCUUUUUCAGGUAAAGGAUUGAUGUUCAAGAAAUGUAAUCAUUUGAACAUUAAUGGUUAUACGGAUGUUGAUUGGGCAGGAAAUACUAUUGAUAGAAGAUUUGCACCAGAAUAUUUCACUUUUGUUGAAGGUAAUCUAGUUACUUGGAAAAGCAAGAAAUAGAAGGUGGUUGCAUUAUCUAGUGUAAAGGUUGAGUUUAGUGGCAUGACUAAAGGACUUUGUGAGCUUCUUUAACUAAAGAGGUUAUUGGUUAUUCAUCUGAUUUUGCAAUGAAUUUGUUUUGUGAUAAUAAGGUGGCUAUUGAGAUUGCACAUAACCUAGUUUAGCAUGAUCGAACAAAACAUAUUGAAGUGGACCGACAUUUCAUCAAGGAAAAACUUGAAGCUAAAACAAUCUAAUUUCCUUUUGUAAAACCGGAGGAUUAGUUAGCAGAUAUACUUGCAAAAGCUAUCUCAAAAAAGUAUUUUAUAACUCACUGGACAAGUUGGGCAUUAGAGAUAUCUAUGCACCAACUUGGGGGAGUGUUGGCGUGAGUUGUUAUUAGAGGAUUUUGUGGACAGAUUAUAGAGAUUUUUUUAAUUCUAAUUUAUUCUUUGGCUUCCACUAAUUAUGGAAUACCCAAGAUUCUUACCUAGAUUAAUGUAUAGUAAUUUCUUCCUUCUUAGAAUAAAUGCCUUUACAUGUUUUAUAAAUAUCCUCGUGUAUUCUGAUUUUUUUAUCGAUGAAAAGCAUACUUCUCAUCAAUUUUGUGAAAGGCACAUAACACAUUGAGCACCUUUCUCUGUAGUUGUGUCUUGAGGAAGAAUGCAUCCUUGAGAUUUGGGUGAGGGGUGUGCGAGUGAAUACUAUAUUGGACACUUAAAAGAGAGAACAAUGAAACUUGGAAAAAAAAGAAGGGGUUUUGAGGUAAAUAUUGGAAAUUAGAUUUUGUUCUAAAGAGUUUGAGUUGAAAUGUUAAGGGUUAAUCAUCUUAAUGAAGUAGUUCUUGAAACUUGAUUCUCUGAGUUGAAUAAUUUGGAACUAUUAGUGGAACCUUCUUAAGUCACAUAGAAGGAGAUUUCUAAGUAGAAAAAGAAGAAUAUUUAAGCCUAUUCAUACAUGUCUGAGAAAAAAAUAUAUAAAUUUAAAAAAAGAAAUUGAGUUCCAAAUGGUUAUAUGAUGUUAAAGGAUAUAACCUUACUCUGAUUGAGGGGAGGUAGCCUUUUGAUAGCCACAAUUAAGGGAUAAUAAAUUUGACACUUGAGUUUUUAAUAGAAUGAGUAGUAAAUGGAGUUUGGAUAUUAAACAUCUCUUACAUGAUUUUCUAUAACUUGGUAAACUGAUCCAUACUGAUGAUGAAUAACUUUUCUUAUAGAAUUUUGUUCAAAUUUUGACUAUAUUCUCUUGUGAGAAGGAUUUCAAAUUGCUAAAGAUAAUGACUAUAUUUUGUUGUGAUUACUAUUGCUAGCGCUACCAAUAUUCAGGUUGAGGGAGGUGAUCAGCACACAAAAAUCUAUCAUUUUCACACUUUAAACCUAGAUUUUGCAGCUACUUUAAUCAUAUCUUUUGAGUUUGAAUUCAUGUUAAGUGAUAAGUACUCAGACUAAGCACUUUAAUGGGGUCUUUUGAACUCAUUUGAGUGUGCUUGAAUGCUUAGAACCACCCCAUUAUUCACAUUUGUUUCUAAACCUUAAUUAUUUUGUUAGUGCUUCAAGAAUAAAAUUAAGCAAUUCAGUGCAUAAGGAAGCCCAUGGGAGUCAAUGAUACAUUGAAUGGAUGAGACAGUGUGUUGUAUGUGUUUGGAGCUGGUGAAGUUCACACGCAAGUAUAAUUAAUGGGUAAGCCUACGUGUAGUCCUAAGGAUGUGCAACACUUUGCUGAGGUGCUAUGUUAAUUAAUUUGCUCAAGCACCUCAACCAACCAUGCUUAGUUGAAGCAAAAUAUGCAGGUUUGCUUAUAUGAACGCAAGGGAAUUGCACUACUAAUUUGGGCUUAAAUCAGUAUGAUUUUUUCAUGUUAAUUCAUAGUGUUUUGCUACAAAGAAGAGUAUAAAUCACUACUUAUGACUUAGUUUUUGCUUAAAACCUACUUUGGUAUUUAAUGAGAUUUCAAAAGCGUUUGGAUAAGUAACUGGUUGAAAGCUGAUGUUGAAAACAAAGAUGUGAAGUUCAAUAGCCGGUGAUGAGGGAUGCUGAUGUUGGUUCGAGUCAGUAAGUUUUGGUGUCUUAUUGAGUCAGUGAUGUGGAUGACUAUACUUGUAGUUGUUAUCGAUUUAAAGGAAGAUGCCUUGUUGAUCUGAAUGUAUAAACCAUUUCAAUAGAUGAUGAUACCAUUUUGGACAUGGGUGUUUGUGUGUCAAAAUGGGGUUGGGGUGCAAUAAUGUCACUCUUGAGCUUGGGGAUGGGUUAUUCAUAUGAUGACUCUUAAGACAAGUUCACAGGUAUGAUGUCAAAUGGCGUAAAGGUUUAAUCUACCCUCACUGAAAAUUAAUUGGUAAGAUGAGAUGGUCAAUGUCUAAUUCAAAAUUAGUAUCAAAGCUAAUUAAGGGUUAUGAGUUUGAGUCAUGGAAGCGUCAUGUUGGGAGAGGAAUUGUUGGGGUGCUCUUAAGCCUAGGGAUGGGUUACCUAAACGAUGAUUUAUCUAAAUGAUAACUUUUAGAACAAGCUCACAAGGUGUGAUGUUGGAUGUCAUAAAAAGUUUAAUUUACUCUCAUUGAAUACUAAUUGGUUAGAUGGUCAAGUCCCGAUCCAUGUUUCCUAAAACAUGCUCUAAUAUAUUGAUAUCCAAGCAAAAGAAAAAAGCCUCUUAAUUUUAAUAAGACAUAGGUGGUUGAAUUUCCUCAAAAUGACAUUCCACAAAGACGCUCAAUACUAUCAACAAGCAAAAUAGAGAUUCAACAAAAAAAGAAAAAUGCAAGGACAAGAAUAGCUAUUUAACUCACUCUAAAAAGAGACUAAUGAAAUUAAAAAAGGAAGAGAUAUCCCCUAGUCCAUAUAUAUAUAUUCAGCUUACACCAUACAUAUACUCAGCUUACACACUCUAAAUUUCCAUUCUUAUUUAGUUUAGUUAACUACUAAAACCAUUUCGUACCUCACUGUAAAAAUUUCCUGUGUUUCUCACAUUGUCUAAAAGAUCAAAACAAAGAAUGCUAACCCUAACACAGACCAAUGCUCAAGUACUUAGAUUACAACAUCAAUAUAUUCAAAAACCCCAAACUGAGACUUUGCCAUGGAAAUGUAAAUUAGAUAUAGAGUAUAUAAUUAAGGGGGAGUGAUGGAAAUCAUCUCAUACUGGACACUUGCCUUGCUUCAUAUCCUCUAGUUUGGAAGUUGUGAUGUGUAUUUUCGCCAAAUAAAAAAUACAAAAAUGGAGAUGAACUUGAGUCAAGUUAUUUAAGACUGCAUUUAGGAAGAUGAUAUAUAUCAGAUAAAGUGAUUCAACCACUUUGAUAAGCUUGUAGAAGACAUACAUUUGGAUGAAAACUUGACUGGGAUUACACGAGUGUUAUUUUUGAUGGAUCGUGGAGGUGAUCAGUUUGGCAGUUCCACCUAAAAAAUCCCAUUUUUGUAAUAUAUAGGAGCCUUUCAGGUCUGAUUUCUUCAUGGGGCUAGAAGCUUUCAGGUUUGAUCUCUUUGUUUGCUUGGAGGGAUUUCCAUAUGAGGAAGUUACUGAUGGGAGGACUGUGUAAACCGCGAGCGGAGCCCUCACCACAUGGACACCAUCUUUCCAGAGGAUAGCACCUGAUAUGAUUGGUUGCAUAUUUAUCUGUGGUCCAUACACCCUCACUGUAAAGGAUUUCUUCUCUCCAAUUGCUGAGAAUGAAAGAACAGGAGGCUCCACCUCAAUCUCAAUAGAAUUGGGCAUGUAGACGCUAGCAUGGUAGGUUGAGUUUGGCGAUCCUACAUUUGUAACUGUCCUACUGAAAAUGCCCAUGAUAUCUAGCCCAUCUUCUAUGGCCAGUGAGAAUGAGGGAUAGUUCAGAUCCCAUGCCCUCCCAGGUUUAGUGCUAUUACAAACACUGUCAUCACCCGUGAUGAGUCUUAAUGUGCUGGUGUUGUAACCCUGCUUGCAUAGGAAGUUGAUGUAAUCUGGCUUAGAUGUGUUGUAGAUUAGGCCAGGAUCCACCGCCUUCACCGGGUUGAUAUGGCCAGAACCGUAAGCAAACUCUUUGUCCUCGUUCUUCCUUGUGUCCAUCACAUAAGCUGGUUUGAAAAAAAAAUUUGUUCACUGAAUUAGAGAUUGUAACAAGAUUGGAUUUUGGAUGAUUUGUUUAUACCUGUGGUCAUGAGUGCAGAUUUAAUGGCAGCAGGAGACCAGCUUGGGUGGAUGGACUUCACAUAAGCUGCUGCUCCACUGGCAUGUGGACAAGACAUGGAUGUGCCGGAGAUUAUGUUGUAUUGGGCGGUCCUGGUAUCACGCUCGUAUUCUGAUGGAGAUACAAUGGGUGACCAGGCCGCGAGGAUAUCAACACCAGGUGCAGUCAGAUCAGGCUGAUCGAUCAAUUUUGUUCCGAUAUCUCAAUUUGUUAGUCAAUUUUAAAAGAAAUUAAUAGCAGUAGAGAAAGGGUGAUAAAUUUGAAGCCUAGUAUUUUCAGUUUACCUUGAGAAUAUCAGGAGAAAUGGGAUUGGGACCUCUGGAUGAAAAGGAGGCAACAAUGGGAGCCAUUACAUCCUUCCUAGUCUCACCAACCAAAAUUGUUGCUAUUGGAUUCCUGAAAAAGGUUAUUAUCAGUAUGAUGGAUACAGUCGCAUUUUCUGUGAUGUGAAAAUGAGAAUGAUAAUUGAGAAACAGAUUUGGGUGAUUGUUUACUUGGAAAAUCUAGCAUACUGCAAUACUUUGUCCAUAUCUUGUCUUCGGAGGAGUGUUGCUGGCAAGGGAAAAGUGAAGGCAAAGUCAUUGAAAUACCAGGCGGGCAUUAUGAUUCCCACUCCUCCUGCCAUGAUAACACCAGAUCCAUCCCAAAGGAACUCGCAGAGAACAAUCUUUCCCUUGACUUUGCGUGAAUCUAGGUCCCCAGGAAGGCAGUCUGCUGAACUUAAAGGGGUUUCUUGGGCAGAAACAUUUGCUGCAUCUCCUCCCCAGAUUAAAGGAUAUGUUCCAUUGAGCUCCAAGUUAUUGAUGACAAUUCCCUUCAUUUUUUCAAGGUAAAAGAAUGAUAUGGGUUGAGGCUAGCCCUAGAGAAACCAUAGAUAGUAACUAAACUGUCUGAAACAAGGGCUUACCGAGAAGAUCUGUCCAUUGCCAAGAACCAAUUUGGAAACAAAUUUCCUAUCAAUGCUGCUGGCAGCUACAGUCAGCGACCAAGGCGAGUAAUUACUGACCCAACCCAACCAUGGACCAUCGUUUCCUGCAGAAGUUGAGGUUAAUAUCCCUUGUCCCAUUGCAUGGAAAGAUCCAAUUGCUAUGACGUCUUCAAAAUAAGGUUCAGGGAAGGUUAAUCCAAGGGAAACUGAUAUGAUAUCGACCCCAUCUGCGAUGGCAUCAUCAAACGCAGCGAGUAUAUCUGCAGCAGCACAUCCUCUUACCCAACAAACCUUGUACACAGCAAUUCUUGCAUUGGGGUAUCCACCUCUGGCAAGUCCUUGAGCUAAGCCGUAGAAGCUUGCGCCUGCCACCUCUCGGCCCGCAGCGGUUGAAGCUGUGUGAGUCCCAUGUCCCUCUGAGUCCCUUGGAGAUUUGAUGUCUCCAUCAUAAUACUCAUUAUAGCUAUUGUAGUAGCGAGCUCCAAUGAUCUUGCUGUGGUAUUUCGACACUUCCGUCAGACUUUUAGUCACAUUGUAAACUGAGGUCAUUUGAGGGAUUGCUUACUUGUUGCAGGUGAAGUUAUUCUCAGUUUGGCACAUUCCUUUCCAUUUUGCAGGUGGAGGGCCAAAUCCUUCAUCGCUGAAGCUCUCGGAUUCUGGCCAAAUUCCUAUGAAGUAACCGAAAUUCCUUAAUUUUGCACUUAACGAGGUAAUGAACUACUAUAACUGAAUUAUAUUUGCAGUUCAAAAUUAUUUUUAUAUAUUAACCUGUAUCUAGCAGCCCAAUAAUCACAUCUCCUCCUAGGGAAUCUCUAACAUGGGAUUGAGUAAAUCCCAUGAAGUCCCAUGAUCUUGUUGUGUGAAGCUCUAGCAUGCUGUUUGGAACAACUGAAACCACUCCGUCCAUAUCUGUAAUCACAUUUCAGUUGAAAUUGAGUAAAAUAUAAUGAAAUAAAACCAUAACAGAGCAAUAUUGUCCUCUCUUUACUGUAUAUAGUAAUCUCACCUGCAAAUCUUGUAAACCUCUUCAUCUGAAAGUUUAGCUGCNNNNNNNNNNNNNNNNNNNNNNNNNNNNNNNNNNNNNNNNNNNNNNNNNNNNNNNNNNNNNNNNNNNNNNNNNNNNNNNNNNNNNNNNNNNNNNNNNNNNUAGCAGUAGAGAAAGGGUGAUAAAUUUGAAGCCUAGUAUUUUCAGUUUACCUUGAGAAUAUCAGGAGAAAUGGGAUUGGGGCCUCUGGAUGAAAAGGAGGCAACAAUGGGAGCCAUUACAUCCUUCCUAGUCUCACCAACCAAAAUUGUUGCCAUUGGGUUCCUGAAAAAGGUUAUUAUCAGUAUGAUGGAUACAGUCGCAUUUUCUGUGAUGUGAAAAUGAGAAUGAUAAUUGGGAAACAGAUUGGGUGAUUGUUUACUUGGAAAAUCUAGCAUACUGCAAUACUUUGUCCAUAUCUUGUCUGCGGAGGAGUGUUGCUGGCAAGGGAAAAGUGAAGGCAAAGUCAUUGAAAUACCAGGCGGGCAUUAUGAUUCCCACUCCUCCUGCCAUGAUAACACCAGAUCCAUCCCAAAGGAACUCGCAGAGAACAAUCUUUCCCUUGACUUUGCGUGAAUCUAGGUCCCCAGGAAGGCAGUCUGCUGAACUUAAAGGGGUUUCUUGGGCAGAAACAUUUGCUGCAUCUCCUCCCCAGAUUAAAGGAUAUGUUCCAUUGAGCUCCAAGUUAUUGAUGACAAUUCCCUUCAUUUUUUCAAGGUAAAAGAAGUAAAAGAAUGAUAUGGGUUGAGGUUAGCCCUAGAGAAACCAUAGAUAGUAACUAAACUGUCUGAAACAAGGGCUUACCGAGAAGAUCUGUCCAUUGCCAAGAACCAAUUUGGAAACAAAUUUCCUAUCAAUGCUGCUGGCAGCUACAGUCAGCGACCAAGGCGAGUAAUUACUGACCCAACCCAACCAUGGACCAUCGUUUCCUGCAGAAGUUGAGGUUAAUAUCCCUUGUCCCAUUGCAUGGAAAGAUCCAAUUGCUAUGACGUCUUCAAAAUAAGGUUCAGGGAAGGUGAAUCCAAGGGAAACUGAUAUGAUAUCGACCCCAUCUGCGAUGGCAUCAUCAAACGCAGCGAGUAUAUCUGCAGCAGCACAUCCUCUUACCCAACAAACCUUGUACACAGCAAUUCUUGCAUUGGGGUAUCCACCUCUGGCAAGUCCUUGAGCUAAGCCGUAGAAGCUUGCGCUUGCCACCUCUCGGCCCGCAGCUGUUGAAGCUGUGUGAGUCCCAUGUCCCUCUGAGUCCCUUGGAGAUUUGAUGUCUCCAUCAUAAUACUCAUUAUAGCUAUUGUAGUAGCGAGCUCCAAUGAUCUUGCUGUGGUAUUUCGACAAUUCCGUCAGACUUUUAUUCACAUUGUAAAUUCCUUAAUUUUGAACUUAACGAGGUAAUGAACUACUAUAACUGAAUUAUAUUUGCAGUUCAAAAUUAUUUUUAUAUAUUAACCUGUAUCUAGCAGCCCAAUAAUCACAUCUCCUCCUUGGGAAUCUCUAACAUGGGAUUGAGUAAAUCCCAUGAAGUCCCAUGAUCUUGUUGUGUGAAGCUCUAGCAUGCUGUUUGGAAGAACUGAAACCACUCCGUCCAUAUCUGUAAUCACAUUUCAGUUGAAAUUGAGUAAAAUAUAAUGAAAUAAAACCAUAACAGAGCAAUAUUGUCCUCUCUUUACUGUAUAUAGUAAUCUCACCUGCAAAUCUUGUAACCUCUUCAUCUGAAAGUUUAGCUGCAAACCCAUUAAAACUUCUUCCAUAGCUGUAAAUUAGCGACUCUUUUGCAGAUGCAGUACUACAGGUAAAAAAUUUAAACGCUUAGGAUGUAUACUCAUAGUAUUGUAGUUAUUAAUCAUAGUAGCUAAAUUUUUUAACCUUCCAAGGACACUUGCUAGCAUGGAAUGAUGCAUAGAUACCAUUGAAACAGCUCCAUGAGGCUUCUCUCCCAUAUAAACGAUAUGGACCUGCAUGUUAAACUAAGCUUGCUGAGAAACCCCAUUAGUUUGUUAGCUGUGAGCCAUGCACUCAUCAAUAUUAGGUAUAGGAGAUUGAUGAAGGCUAAGUGGGUCACUCAAUACUCCAUGAAAUGCCACUCUGAAUAUAUAUAGCAAAUGGUUCUAUUCAAAAAGUGCAAUCUCAUGGAACCUAAGUUUUGCUAUGAAGUAAGCAAAAUGGAAGAGAUUAUACCUUUCUUUCAUCGGAAUGGCAGUUCAACACAAAAGCUGCGAGCAAUGUAAGGUAGAGAAGGGGGAGAAGCUCUUGCUUAGCCAUUUUGGGAGUCCAAAUUGGAGCCUAUAGCUGUUAGGAGAGGUUGGUGACUGAUGAACAUUAUAUCUCAUGUCAUUUAUAGGGAUUUUUCAUUAGUAUUGGUUUUACCCCAGCAUUUCAGAUGUGACAUGGCUUGUGAUCAUCGCCCCAUUCCAUAUGAAACAAUACUCGUUACAUUCUGAACCUGCGCCUUCACAUGCAAAUCUCUUCCAACAAUUCAAACAGUUAUCAUCUCUCUUUCUCAUAUACAACUGCUCUCUUUGAUUGUAUCCCCUUGUUUGUACUGGCUACACUAGUUGUUUGUUAGUAUUUGUGAGCUUUUUUGCAUGGCUGUUUCAAUGGUGAUCGAGUUUUCUAUGUCAAACAUUACAUAUAUUAUUUUCUCUCGUCGUUUUCCUCUCAUGUUUAUAUAUCUCUUGUUGUAUUUAUUUGUUCUUGGAUUUGUGGUGUUGCUAUUGUUGUUUAUUGGAAUUUGUUAGUUUUUGGAUGGCUGUAUCCAUGAUGACUUUCCCCUGUAAAAUUAAUUAUUCCCAUAGACUUUGUUAAAUCCGUUUUUAACAAGAGAUUAAUGUAACAACCAAAACAAAGAAUUUGGAAUGAGUUUCUCUACAGGAUAAAACUAGAACCUGUUAUGAUUUAUAUGGUUUGUGCCCCUGCAUUCAAGUCAUGGUUUCCUCGAUCCCAAAUACAGAGACCAAUUCUUCCAUGUAAAAAGGGUGCUUACCUAUAUAUGUUUAGUUCUGUAGUAUAGUGCAGUAACUAUUACCAGAAUCAUAUGUCAACUCGUAUGCACUCUAUGGCCAAGUAACUUAUUUUUUGUGAAAGAGCAUGCUCCCCUUCAAUUCUCUGGAGCUACAAUUGUUGUUGAAUGCCAUCAUAACAAUUUCAGACAUUCUAGAUGUGGAGAAGCCAAGUACCACCUUCCCAUCUUAGAUUGGGAUUUCUUUGGAAUUUUUGUGUUGAAGGGGAAGUUAUGAGCAUGGUUCCAUUUGAGUUGUCUUCAUUGAUAUUAAGUAAUUAAUACCAACUUGGCAUAUCUUCAAAGACAUUGGUCUUCAUUUUGAAAAACUAUAAAAUUUGAUACCACAUUUUAAAAAAAAGUAACUCUAUGUUUGUCUCUUUGGUUACGAGUUGCUAUUGGGUUUUCAAUGGUAUGAAUUCAUGUAACAAUGGUAGGGCUAUACCUCUUAAUAAUACCCUUAUAGUUGAAGUCUUUGAACGUUGGAAUAUUGAGUCCAUAUGUGCAUUUCCUAGUUGUUUUGGAUACAUUUAUAUUCUUAUUGCUGGUGACUAUGUAUGCAUAUCAUCCAAGAAUGAUAGGGGAAAUUGGUCUUUGGUUCUUGCAGCAUUAAACUUCCUUUGGUAUAUACAAACUCUCCAACCAAUGGUCAAUCUAGUUGGUAUAUACUCCCAUUUUUCAUUGAUAAACACAAUAACCCCAUUUGUUUUAGGCAUCACUAUGGACCUACAUUUUUCACAUGCAUCCCCACUCGUCGGCGAGACUCGCUUUUAUAUGGUGAAAAAUUAGUUUUGGAAAAGUUGGAGUCGCCACUUAUUUUAUUUUAUUUUAAAAGGGAAAAUAAAACAAGAAAGAAAACCCUAAAGAGGUGACCUCAUAGUUUUUGGAAAAACGUGUCUUUGAAAAAUCCAACUCUAGGUCCGAGGAUCAGGUUACCUAUUGGAAAGGUACCUGUAAAAGGUAGCACCCCUCUAAGCCCUACAAAGGUCUCUACUGACUAAGUUGAGGGAAAUAAGACAAUUAAUUGGUUGAUUUUAGAUACCUAGGUAGGCUAGGUGAUUUUAAAAAAUAGCAUGCCAAACAAUAAAACCAAUCACAAAUCAUAAAGAAGAUUUAGGGUGUGUACCUGAACUGCUUCUUAAGUGCUAUUACAAGGCAUCAAUGGUUAGUUUGGAAAAUAAGACACACAACAUGUAUUUUACCCUAAUCUCUUAAUCAAACUUGGCAAGCUAAACAAACAAUCAAAGAGAUAUGUUGAAUAGGUUGAGAAUCGCAUAUGAAGCAAUACAUAAUGAUCAUGUAUAAAGCAAUACAUAAUUUAUGGAAUUAAAAUAUGAAGGUAAGAAACAUACCUGAAUAGCAUAGGUAACUUGUAACGUGCUUCCACAAGACAUGAGGGGUUAGAUAAUAAAUAAUAAAAUAAAUAAAUCCUAGCAUGCUUGUUAUCUAAUUAGCAUGACAAAAAUUAUCAAAGCAUACGAAAUAAUCAAUUAUCACAUAUAUCUUGUAUAUAAUUCCUAAAAAAAUAGAUAGAUAUGAUUACAACAAGUAGUAAAGGUGGUAGCAAAGAUGAGUUUUGAAAAAAUGAUUUUAUGUGGGGGUUUCAUUAAUUCCCCAAUUGAUAUAUACAAAUCUAGCCUAGAAUUAUCCCAUUUAUUUGGGACCACAAGCUUGGAUUCGUAUUUUACUCAAAACCAUAGUUUUUAUUGAAAAUUGAGAAAUAUGCAAACCGAUCAAAACAUGGUUGCAUGUUAUUUAUAAAAAAAAAUGAGAUUUUGAUUCUAAGGACUCUAAAUGAACUUUUGAAAUGCAUUUUAAUGAGGAACAUUUUGAGAAAAUGUUUCUUCUUAAAAGGAAAGAAAUCAUUUACAAACGAUAAUACUCAAGGAUCAAACAUAGGCAACCCAAAGGAAAACAAAAUCACAAAAUAAAAUUUUAAACAACCAAUCUGACUAAAGUGGUGAGAGUAGGGCCAACCUUCAUGGGUUUCUAGUGGCCUUAAAAAAAGAUGAUUUGACCAACAAUCACUUAGGCAACAAACUAAUGACUUCCAAAUCAAACAAACUAACAAAAAUAUUAACCAAGACUAACAUCUAAAAUUCAAGAAGCGCAUAAACUAAGAUAAAAACCAAUUAAGGAUUAAAACCAAACUUAACAUAUGGAGAUAAUAACAUGGGAUCAAUUAAAGUAAAUUAACUAAAAUUCUAAAACCACUUCGAAAUUAAUAUUCACACAUCAAAAAUUAAAUAAAAAACUCUAACUUNNNNNNNNNNNNNNNNNNNNNNNNNNNNNNNNNNNNNNNNNNNNNNNNNNNNNNNNNNNNNNNNNNNNNNNNNNNNNNNNNNNNNNNNNNNNNNNNNNNNUUUUCAAUAAUGCAUGGGCCGUUUCCACCAUUAAAAAUUCUAAGUCUUUUUUUAUUAUUCAUCCACCAAUUUUAAUAUCCAUUGCUUCUUCAUGCAAAUGAUUGCCUCCAUGAAGCACCCUCCAUGAUCCACGUACAAAACUCAUGGUUGCCACUAUCCAUAAAACAACUUCAAAAUAUCUUCACUCACCUUCUCACCUUUGUUCUGAAUAUCAAUUAUCACUUUGAAACAAAGUUAAAUGACCCGAAAUCAAUGGUAAGCACAAUAGGUUGUUUUGCUCAAAUUUGAUUUGUGAAAACCAGAGUCAGGGUGAGGAUUCAGAUGCAAGGAUGGAAGAAUGACCCAAUUGGAAGCAAUGCCUCAUGAUCUUGAUGCCCUUUGAUGGUUAUUCAUAACCGAUCCUUCGUGAUAAUGGUGAUUCCUUUCGAUGAAGACGUUUGAUGGUGAAGAGAAUCUCUUUCAGAGGCAAAUACAUCAGCAGUGAUGAAAAUACAAAUGAAAAUUUGAACCUUCCUUUCAGAUGAAUACGCUAGCAAUGGUGAAGAUGUGCUGAAAACAGAGGUGCUGUAUAGGUGCGAUGCUCCGGAAUAUGAACAAAGAAGUAGUCAAGGAAACUUCUGAAUCAACAUGUGAUGCUCCUAUGGUUCUCUUGAAGCUCCCUAAAUCCUUGAACAGAGGUCUCGAGAUUAAUCGAUGAUAUGCUGAUAUUCUCUAAAAUAACGCACUAUUGACGAAUCCUUUGGCAGAACGGAUCUAUGCUGGUGAAGCUGGUCUCUUGCUCUAACGCUGAUUGUGGUAAUCAAACGUCAAUCUAGUGUUACUGGAAAUGAAGUCCACUUUUCUAAGAAAGCGAAGACAGCUUUUCUAUCAAGUGAUAUCUCUCUUCUCUUAACCUUCUUAGUCUCUCUCCAGAACUCUUUCUCGUAUGUUCCUAUUUUACCACAACUGAAAGAUUCCCUUCUAGAGACUUCUUCUCAAAAACACGUGUCAUCGAAUGCCUGGCAAUUAGAGAAUACGUGACUACUUCUUUGCAUGGCCUAAGGUGGUGUUCACGUGCAAGAGUUUCGGUUUUAAACCAAUUAGUUUCGAAUCUCGCAUUUGAUCCUUAUCGACAUUGGAAAGGUGAGCAGAUUGUGGAGGUUUAGGUGGUGGUGGUGUGUGUGGUAUGACGGUGGUGCAUGUGGGUGUGGGUGAGAUGAUGAAGGUGAUAGAAAUAUGGGUGCAUGUGAAGAAAAGGUGCAUGUGAGAUCGUGUGGCCGUGUGUGAGUGGCUAUAAAAAUCUGGCAGUGCGUGAAGAUGGAGAGAGGUUGUCGAUGGCGUGUUGGUUCCAUCAAUUCUGGUAGUGUGUCCACUCCAAAAAAAUUAUGAUUAUGACCCUUCUAAAAAAUUAUGAUCAUUUUCCACUCCGAAAAAAAUUGUAAUUGUCUUUCUCUCUAAAAAUUCUUAUCAUCAUCCACUUUAAAAAAAAUAUAUAUAUAUAUUCUGACCAUCUUCCCUUGAAAAAUUCUAAUCAUCUUCUAUUUGAGAAAAAAAAAAUGAUCAUCUUAUCUUUGAGAAAAUUCUGAUCGACCUCUUGUGGCCUACCUUAGAGCGUGUUGAAGAUUGCCUUAUAAAUGGUGCCACUUUAAGGAGAGUUCCAUGUGACUGCUUGUUAUGAGAGAUGCCGCUUAAACUAUGGUGCAUGGUUGCCUCUUGCAGCUAUGAUUGGUGGACUCCAACUUCUCUGAUGGUGUGCUGUGAUUCUUUCUAAUUGAUGGUCCCUUUCCUUGGUGUGUGAUGCAAAUUGUGUGGUCCUGAGGGUGGCUGUGAAGAAACUCAUGAUCACGUGUAAGAGAAGGCCCCUCUUAUAGUGCGUGAUUGACUCCCUCAAGAAGUCUCAUGGGCGGACUAUGCAUCCUUCCAAGAUGGACUCUUUUCAUUUUCAGGCUGUUGCGUGUCGAUGCUUCUCCAUGGAGAAUGGUGUCUAUAUGAGGACUUAUGCAAUCCCUUAAGUAGUGGACUGUGCGUAGGUUUUUUCUUUCUAAGUCGCCUUGACUAUUGUUCUUAAAGAGAAUACAUACUUUUUCCCCAAAGCCCAAUGGAAAAGUUGUCCUCUAGAUUUCUGGUGUCAUUGCCCCUCUUUUUUCCUCCAAAACAUAGCCUUAUUUCUUUUCUCUAAAAAUGCUUCAUGAUCCCUCUUUCCAAAAAAUGCUUAACAUUUCUUAUCCAUGGCUUAAGCCUCGAAAAUUCCACUAAUGACAUGAUCUCCAAAAAAAUUCCCCUCAUCCAUGAAUCCAAUCUCCAAUAAUAGUUUCCCAUUUUUCCUUUUUUCUCCCAAUAUCCAUAUAUUCCUUACCAAAACAAAUCCUUAGAACUUCAAACUUCCCAAAAACGCCUUCCAAGGAGAGUCUCACUUUUCUUAUCCAAUGGUAAGUUUCCUUGCAAAAGCAUGAAAUUUAUUAAAUUAAAUAAUUGAAUGAAUGAAUAAAUAAGUAAAUAAAUUAGAAAACAGUAAAACAAUAAUAAAUAAAUAAGUUAAUUAAAAAAUAAGAAAAAUAAUAUAAAAAGGAAGAUAACAAAUAAAAAUAAACAAGUGAUUGAUAAUAAUAAAAAUAAAAAUAAAUAAAUAAAUAAAAAUUGAGCCACACAAGCCAUGCAACCAUGUAAGUCAUACAAGUCACGCUAAAAAUGUCUAAUGGUCCUAGUGUGCCUAAUUGGGCCUAAGUGACCUAAAUGAGCCUAAUGAGUCUUAAGGGACCUAGGUGUGGACCCGCAUUUUUCACGUGCGCCCCCACUCGAUCGGCGAGACUCGCUUUUUAUUGUGAAAAAUUAAUUUUAAAAAAAAGUUGGAGUCGCCACUUAUUUUAUUUUUUUUUUAAAAAGGGAAAAUAAAACAAGAAAUAAAACCCUAAAAAAAUGACUCCAUAAUUUUUGGAAAAGCGUGUCUUUGAAAAACCCGAGUCUAAGUCCGGGGAUCAGGUUACCUAUUAGGAAGGUACCUUUGAAAGGUAGCACCCCUCUAAGCCCUAUAAAGGUCUCUACUAACAAAGUUAAGGGAAGUGUGACCAUUAAUCAGUUAAUUAUGGAUACCUAAGUAGACUAGAUGAUUUCGAAUAUUGCAUGCCUAACAAUAUCAAAUAACAAUGAAGGAAAGUUAAGGAUGCGUACCUGGACGGCUUCCCAAACGCUAUCAUAAAACAUGAGAGAUAGUAUAGAAGUAUAGCACACAACAUGUAUUUAAUCAUAGCGAAUCUAGCAUACAUCUAAACAUUCAAGAAUCACGUCAAAUAUGGAUAUGGUCAUCAAUGACAUACAAGUCCAUAGAGUUCUAAAAAAGAUAGAUGAGAAGAGAGCGUACCUGGAUAGCAAGCUAGUACUCCUCUAUGGGAAUCAAAAGCAUCUCAACAAUAAAUACGAAACGAAUUCAUGUAUAUCAUCAAGAAGAAUAAAAAAUCAACAUAUCAAGCAAACAAUAUUAAAGAAGGUAUCAUGAAUGUCGGGCCCCCACCAAAGCCCUAAUUAAUUUCGCAUGAGUUGAUUCCAUAAAUUCCAUGAUUUGGAAUUAUGAAGUUUGUUCAUGUUUAAGAAAAUCAAGAAAAAUCAAGAAAAUCAUGAAAAAUAGUUGAAAACGGUGAAAAUGCAUGCCGGAAGGGAAAAUGGCAGCAAAUAGUAUGUUAAAAAUCUGGAUUUUAGUGACUAGAAGGGCUCUAAAGAUUGAUUUUUCAAAACUGGAAAUGUUUAAUUCAGAAAAAGAUUCAAAGAUUCAAUUUAAAAUAGUGAAUUCCUAAUCAAAGAAACAAAAGGAGGAGGUGUGUGUAGCAAGGUAGGUAUGAUGGAGGGGAGUUGGGAGGUUUGGCUGUGACCGCAUUGCUGGUGAUUGCAGGUGUUGCUGUUAUUCUCUCUAAAUUUUUCCUCUCUACUCUGGUUGCAUGCAUUCAAGCACCAUACGUCGCUGCAUUCCCGGGCCUUUUCCGAUUCCUUGAAAUUCCCUAUAUGCGGACUUACUUCCAAGAGCUUUGGCAUUAAUUCCCCAUAUGAAUCUCUGAAAUUUGCUGAGAAAUUUGGUCUUUCUGGACUGCCAUUUCUGAUAACUAGAGCACUGAAAGUUAGGGAAUCAUAUCCAAUUGGUUUUAGCUUUGGAGGGUGACCAUCGGUCAUGGUAAAAAAAUGAAAUCAAUUUCUGUUUCCUCAAGCCUUUCUGUACCUUCAUAUUCAUCUGUUAGCAGCCUGUUUCAAACUAUCCCGUUAUUGCACCAAGGACUUCCCUUUUCUAACUGCNNNNNNNNNNNNNNNNNNNNNNNNNNNNNNNNNNNNNNNNNNNNNNNNNNNNNNNNNNNNNNNNNNNNNNNNNNNNNNNNNNNNNNNNNNNNNNNNNNNNCCAAGGAGAGUCUCACUUUUCUUAUCCAAUGGUAAGUUUCCUUGCAAAAGCAUGAAAUUUAUUAAAUUAAAUAAUUGAAUGAAUGAAUAAAUAAGUAAAUAAAUUAGAAAACAGUAAAACAAUAAUAAAUAAAUAAGUUAAUUAAAAAAUAAGAAAAAUAAUAUAAAAAGGAAGAUAACAAAUAAAAAUAAACAAGUGAUUGAUAAUAAUAAAAAUAAAAUAAAUAAAUAAAUAAAAAUUGAGCCACACAAGCCAUGCAACCAUGUAAGUCAUACAAGUCACACUAAAAAUGUCUAAUGGUCCUAGUGUGCCUAAUUGGGCCUAAGUGACCUAAAUGGGCCUAAUGAGUCUUAAGGGACCUAGGGGUGUCCAAAUAGGUCUAAGGUGGUAUUUAAUGGGCCAAGUGUGCCUAAGUAACCUAGGUAGGCUUAAUGUGUCUUAAUGGGCCUAGGUAGUUUAGGACAGUGUCUAAGUGACCUAAAGUGAUCAGGACAUUGUCUUUGUGACCUAAACAUGCCUAAGUGUGCUAUCCUAAAAGUGCACCUAAAAGCUAUCCUAAAAAGGAAGGAAAAGUCGAAGUCUAAAUUAGGGCUGCUAAGAGUCACAAUGGGGCUAGAUAAAUUCCUCAACCAAAGUCUCCAAGGUGACUAAAAAAAUGUAAGUAGUAUGAAUAACAAUGGGCCCCCAAGGAACUACUGUGGAGCAUUGGAAGUGAACUUAAAGACAUGUGCUAAAUGAACAAAAUGGAGGGUCUACAAAUAUGCCCCUCUUCAGAAGAGAUCACGAGUGUAGAGAAUGUGAGUUGAAAUACGGAUAAUGAGUGGAAUGAAGUGAACUGUACCGAAGAACUGAAAGGAAAAUACCAGAAAUUUUGUCCUAACACAUGAAAUGGUAAGGUCAAAAGAUGGGGUUGCAAUGACAUGGGUGGGAUGAAUCUAUGUGAAGGGAUGACAAUAAAAGGAGAAAAAUGUAUGAUGAGUAGCAUAAAAAUGGUAAUGGAUGAAAAGAAUGACUCAAGGUCAUGGAUGAGAUGAAUGACUCUAGGUCAUGGACAAGAUGAAUGACUUUAGGUCAAAAAUAGGAUAAACGAAUCUAGGUUAAGAGCACGAGACCCUAAAUAUAAAGGAGGACUUUAGGUCAUAGAUGAAAUAAAGGACUCUAGGUUAGGAACUCAGGGCUUUAGAUGCUAUGAAUGACUCUAGCUCAAAAGCUUAGGGCUUUAAAUGAUAUGAAUGACUCUGGGUCAGAAGCUCUAGGCUUUAAAUGUUAUGGAUGAGUCUAGGUCAAAAAUAAAAAGAACGACUCUAGGUCGUGAGCUUAGGGCUCUAAAUGCUAAGAAUGACUCUGGGUCAUAAAUAAGAAAAAUGACUCUGGGUCGUGAGCUUAGGGCUCUAAAUGCUAAGAAUGACUCUGGGUCAUAAAUAAAAAGAACGACUCUGGGUCGUGAGCUUAGAGCUCUAAAUGGAUAGCUGAUCAGAAUGCUUUUUGGCUCAUUGUGUUGGGUUGAGGCCACUUGCAAGUGGCUAGAAUGAUGAAAACGAAACAUCUCAAGGAUGUGAAGAAUAUGAACAACUUUGGGUCGUGAGCUUAGGGCUUAGAAUGCCAUGAAUGACUCUGGGUCAUGAUGCAAUGAGUAACUCAGGGUUAUGAUGAAUAACUCAAGGCUAUGUGAACAGCUCAGGGCUAUGAGCUCCGAGCUCUAUGACUGAUAGGCUAGAAGGAGAGUGCGAUAAGCAAACUCCAGGUCAAACCACUUAUGGGCGACCAAAUGAUGAAGGCUCAGAUUAGGGCUGGAAAGACUUUAGGUCUUAAGGAAAUAAUAGCUCAGGGCCUAGAAGGAAUGGAUAACUUAGGGCUACGAGGCUCAAGGUCUAGAAGAAACGGAUAGCUCAAGGCUGUGAGGCUUAGGGCCUAAGAAGAGAGGGAUAACUAAGGGCUAGGAAACUUAGGACCUAAAAGGAACAGAUAAAGAAGACCAACUUGAAAGUGGAUAAGAAGUAAAUGGGCUCAAAACCAUAUACUCAAAAUGCCAAGGGUCGGACUACUGAACUUAAGAAGGGAAAUAUGCCCUAGUAUCCAGGGUGUUCGCAUUGUUGAAACAACUAGUAAAUCAAUCACCCGCUGAAAUCAAUGGGUCAGAAUCCAAUGCAUCAUGAAAAACCUCUGAAAAAUCUGAAUUAAAUUUUUUUUCUAUAUCUCAAAAACUACUUUGUUGAUACAUCGCGACUCAUCUAAAAGCAAAUCUCGAAGUGCACAAAAAUACUGCUCGUCUGGAUAACCCAAUCUGCAAGGUAACAAUGACGAAAACAACCUAUCUCAUGAGCAUCUGGCUAAAGGAUCCAUCAACACUCCUUGAGUGAAACUUGAUGUGAUCCAUCUCUAUCUCAAAAAAACCAUGUAUGAAGGUCCUGAUAUAGUCAAUCGUUAGAAGUCAUAGAUUAGUGCAUAAUCUAAAACCAAGCUAGCAUUGUCUCAAUCUCAAGGAUACUCAAAGAAAAUGGGGAAAUAUGCCCUAGUAUAAGAUUUGAUGUCAAAGUCACGAGGUAAAUAACCAACACCUAUUAUCCAUCCUCGUAUUACUGCACAAACAAAAUCUCAUCAAGGAGAGGAGAGUAUGCUCCAAUAUAAUAUCUAAUGUCGAAGUCAUGAUGUAGACCCUCUAUUUUGUCUUCCUCGCACAUGUCGUUUAUAGCAAUUCCCUGGUGGCCUGUUAAUACUCGUGUAGCCUAUAUUUUCUAAGCCACCUUGGAGACUAUGGUUGAAGGAUGAUUUGACCUCUUAUUGUGACCUUUGGCAGCUCUAAUUUAGACUUAGGCACUUUAGGCCCACUAAGGCACCACACUUGGCCCAUUAGGCAUCACCCUAGGUCCAUUUAGAUACUUGGCCUAUUAGGCAUCACUUUAAGUCCAUUUAGACACUUUAGGCCCACUUAGAUCACUUUAGGCCCAUUUAGGUGCCCUAGGCCCAUUUAGUUAUACUUGGCCCAUUAGGCAUCACUUUAGGUUCACUUAGUGCACCUUAGGCCCAUUAGACACACUUGGCCCAUUAAGUACCGCCUUAGGCCCACUUAAACACUUUUCAAGGUUUAGUUUCACUUAGAUUUGUUUUCUUGUUUUAUUUAUUUAUUUAUUUUAUUGAUUGCUUUUAAGAUUAAGUGAGUUUUUGAUAUAUUUAUACUAUUUCAUCAUUAUUAUUAUUUGUAUUUUUGUUUAUUUAUUUUAUUUUAUAAUUGCAUGAAAUGAGUUCUUAUUAUUAUUAUUAUUAUUAUUAUUAUCAUUAUUUACUUAAUUGUUUUGUUAAUUUAAUUUGUUUGUUUAUUUUAUAAUUUUCUAAAACACCUUGGGAUUCAUUCAUUAAGUCUAAUUUUCUUUAUAUUUUUGUAGAGAAAUUCACCAAAGGAAUCAUCACUGGAGAGAAAAGGGAAGGUUGAAAACAUGUAUUGGCAAAGAUAUGCAUGUGUUGAAGGAUAGAUCCAAGGUGGUUGGAAGAGGAGAGAACGUAUGGAAGGAAAUGAACUGAGAAAGAAAGCAAGUAUGCACCCAUGCAUGUGCUGAUUGUGCUUUUGAUGGAAGGAAAUGAAUGAAGAAAGAAAAUUACCAAAGCUAUUUUGGCAUGGAAAAAGGAAAGGUUCAAUGGGUAUUUGGACGGAAUGAAGACUAGGUUCAGAAUGGAGGGUUCGAAUCAUGUUGGACUGAUGCGGAAGAUUACAGGUUUUCUCUAGACCGGUGAGGGAUUUUUUCCAUAUUUGGUAGAGUCAACGGGACCAUUGAGGAGGAAAGGAUUCUCUGGAGGGAAGGGCAGCUGCACCAGGAAAGAGGGAGAAUAUUUUUGCAUUCAAGAAGAGAGGAAAAAGAUCAGAGAGGAGGGAGGAUGGAAAAGAAAAAGAGAACGAGAGAGGCUGUGAUUUUUAGAGAGAAGAGGAGUGAUCAGUCGGUGUUUUUGAAGGGUGAGGCUGUGAUUUUCAGAGAGAGGAGAAGAGAGGGCUGCUGUUUUCAAAGAGAAUCAGACUGUGUUUAGGAGUGAUUCGGGGCUGCUGUUUUCAAAGAGGAUCAGUCCGUGUUUCAGCACAGAGGAGGGCCGCACCAGAAAAGUUUUGGAAAACAUUACUGCAUCAGAGAAGCCGUACCAUUGAGAGGAAGAAGGAUCUUCAUCUGACUGCAUCGUUCUUCAUACAAGGUUAAUAUUAUUCGACUUUGUUUUAUUGGGUUCAAAAUACAAAUGAAUGCAAAUAUAUGUUUCGUUAUGUUGUGAAUGUUGUCCUUGGUAUGUUUUGCUUUAUUUUUAUUUUUAAUCAAUGGAAUGAGAUCAUGGUCUACCAUGCUGGGAUUUAUAAGAUCGGUUAUGAGGAAAUGGGAGCGGGCGUGAGAUGCUGUGCGUGGCUGCAUAUAGGCCACAGGCGUUGCAAGUCUCUUUGGGCUGGCGGAAACCUGUAUAAAACUUGGUCAGUGACGGUGCCAAGGAGGUUGAAGCGUCGAACACCAGGCUGAUCACACGCGCCUCGGAAAGGUGAGCAUAAGGCAUGUUCGAAGCAUUUCGUGGCAGCCAUGGAAGAUCUAGGAGAAGCAUCGAAGGAUUUGAAGGUCAGAAAUUCUAGUGGUAUGGUGGAGUCUAAGCUUGAUGGGCUGACCGAAGCUCGGGAUUGUCGAAACGAAGCUAUAUAGGAUGGUGGCCAUGGCGGCUGAACACUUCCCCAGAGAAAGAAGGAGGACUGUGGAUGCGUGGGUCUCCCGCCGAUGGCUGGCGGCUGUAUGGUGGUUCAACAAAAGGAAAGAAAGAAGAAAAAGAAAAAAAAGAAAAAAAAAUUGCUUUAAAAUAUUUUGAUUUUCUGUUUUGAAAAAAAAAAAGGAAUCCUAAUAUUUUCUCACUCAAAAUCUCGGUUCCACCUCUUUACAAUCUUAUCUAUUUCUAAAUAUCAUACAUAUUUUACUACAGAAGAAUUUAAAAAUAAAAUUGUAGAAGAUAUUUUUCAUAUUUAUAAAAUAUUUUUUUUAAAAAUGGUGCAAUAGUUUUUUUUUAUUAUGAGGAUUUAUUAUUAUUAUUAUAAAUAAAAUUUAUUAUUAUUAUUUUGUUGUCUUCCUCCCUAUGAAUUUUUUUUCUUUGUAAACAAAAUAGAAUUGUCUUUUCUUUUUGCAUGAAAUUAAAGCUUUUUUUUUUUUAUUUAAGUAAAUUAAAACUUCCAUUUAUAAAAUUCAUUAAUACUAUGGAAUCAAUUAUUUUUUUUAAUACUCAUGAAAUUUGAUUUUAUAAAAGUAAUAACAUUUAUUUCCUUGUAAAUAAACUUUUAAAAGUAUUUUCCUUGAAAGAGAUUAAAGCAUUUUUAUUCUUAUCAUUUAAAUUAAUCAAAAUUUCCUUUUAUAAAUAAAAUUCAUUAAAACUAUCAAGAAUCAACUGUUCUUUUUUUUUUUUUUUUUAUCAACACUCAUGAAAUCUUUCGGUCCCUCAGUAUAUUUAUGAAUUCUUUUCUAUAUUGAUCCAUGAUGUUUUGUUUAUUCCCCGAAUCCUUAGUAGUUAAAAACCAAUGUUAAUUUAUAUUUGGUUCUAAGAGAUGAGUUGCUGUCUUUUGAUGAUCUAUGCCAUUAUAUGUUGUCCUUUAGAUUAUUAGAUGUUGUUUUGGUAAUCCCUUUAUUAUUUCUUUGAAACUAAGUUGAUAAUUGUGAAUAUCUCGUAUUAUUAGUUUCAUUUUAAAACUCAUUUCAAAACGCUUGAUUAAUUUAUCUUAAGUUUAGACGCAUUUGAAAGUCAAAUUUUUUUAAGAUAUCAACAUGUAAUUUUUGGCGUCAAAUUGAAAGUUGGAUUUGUUAAAAUGUUAGUUUACUUGAUCUAAGUAUCUUUGGUCAGUUGCUAUAAUAAUCUUAUCUUUACUUUGAUUUUCGGAGGCUAUCGGAAGAUAGUGAAGAUUGGCCUCCAUUCCCACCACUUCAAUUUUAUCGGUUGUCAAGAAUUCUACUUUGUGAUUUUGUUCUUUUUUUCUUUUGCUUGAUAUUUGAUUCAUACAUUUUAUUGUUUUCAAAUUAACUUCUUUUAUCUUUAAAACAUAACAAUAUUCUCAAAAAUCUCGUUUCCUUAAAAAAAAAAAAAAAAAAAAAAAAUCAUUUCAAAAAUUCAUUUAGAGUUCUCAGAAUCAAAAUCUCAUUCCCUUUAAAAAUUCAUUUCAAAGAUCCUUUAGGAUUCUUAAAAUCAAAACCCCAUUUUCUUAAAUAAUACGCAACCAUUUUUUUUGAUCGGUUUGCAUCUUUCUCGGUUUUUAACGAAAAUUUUGGUUUGAAAUUAGACACGAAUCAAAGCUUGUGGUCCCACAUAAAUGGGAUAAUUUUGAGCUAAAAUCGCGUAUAUCAAUUGGGGAAUUGGUGAAACCCCUACAUAGAAAAAUCUUUUCAAAAAUUAUUUUUGUUGCCACUUUUGUCACUUGUUGAAAUUAUGUCUAUCUUUUUUUAGGAAUUGUAUACAAGACGAGUGUGAUAAUUAGUGUUUUCAUAUACUUUGAUAAUUUCUGCUCUGCUAAUUAGAUAACGAGCAUGCUAGGAUUCCUAUAUUUUAUUAUUUAUUUAUCUAACCCCUUACAACUUGAGGAAGCACGUUACAAAUUAUCUAUGCUAUCUAGGUAUGUCCUCUAUCACCUACUUUCUGAAUUCUGUGAAUAUGCUUGUCAUUGUGAAAUAAUGCUUAUGUCUAAUAAUGCUUGAGUGUUCUGAUAUACAUGUUUCAUUGUUUGAUUAUUUCUAAUAAAAUACAUGUUGGAUGAUAUAUUGUUUAAAUUAACCAUUGAUGUUUUAUGAUAGCGCUUGAGAAGCGGUCCAGGUACGCAUCCUAACCUUCCUUUAUUAUGAUUUGAUCUUGUUUGACAUGCUAUUUUUUGGAACCAUCUAGCCUACUUAGGUAUCCAUAAUUAACCGGUUAAUUGCCACAUUCCCCUUAACUUAGUUAGUAGAGACCUUUAUAGGGCUUAGAGGGGUGCUACCUUUUAAAGGUACCUUCCCAAUAGGUAACCCGAUCCCCGGACUUAGACUCGGGUUUUUCAAAGACAUGCUUUUUCCAAAAAUUAUGGAGUCACAUUUUAGGGUUUUUCUUUCUUGUUUUGUUUUCCCUUUAAAAUAAAAAUAAAAUAAGUGGCGACUCCGACUUUUCCAAAAAUUAUUUUUCACGAAUAAAAAGCGAGUCUCGCCGAUCGAGUGGGGGCGCACGUGAAAAAUGCGGGUCCACACAUGACGUAAACAACCAACACUAAUCAUAUAUCCUCAUACCACUACCCAAAAAUAGUCUCAUCGAGGAAAAGAGAAUAGGCCUUAGUAUGGAUAUCUAAUGUACAAUAAAGAAUUUGUCAAAAUCCAUCAAACAUCUUUAUGACCAUGAAUAGUGGUAGCCAUACCACCCAACAAUAAGAAGGAACCUCAGAGAAAAUGGAGAAAUAUGCCCUAGUGUGGAUAUCUAAUGCACAACAAAAGGAUGAAUCCAACAUCACUAAUCAACUAUCUUCGACUCAACAAUAAUCCGCUAAGAAGUUAGAAUGAAGUAUCAGCCAAUGCCUCAAGGGAGACACUCCAAAUCUAAUAACAAAUGAAUAACCAAAAUAAUGAGGGAUGUGAUAAUCUCAAGAGUAGAAGCAUGUCUCUGAUGAAUCCUUAACUAAAUUUGAUAUGAAUCCAGUAACCUAAAAAAAUGGGGAAAUAUGCCCUAGUAUACAGGAUCUAUACACUGUACUGAAAAUUGUCUCCAACUUAGUAAUAAUCCACUAGUUUAUCUUAGAAAUACUCCACAAACAGAACCUAGAAUCAUGAAAACCGUCAAUAAGCUCAAUAAUGUUGCACUAGAACUGAUAUCAUCUCAACAUACUCCACUAGAGAUCUCUGAUUGGUGAAAAUGCCCAGGCUUAAAGAAAGUGCUCCACUAGGGGCUCAUCUCAACCAAAUGAAAGAGGAAUAUGUCCUAGCAUAGCAAUUGAUGCAAAGUCAUAAGGUACCUCUAAUGACACUAGCCCAUCAUCUCUGUAUCCAAGGAUGAGACAAUUAACAACUCAAACAGUACAUAUGCAAUGACCCAUCAUGCUAGCUCAAAAGCGAACCUUGCUAGGAAUAAAAAAAUCAUCAUGUUGAUCUACUCUAUUAAGAAUAUGGACGAAAACAUGUCUCACUAGAGUAAAACAAUCGAGAAUAGUGAGGGUAUCAAAAAGUAUGAGCGUGACACAACGGCUUGAGGGAAACUCCACUAGAGGCAUCGCGACAAAGGUAUACUACCAAAUAAUCAUCUAUCAUCAUAAACCAUGAAAAAAUGGUAAUCUCAAUAGAGGAAUGUACCCCAGUAUGAUAGCUGAUGCACAGUAAAAGGGGAAGCCAAAUGACAUCAAAUAUCAUCCAUAAAAUGAAGUAAUCGUUUACACCUAUCACUAAAUCACCUCCAAACAUCAAAGAAGCAUCUCCUAGAAGAAGAAAUAGGAUGACGUCUAUAUAUCAACCAAAUCCCAAACACCAACCUAAGUAGAGGUUGUCAAAUAUAGCAUCUGGUCUCAUGGCCUCAAGGUGGGCUUAAGACAUGGGACGUAAUGUAGGCUAGGGUGAUAGGGUGAAAGAAAUGAAGGGAAACUAGGCUCAAAUACGUACCCAAUGAUCAAACCCAUACCUUCAUGUACAAGAUGUAAUGCAUAGAAAAAAUCUCAUGAGCCAUGGACCUUAAGGCAACCAAAGGAAAUGUCGAUGGCGAAACAAGAGAAAUGAUAAGUGGUCAAACCGCCAAUGAAACAUGUGAAUGAUGUGAAGAAUCAAUCGAAUUAGAAAUGUGUAUCAAUAUGUAGGAAAUGAAUAAAAUGUGGAAUGAAGAUUUGGAAAGAGGUGAUGAGAUAUGAAAGAAGAUAAUGAGAAAGUGGAAUGAAUGAUGAUCAACCCAUAUUAAGACAAUAAAGGAAAGUCAUAUCACUAAUAAUGGAAUGGUAGAUGAGACAAUGAUCCGGAAACCCUAGUAAUAAGGUUACUCAUCUCUCAUACCUAAUACAUAUCAACCAUGAUCCAAGAAGCAUAGGAUCUCAUGGAACUCUCACAUGAACCCUUGACACUCCAAAUGCAUAACAAGAGUGGCUCAAGGAGUGAAAACUCAUAUAAAAAUCUCACAAGAUUCCUCGAUGACAAAUAUACCCAAUAAAUAGACCUCGAAGGGUGACAUAAGUACUCAAUGAAGUAAGAUACCAUACACAAACAUACCAUUGCGUUGUUUUUUUUUUCUUUUUUUUUUUGUUUUUUUUUUAAUGUGCAUGUUCUGAUCAUCAAUAAAUUGAACUCCAAUGGGAAAGAUAUAAGGAAUGAACAAACUUUAUCAAAUCACUGAUGAAUACAUGAACCCCAUCCCAUGAGACAAUCUCUCAAACUAAAAUCUUUGAAUCAAUGCCAAAUGAUGGGAUGAAUGGAGUGAUAUGACUAUCCCUUUUUUUACCAAGAUGUGAAGAAUCAUCAACCCAAGAAAGAGAAGAUAUAAGGUGAAGAAAAAAAUGAUAAAUCAAGAAAGAGAAUGAAAAUGUGAUGAUAGUAAAAUAGAACCAACGGGGUGAUAAGGAGAUGGUAACAAGAAUGGGAAGAUAGGCUUAUAAGUCUAAAGCUCAUGAGACUUUCCUAGCAAAGCGUGCAUAUACAUCAAAGGGCCCCAACCCAAGUGUAGAAAUGGUAAUCAAGGCUAUAGGAAAGAAAAGGUUGUACCAUACCACGUUGUGGACCCGCAUUUUUCACGUGCGCCCCCACUCGAUCGACGAGACUCGCUUUUUAUUUGUGAAAAAUUAAUUUUUGGAAAAAAGUUGGAGCCGCCACUUAUUUUAUUUUUAUUUUAAAGGCAAAAUAAAACAAGAAAUAAAACCCUAAAAAAUGACUCCAUAAUUUUUGGAAAAACGUGUCUUUGAAAAAAACUCGAGUCUAAGUCCGGGGAUCAGGUUACUUAUUGGGAAGGUACCUUUAAAAAGUAGCACCCCUCUAAGCCCUACAAAGGUCUCUACUGACAAAGUUAAGGGAAGUGUGGCAAUUAAUCAGCUAAUUAUAGAUACCUAAAUAGGCUAGGUGAUUUUGAAGAGUGGCAUGCCAAACACAAUCAAAUUGCAAUAAAGGAGAGUUAGGGUGCGUACCUGAACCGCUCUUCAAGCGCUAUCAUAAAACAUAAAAGUUAGUGUAGAAAUGUAGCACACAACAUUUGUUUUAUUCAAGCAAAUCAGGCAUAUAUCAAGACAUCCAAGAAUCAUGUCAAAUAUGGAUAUGGUCAUCAAUGGCAUACAAGUCCAUAGAGUUCUAAAAAAUAGAUGAGAAGAUAGCGUACCUGGAUAGCAAGCUAGUACUCCUCUAUGGGAAUCAAGAGCAUCUCAACAAUAAAUACGAAACAAAUUCAUGUAUAUCAUCAAGAAGAAUAAAAAAUCAACAUAUCAAGCAAACAAUAUUGAAGAAGGUAUCAUGAAUGUCGGGCCCCCACCAAAGCCCUAAAUAAUUUCGCAUGAGUUGAUUCCAUUAAUUUCAUGACUUGGAAUUAUGGAGUUUGUUCAUGCUUGAGAAAAUUGAGAAAAAUCAAGAAAAUCGGUUGAAAAUCAAAUAAAAUAGUGAAAAUGCAUGCCGGAAGGAAAAUGGCAGCAAUAGUAUGUUAGAAUAUGGAUUUUAUACCUAGAAAGGAUUUAAGAUGAAUUUUUCAAAGCCAGGAAUGUUUAGUUGAACAAUGGUUCAAAAAUUCAAUUUAAAACAAUAAGUUCCCAAUCAAAGAAGCAAAUAGAGGAGAAGGUGUGUAUAGCAAGGUUGCCAUGAAGUGAAACCGGGAAAUUCUGGAUAGAAGGGACCAAUUCACUACAAGAGUGUUCAACUGUCAAAUGCUUCAACUUAAAAGACAUCUUGAUUUAUAAACUCAAUUGGAUUCUCCUCAACAAAAGUCAAAUACUGAAUUGAAGGUUUAGAAUUUCCAAUUUUCUGCAUUGUUGUAUUUCCUGCAUUUUGUGUUAUUUCCCACCACCGAGACUUGGUUCAGCAGUAUUGUCGGAGUUUGCUUUUUGAUUGUGGGCGGAAAUGGAUCCGGCGAAUCACGAGUAUCUAACGAGCCAAGCUAUCCGAGUGGAGUGUGAAUCAUUGGCCACAGAUGCUAUCCGGAUAAGCGUUAUCGAAGGAUCCGGACAUGUCUGCCCGGGGAAGUUGAAUCGUCCUCCUCUCCCAUCUGGCGACAAGUGCCGGAUGUGAAAUAUCCGGAGAAGGUGGAACGUCGGCCGGAUAGAAUUACGGUUGUGAAAUAUCCGGAGAAAGUGGGAUGUCGGUCGGAUAGAAUUGCGGCUGUGAGAUAUCCGGAGAAAGUGGGAUGUCGGCCGGAUAGAAUUGCGGCUGUGAAAUAUCCAGAGAAAGUGGGAUGUUGGCCGGAUAGAAUUGCGACUGUGAUACAUCCGGAUAAGGUAGAACGUUGGCCAGGCAGAAUUCCGGAUGUGAGACAUCCGAGUGGAAUUAGUGAGAAUUUCCGUCCGGGUGGAAUGAGUGAUGCCACAAACUAAAAACCCUCAAGAACUAUGGUAACCUCUGCAUCUAUUUAACCCCAAGAAAACCCGUUUUACACAGCCUUUAUCAAGUUCCCACCUUUCUCGAAAUGCUCAUGGUCUUCAUAUCCGAGAAUACCAAGGUAAAGAAAGGGAAGAAACAUAGAUACAGAAACACACAAAAAAACCAAGAAAGAAAAGAAAAUAAAACAGGGGAAAAGAAAACAGUCGGUGGGUAUUUUGAAGCCAGAUUGGGACAUAAAUGGGGGCAAAACCCAUAGCAUCAAAUUCAAAGGUAAACCUAUAUUCAGAUUGCUUUCAGAUGGAAUCAAAGACAUUAAAAGGAAUAUUAAAAUAACAUAAACAUGCAAGCAAACCAGUCUCAACUAAUCAAAUUGUGGCCCUUGCAUCCACACCAAACGACAAGAAUGAAUCUUCAGAAAACUAAGAAGUCAGGAAAGAUUGAAACUAAAUGGUGAUAUAGCAAAAAUCUGGAAACAUACCUGCACGUUCUCCUCUCCAAUUGCUUGGUUCCAGGUUGUUGCACCUUUUCCCGACUGAGAAAUCUGCUCCCCAAACCUUUUUCCGUCUACCAAUCUUCUCCCUCUCUAUACAUGUUCCAAGUCCCUCUCUUCUAUGCCUCUCUUCCAGACGAUCCUCUCAUGCGCGCCCCCCUCUAUGCGUGUUGAUUACUACUCAAAAAGUGCUAUUUGAUAGCUUGUAAUUAACUAUUUUAAACACUUUUGAGUAGUAGUUAUUACCUUUUAACUCAAUUGGCAUGUUAAGGACCCUUGCAAUCAAUUCUAAUCAAAUUGUGUUAAGUUUUGGUGUUUUGAUAGCUUUUUGAUCACCAAAGCAAUCCAAGAUUGAGGAGAGUUCUUUGGAAUCCAUGGCAAAGCAAUGGAAAGCUCAGAAACAUGAAGAACCAAAGCUUUAAAGUCCUUUGCCAUAAGCAAAUCCGGAAUGCAAGGAGGGGAAGUAAAGAGAAUAUCUGCCAUGAAACAUUUUUUAUGACAAUCAUUUCAGCACUUUUGGAGCACUUCCUGAAGUCCAAUUUAUACAUGCUAUAUGUUGUUUCGAAGAUCAGGAAGUCAACAAUCCAAUGCUUCAAACGGUGCACGAAUCGGAGUUGAAAUGAAGAAGUUAGAGCCAUUGGAAGCAGAUCACUCCAAGCUGAAGGCCAAUUUCGCAGGGCUGCGAAAUCAGCCUUUGGUUGCGAAAUUUCGCAGCCAUUUUGUGCGCUUGCGAAAUUCUCCUGAAGCUUCCCGAUAGUUGCGACCGACAUUGUGAUAUAUUUUUCUUUAGAUUUUUUGAUGUCUAAAUCCCCAUUUUCUCCUUGUAACCCACCAAUUAUAGGAUUCCUUAGUUAUUAAGCUUGGAAAAGGGGUGAAUAACCUCAGAUAUUUUGUUUUGUAAUUUUCUUUAUAUAUAGCUCUCGGGAGCUUGUUGAAAAAAAAAAUCAGAUAUGUAAUAUAGAUCAAUAUAUAGAAUAUACAGAGCCUUGCUCUGGUUUUUCUCUCUUCUCCUGUUCUUCCCCAUUUCUAUUUUCUUAGUAGCCAAACAACCUCUGAGGGCUUUUCCUCAGAGGAUGAUUGGCUAAAAAUUUUAGUUUCUCAAAGUAUGGAUGUUAUGUGAUGACUUGGAUGCAAUCCCAUGGAAAUUUCUCGCACCUGGAAGGUAAGGUAGUCGUUUUUCAUUAAUGGUUCAUUAAUGCAAAGUUUGGUUUUUAUUUCCUUUAGACAACUUCCAACGGCCAAUACUUGAUAAGCUUUUAGAUUUUUAUCCAUUAGUUAUCUCCUACGAGCUAUUGGAAGGUGAGGUUUUCAAUUCCAAGUUUUGCAUUAAUCCGUUAGAACCAAUUUCAAUGGCCAUUGAAAGGUGAGUUUAUCACCUGGAAUGACUUUGAGUUGCCAAUAUUUGGUAAGCUUUUGGCUUUAGACCAUUAGUUAUCUCUUACGAGCCAUUCAAAGGAAGUCUAUGGUGAAUAACCAUUGAUGAAAUUCACUACCAUCUGUUUUGUCAUUUUAAAGGAUUAAAACUUGAUUUGCUAAAUCCAUACCGGUUCGGGAAGCAAGCAUCACCAUAGUUGCAACCCCAACGCGAGGAGCCUAUCCUGAGAUUCCCAAUUUGCAUAAGAGCCAGAGCAUAGCUAUCCUAUCUUUGAGAAACUUGUUUUUACACCCUUUCAUUUUAGUCUUUAAUGUUAGCUUAGAUUAGUUUAAAUCUUUCUAAAACAUUUACAUCUUCUUUUAAAGCUAACAUCCAUAAGAAAAUCACCUAUUUUCCUAAUUUGAAUAUCAUUUGUGAAGUGAAAACCCAUCCCAGUGAACGAUCCUAGAACCACUAUGCUAUAGUAGCUUGGCUACUUUAGUAAUAGUAUUUAAGGUAUAAAUUUUGUUGAUACGCCUUUAAAGCUAAGCUACCAUGAGUCGCAUCACGUGUCCUCCUUGAAUUCUCCCUAAAAAAAAUCCUUAUAUUCAUAUCAGCCUCUCAAACUCAAUCUGCUCAAGAGAAUCCACUUUCCUUUCUUCUAUUUUCCUUCAUUUUUUUAAAAAUCAGAAUGCUCCUCUCUUCUCAUGCAGGAUCUUCUCUUUCCAUAUGUAUGCAGCCACAUUAAUUCCUUUUUCCUCGCAAAAUAUUUCUCUUACCUUUUUGAGUGCACAUACCUUAGUGAGAGUUGAAUAGCAACCCCUAUUCUUUUAUCAAACAAUGAAAAAAUGAAAAUAGAGAGAAUAAAAACAAAAAGAGUUAGCAAUCUUACAACCUAUCAAAGAUGAAAAUAAAAUAAAAAUAAAUAAAGUAAAACAAAAUAAUAGUCAAUCCUAUGCGGGCCAUGCAAGUCAUACAAAAAGUGAGUUUAAAAGUGCCUACUAGGCCAAGUGUGUCUAAAUGGGCCUAGAGCGAUGCCUAAUGGGCCAAAGUAGACUACCUUAAAAGCUAUCCUAAAAAUGAAUGAAAAACCUAAGUCUAGAAUAGGGCUGCCAAGGGUCACAAUGAGGAGUCAGAUAAUCCCUCAACCAAAGUCUCCGAGGUGACUCAGAAAAGGGUAAGUUAUACGAGUAAUAAUGGGUCACUAAGGAGUUACUGUGGUGCACUGAAAACAAAUUUAAAGACAUGUGCUAAAGGGACAAAAUUGAGGGUCUACACACGUGAGGCUCAAUGGGCUAGCAACAGUCUAAUAUAUGGAUAAAUGUGAUAAAGUGUAAGGCUAACCGAAAUUAUGGCCACCCAUCCUGCGACCAUUGUCUUAAAUGUAAUACUUCUUCAAUUGAUCCACAUUAGUAGGGUCUGAGAACUGAUCUCUAUCCAGAUAUGUCAAUCAUAUUUCCUCUCUAGGGUCAACUUUCUAAUGACAUGUGGUGUAUUUCAAGUAAGUCGCUAGGGUCUCCUGGAAUAGAUGAAUCUCCAUGACCAUAACUGGGUUAACAUCAUCCUCAAACAUAUCAUCAACAUAAGCAGAUGCCCCAACAUAAAUAAACUGAAUCUCUUUUGAACUCUCAACGAUGANNNNNNNNNNNNNNNNNNNNNNNNNNNNNNNNNNNNNNNNNNNNNNNNNNNNNNNNNNNNNNNNNNNNNNNNNNNNNNNNNNNNNNNNNNNNNNNNNNNNNNNNNNNNNNNNNNNNNNNNNNNNNNNNNNNNNNNNNNNNNNNNNNNAUACUAAUCACAAUGCAAAAAGGUGGUCCAACUGAAACUCAAACAUGUACCAAUCUCUUAGCACACCAAAAUGAGACCAUGAGGAGGAUAAUUGAACCCAAUUGUGACCAAGGCAGCUCUGAAGGUCCACAGAUACACCUACAUGUAGGAAUGAAAUCUUAAUUGGGUCUAAGCUAACCUUCAAGGUUGAGGUGGCUCUAUAAGAUAAAAUGGGUGGGUUAAAGGAUCCCUAGUAGAAGCGAUCGUACCAUCUGGCAAUACGCAAUCCUCUGCAUGCUUCCAAGGAGACGGGGUGCUUCCAUGCAAGGUGGUCAUCACCUCCACACAUGCACUUUCUCGCUUUCCUAGGGGGUUUUCCUAACAGUGAAGGCUCUCUCAUAUCUCAACACUCAGGGAUAAUCUAAAGUGCACGGUAAAGGAUGUGGGUGCAUCCAAAAAACUUAAGGUCUAACAGUGAGAUAGUAAACAUAGACAAGCAAUCAUACAAUCAUGUAGGAGUAAGAGUUGUCAUACAAUAAGCAGUCAUACCAAGUAGAUAGGUAUCAUACAAACAAAGUCCUAUCUAACAUAUGUGAGAGUGAAUCUUGCUAAAGUGAGCAAGCAAUAGAGUGAUCAUUCAAGGUAAUCAAACAUGUUAAGAUAGCAAACAAAACAAGCAAGUAGAUCGGAUCACCUUGCCUAAAAAAAAAGGUACCAUCUAAUCGACUAAUUAAAUGUCACAUUUUCCUUAACUAGUGUUCAAGCUUGAUCCUCAAAAUUCCCAGUGGAGUCACCAAUUUGUGGACCCGUAUUUUUAACAUGCAUUCCCACUUGUCGGCGAGACUCGCUUUUAUAUGGUGAAAAAUUAGUUUUGGAAAAGUCGGAGUCACCACUUAUUUUAUUUUAUUUUAAAAGGGAAAAUAAAACAAGAAAGAAAACCCUAAAGAAGUGACUCCAUAGUUUUUGGAAACAUUUGUCUUCGAAAAACCCGAGUCUAAGUCCGGGUAUCAGGUUACCUAUUAAAAAGGUACCUCUAAAAGGUAGCACUCCUCUAAGCCCUACAAAGGUCUCUACUGACUAAGUUGAGGGAAAUAAGACAAUUAAUUGGUUGAUUUUAGAUACCUAGGUAGGCUAAGUGAUUUUAAAAAAUAGCAUGCCAAACAAUAAAACCAAUCACAAAUCAUAAAGAAGAUUUAGGGUGUGUACCUGGACUGCUUCUUAAGUGCUAUUACAAGGCAUCAAUGGUUAGUUUGGAAAAUAAGACACACAACAUGUAUUUUACCCUAAUCUCUUAAUCAAACUUGGCAAGCUAAACAAACAAUCAAAGAGAUAUGUUGAAUAGGUUGAGAAUCGCAUAUGAAGCAAUACAUAAUGAUCAUGUAUAAAGCAAUACAUAAUUUAUGGAAUUAAAAUAUGAAGGUAAGAAGCAGACCUGAAUAGUAUAGGUAACUUGUAACGUGUUUCCACAAGACAUGAGGGGUUAGAUAAUAAAUAAUAAAAUAAAUAAAUCAUAGCAUGCUUAUUAUCUAAUUAGCAUGACAAAAAUUAUCAAAGUAUACGAAAUAAUCAAUUAUCACAUAUAUCUUGUAUAUAAUUCCUAAAAAAAUAGAUAGAUAUGAUUACAACAAGUAGUAAAGGUGGUAGCAAAGAUGAGUUUUGAAAAAAUGAUUUUAUGUGGGGGUUUCAUCAAUUCCCCAAUUGAUAUAUACAAAUCUAGCCUAAAAUUAUCCAUUUUAUUUGGGACCACAAGCUUGGAUUCAUAUUUUACUCAAAACCAUAGUUUUUAUUAAAAACUGAGAAAAAUGCAAACCGGUCAAAACAUGGUUGCAUGUUAUUUAUAUAUAUAUAAAAUGAGAUUUCGAUUCUAAGAACUCUAAAUGAACUUUUGAAAUGCAUUUUAAUGAGGAACAUUUUGAGAAAAGGUUUCUUCUUAAAAUGAAAGAAAUCAUUUACAAACGACAAUACUCAAGGAUCAAACAUAGGCAACCCAAAGGAAAACAAAAUCACAAAAUAAAAUUUUAGACAACCAAGCCGACUAAAGUGGUGAGAGUAGGGCCAAACUUCAUGGGUUUCCAAUGGCCUUAAAAAAAAUGAUUUGACCAACAAUCACUAAAGCAACAAACUAAUGACUUCCAAAUCAAACAAACUAACAAAAAUAUUAACCAAAACUAAAAUCUAGAAUUCAAGAAGCACAUGAACUAAGAUAAAAACCAAUCAAGGAUUAAAACCAAACUUAACGUAUGGAGAUAAUAACAUGGGAUCAAUCAAAGUAAAUUAACUAAAAUUCUAAAACCACUUCGAAAUUAAUAUUCACGCAUCAAAAAUUAAAUAAAAAGCUUUAACUUACCUUUUUCAAUAAUGCAUGGGCCAUUUUCCACCAUUAAAAGUUCUAAGUCUUUUUUUUUUUUUAAUAUUCAUUCACCAAUUUUAAUAUCCAUUGCUUCUUCAUGCAAAUGCUUGCCUCCAUGAAGCAUCCUCCAUGAUCCAAUAUCCAUAAAACAACUUCAAAAUAUCUUCACUCACCUUCUCACCUUUGUUCCGAAUAUCAAUUAUCACUUUGAAACAAAGUUAGAUGACCCGAAAUCAAUGGUAAGCACAAUAGGUUGUUUUGUACAAAUUUGAUUUACAAAAACCAGAGUCAGGGUGAGGAUUCGGAUGCAAGAAUGGAAGAAUGAUCCAACUGGAAGCAAUGCCUCAUGAUCUUGAUGGCCUUUGAUGGUUAUUCAUAAUCAAUCCUUCGUGAUGAUGGUGAUUCCCUUCGAUGAAGACGUCUGAUGGUGAAGAGAAUCUCUUUCAGAGGCGAAUACAUGAGCGGUGAUGAAGAUACAAAUGAAAAUUUGAACCUUUCAUUCAGAUGAAAAUGCGCUGAAAACAAAGGUGUUGUAUAGGUGCAAUGCUCCAGAAUCAUGAACGAAGAAGUAGUGAAAGAAACCUCUUAAUCAACGUGUAAUGCUCUUGUGGUUCUCUUGAAGCUCCUAGAAUCCUUGAACAAAGGUCUCGAGAUUAAUAAAUGAUCUGCUGAUAUUUUCCAAAAUGACGCACUGUUGAUGAAUCCUCUGGCAUAACGGAUCUAUGUUGGUGAAGCUGGUCCCCUGCUCUAACGCUGAAUGUGGUAAUCAAAUGUCGAUCUAGUGUUGCCGGAGAUGAAGUCCAUUUCUCCAAGAACGCUAAGAAAUUUUUUCUAUUCGAUAAUCUCUCUCUUUUCUCAACCUUCUUAGUCUCUCUCCAGAACUCUUUUUCGUUUGUUCCUAUUUUCCCGCAACUAAAAGAUUCCCUUUUGGAGGCUUCCUCUCAAAAACGCGUUUCAUCGAAUGCCUAAUAGUUAGACAAUGCAUGAAUAUUCCUUUGCAUGGCUUAAGGUGGUGUUCCUCAUGUGUAAGAGUUCCAGUUUUAAACUGGUCAAUUUUGAAUCUCGCAUUUGAUCCUCACCGACAUUGGAAAUGCGAGCAGAUUGUGGAGGUUUGGGUGGUAGUGUGUGUGAUGUAUGAUGGUGGUGCAUGUGGGUGUGAGUGAGAUGAUGAAUGUGAUGGAAAUCUAGGUGCGUGUGAGGAAAAAGUGCAUGUGAGAUUGUGUGGCCAUGUGUGCAUGGCAAUAAAAAUUUGGUAGUGCGUGAAGAUGGAGAGAGGUUGUCGAUGGCGUGUUGGUUCCUCCAAUUCUGAUAGUGCAUACACUCCAGAAAAAUUCUGAUUAUAGUCCCUCUGAAAAAUUCUAAUCAUUUUCCACUCUAAAACAGUUGUAAUUGUCCUCCUCUCAAAAAAUUCUUACCGUCGUCCACUAAAAAAAAAAAAAAAAUUCUGACCAUCUUCCCCUGAAAAAUUCUGAUCAUCCUUUCUUUGAAAAAAAAAAUGAUCAUCUUCUCUUUAAAUUUUGAUCGUCCUUUUGUAGCCUACCUCGGAGCGUGUUGAAGACUGCCUAAUAAAUGCUGUCGUUUCAAGGAUAGUCCCAUGUGACUACUUGUUGUGAGAGAUCCUGCCCAAAUUGUGGUGCAUGGUUGCCUCUUGCAACCAUGAUUGGUGGACUCCAACUUCUCCAAUGGUGUGUUGUGAUGCUUUCGAAUUGAUGGUCCUUUUCCUUGGUGUGUGAUGCAGAUUGUGUGGUCCUGAGGGUGGCUGUGAAGAAACUCGUAAUCACGUGUAAGAGAAGGUCCCUCUUAUAGUGCGUGAUUGACUCCCUUAAGAAGUCUCAUGGGCGAACUAUGCUUCCUUCCAAGAUGGACUCUCUUCUUUUUCAGGCUAUUGCAUGUCGAUGCUUCUCCAUGGAGAAUGGUGUCUAUAUGAGGAGUCAUGCAGUCCCUCCAGUAGUGGAUUAUACGUAGGCUUUUUCUUCCUGAGUCGCCUUUGGCUAUUGUUCUUAAAGAGAAUACAUACUUCUCCCCCAAAGCCCAAUGGAAAAGUUGUCCUCUAGAUUUCUGGUGUUGUUGCCCUUUUUUUUUUUCCUUUAAAACGUAACCUUAUUUAUUCUCUCUAAAAAUGCUUCAUGUUCCCUUCUUCCAAAAAAAUGCUUAACUUUUCUUAUCCAUGGCUUAAGCCUCGAAAAUUCCACUAAUGACAUGAUCUCCAAAAGAAUUCCCCCCAUCCGUGAAUCCAAUCUCCAAUAAUAGUCUCCCGUUUUUCCUUCCUUCUCCCAAUAUUCAUAUCUUCCUUACCAAAACAAAUCCUCAGAACUUCAAACUUCCCAAAAACGCCUUCCAAGGAGAUUCUCACUUUCCUUAUCUAAUGGUAAGUUUCAUUGCAAAAGCAUGAAAUUUAUUAAAUUAAAUAAUUGAAUGAAUAAAUAAAUAAGCAAAUAAAUUAGAAAACUAUAAAACAACAAUAAAUAAAUAAGUUAAUUAAAAAAAUAAGAAAAAUAAUAUAAAAAGGAAGAUAACAAAUAAAAAUAAACAUGUGAUUGAUAAUAAUAAAAAUAGAAAUAAAAAUAAAAAUAAAAAUAAAACUAAAUAAAUAAAUAAAAACUGAGUCACACAAGCCAUACAACCAUGCAAGUCAUACAAGUCACGCUAAAAAUGUCUAAUGGGUCAAGUGUGCCUAAAUGGGCCUAAUGAGUCUUAAAGGACCUAGGGGUGUCCAAAUGGGUCUAAGGUGGUAUUUAAUGGGCCAAGUGUGCUUAAGUAACCUAGGUAAGUCUAAUAUGUCUUAAUGGGCCUAGGUGGUUUAGGACAGUGUCUAAGUGACCUAAAGUGAUCAGGACAUUAUCUAAGUGACCUAAACAUGCCUAAGUGUGCUAUCCUAAAAGUGCACCUAAAAGUUAUUUGAAGUCUAAAUUAGGGCUGCUAAGAGUUAUAAUGGGAUUAGAUAAAUCCCUUAACCAAAGUCUCCAAGGUGGUGAAAAAUAAAUAAAUAAUAUGAAUAACAAUGGGUUACCAAGAAACUACUGUGAAACACUAGAAGUGAACUUAAAAACAUGUGCUAAAUGGACAAAAUGGAGGGUCUACAAUCACUUUGGCUUGGACUAAUCCACAUUAAUUUUUAACAUCUCAAUUCAUGAAAGAAUGCUCAAUCCUCGUGUGGAGGAGGUGCUUCACCAUCAAAUGAGACCUACUAUUUAUAGGCACCAUGGAAGUCUUUGAUUCUUGAUGAUUUGUUACGAAGUCCAGAAUAUUCUAUAUACAAGCUAGGUAUAAUUUAUAUUUAGAGUUUACAAGAACUCAUUAGAAUUCUCUACACAACCCCUAAGACUCCUAUCCCAUUAUGGAAAUGUGUAAAUGUUUCUACGUCCUUCCCAAAGUUUCCUACUACCUAGAUGUGACAUUAGUCAUUAGCAAAAAUGAAGUAACAACAACAAAAGGUGGUAAAAGAUAAACCCAUAUAACAAACGAUACUAAAUGUAAUUACAACGAAAUGUUGUUAAGAUAUACAAUAUAAGGAUUACAUUCCUACCUUGGUCUAAAAAAGCCAAUUAUGCGUUCAGAAGGUCCCAUGCUCUUGUUUGAACACUGUUUCGAAACAGGGGAGUUUCACUUGGUAGCAUUAAUCAAACCAUUUAUUAGUCUCAGUUUUCAAGUCAAGGUCAUAAAUUCACUGCUUCGGUGGACAUCUGGUGUAAAUCUAACCAUAAGAGUAGGAAGACAUUCAUGUAUUAGACUUGAAGGAUGAGCUAAUUAAGGAUUAGUCGAGCUGAAUUCAGUGUGCUGCUAUUGCCAAAGGAUCCUGGGAAUGAGUCCUUAAUGAUACUGAGAAUUUUCUGAAUUCGCUGCCAUAAGGCCCAUAACUUUGUAAUUAAUGUGCUUUUGCCACUUGAAUUUCCAAACAAGAAAUUCUUUCUGUGAUGCCCCCAUCAAAUUUCCACAAAAAAAAAAAAAAAAAAAACUUAUAAAUAAUCAGAGAUUUGAAAAAAAAAAAAAAUUAAAAUAACCGGAAAAAUCUGAAUUUAAUUUUGAAUUUUUGAAAAAUAAAAAAUAAUUACUUUUAAAUGUCCUUAAUAAAAUUACUUAAAAAAAUAUUAUAUAAAAUCUAUCUAAUAACCUUGUUUUUUUUUUUUUUUUCAUUUUAUCCAUCUUUAUCACUUUUUGUUUUCAUGCUGACGUUAGCUUGAUUUAUUUUUAAAACAAUAAAAUUUUUAUUUUAUUAUUAUUAUUUUUGAAUAAAAAUAUAUAUUUUUAUUAUUUUGUAUUAACUAUUUUAUUAAAUAAUACUUUGAGAGAGAGAGAGAGAGAGAGGGGGUAACCGACGGGUCGCCCCCAUCCCAACCCCGCCCUAUUUAUUCAAAACAAUUAUCUUCCCCAUCUCAUUUAAAAAAUUAAACGUGGUAGGGUAGGGUAGGGUAGGGUAGGGUGGGGCGGGGUAUCGUUUAACUUUUUUUUUUUUUUUUAAAAUUACUUUUAAAAUUUUUAAUUAUAUUAAAAUAAAUAUAUUUUAUAAAUAAUUAAAUUAUUAUAUUUUUUAUAAUUUAUUUUAUUAAAAAUAUUUUAUUAUUAUCUAUAUAUAUUAAAAAUAGUAAAAUAAAAAUUAAAUUAAAUUAAUUUUAAAUUAAUUUUAUAUAUGAUUGGGUCGAGAUGGGGUGGGGCGGGACGAGACGAGGCAAUACCUGAACUUGUCUCGGGUUUAAAAAAAAAAAAAUCCCAAACCCAUCCAAAACUCGUUUAUUAAAAUCGAACCCCGUCCCAUUAGAGGCGGGGCGGGUACCCGAAACACCGCCCCCACCCCAAUUGCCAUUCCCCGGGCGGGUAGAGAGGGGCGGGGGGAGAGGCCGGGGUAAUUGUGCUCCGUAAUGGAUUAUUGAGUGAUGGAAUUUAGUGGUCGCAUCACAAGUUAUUUAAACAAUAUUUAUACAAUGAUUGAAUAAAAGGAACACUUAACUUCUAGACUAGAAUUUAAUGGCAUCAAAAAUUCCAUUCUGGUGGUAGAUAGUGGAACCUUGAAAUGGAUGAGAGUUCUUCUUUUCCGGGUAGUCAUCCAAAGGUGCAAACACGUAAGGUUUGUUGUUGAAGACUGCUAUGGGGGUUCUUACUACAUGAUUACCAUCUGUCCAUUCAAUAGCUCCUGAGAUGACAGGCACCUGAACUAUUGGCGAUCCAGUUAUGAUCACUUUGAAUGAUUUCUUCUCCCCAACCUCUGAAAAUGUUAGAACUGGUGGUUCCACAAGUACAGCAAAAGAAGGUGGCAUUGUUAUGUUUGAAUGAUAAGUGGAGUUGGGUGACCCAAAAUUGGUUACAGUCCUGAGGUAGCUGGCCUGGACUGGCUCUCCAUCUAGCAAUGAGAGACCAAAUGAUGGAUAGUUGAGAUCCCAUGCUUUCCCUGGUUCAUUACUUGGACAAACGCUAGAGUCCCCAGUGAUCAUUCUUAGAUGGGUUGUGUUGUAACCCUGUUUGCAUAGGAAAUCCACAUAAUCUGCUUCACUUGCAUCAAAGACUAACCCAGGGUCCACUGCCUUCAGUGGGUUGAUGUGCCCAGAUCCAUAGGCAAAUUCAGCGUCUUCAUUCUUCCUUGGGUCCAUGAUUGUAGCUGUAGCCGUAGAUUGUGAACAAUUUCUCAACAUAUGGUGUUUUGGAAAAGCUAGAGAGCAAGAAUGAAAAGAAAAGAGAAGAUCAGAUAGAACUUUUAGUCACCUGUAGUCAUGAGGGCAGACUUGAUAGCAGCAGGAGACCAUGUUGGGUGGGCGGCCUUGAUAUAUGAUGCAGCACCAGUGACAUGAGGGCAAGACAUAGAUGUGCCGGAGAUGAUGUAGUAGUCAACUUGCCUAUCAUCGAACACCCAUACUGAAGAGAGUCCACGGGGAGACCAGGCCGCAAGGAUGUUUGAACCAGGGGCAGUUACAUCAGGCUGUUUUUUUACAUUCAAAGAUGUCAGUCUUAUAUCAUCCUCUAAGGACAAUCCAACAUAGAAUCUAUGUUGAAAGAUGUAUUCACCCUCAGUGGUAACGACCUGCUCCUAGCCAUCCAUACGGUAUUAAAAAGCGUUUACUUGAUUAAGAGGAGCUUCUAUAUAUAGUGUUAGAAACUUGUCCUCUUAUAUAGGUGGGAUAUUACAAUCAUUUCAUGAUAGCAUUUGUAAUGGUCCUCUUCCGAUAGCUAGUGUGGAUAUUUUCUGCUUUGUGCCCAAUAGACCCUCAUAGUUUCAAAACACAUUUGCAUCGUUAAGAGGAGUCUGUGCAUAUAUAUAUAUAUAUAUUAUAAAAAAAAACUUUUUCUUCUAUUCGAUAUGAGAUAUCACAAUAUUGCUGCAUACCUUGAGAAUAUCUGGACUAAUAGGGUUAGGACCUCUUGAGGAGAAGGAGACAACUGUAGGAGCCAUGACAUCUGUUGUUGUCUCGGUGGAAAGAAUAGUUGCAGUUGGAUAUCUGGGAAAAAAAAAAAACUCAAAACCCUCAUUAGAACUACUCUGGAAGAGGUUUCUGAGAAUUUAUACUUUUGAAGAACCAAAUUGGUCUGCAGUUAUUUACUCUGUCGUUCUGAUGUAGUCAAUUAGCUUCAAUCGGUCAUCAUAGCUGAUCACCACUGCUGGUACAGGGAACGCAAAGGCAAUUUCAUCAAAUGGGGAGGCCAUUAUGAGGCCUACAGCCUCAGCAGAAAAGGCUCCCGAACUAUCAGAGAGGAUAUUGCAGAGGACAACUGCUCCUCUGGUUUUGAGUGUGCUUAGAGUUCCUGGGAAGCAGAUGCCUGCGAUGUCUGGGCUCAUAGCUGAGGUUAUAUUUGCUGCAUCUCCCGAGUACACCAAGGGGAAUGAAGUGCCAUCCAGAUGGAAAUUAUUGAGCGAAGUUCCCUUUAUUUUCCCAGACAUGAAGAAAAAGAAAAAUUAUUUGUUUCAGAUAAGAUUGAUAAACUAGUGAAUGGAUUUGAAUGAAGAAGGGCUUACAAGAAUUGUUUGUCCAUUGCCAAGCACCACUUUGGUAACAAAGCUCCUGUCAAUGGUGCUAGCAGCCACUGUUAAAGCCCAAGGGGCAUAGUUUGAAAUUUGUCUCCGGUAUGGCCCCUUAUUUCCUGCAGAACAAGAGGUCAAAAUUCCAUUUUUCAUGGCAUGGAAAGACCCAAUAGCCACUGGUUCCUUGUUGUACGCGGCUGGCAUUUCAGAACCCAGGGAAAUUGAUAAAAUGUCGACUCCAUCGGCUAUUGCAUCAUCAAAAGCAGCUAGAAUGUCUGCAGGGCUGCAACCUCCUCCCCAGCAUACUUUAUACACGGCCAGCCUUGCAUUUGGAACUCCGCCUCUUGCAACACCGCUGGCUAUCCCGUAGUAGCUUGCGUUUUCCACUGCUCGCCCUGCUGCAGUUGAGGCAGUGUGACUCCCAUGUCCCAAUGUGUCCCUUGGUGAUUUGGUAUCACGGAGAGGGUCGGCCAAAUUGUCAGUAUCAUAGAAGCGCGCUCCUAUGAUCUUGCUGUGAAUUAUAUCUUCAUCAGCUUUGAACCAGUAGGUUGAUGAGAAAUAAAAAACUUGAGAGAACAAGAGAGAGAGGUCACUUGUUGCAGGUGAAGUUAUUUUCUGUCUGGCAUAUCCCUUUCCAUUUUGCAGGUGGGGGACCAAAUCCUUCAUCCCUGAAACUCGCGCUCUCCGGCCAAAUUCCUGCAUAAUUGCAUAAAUGGAUUAUGAUUUCUUUUCUGAAGAUCAUGUCAUCAGUUUGUAGGAUUAACUCAAGUCUUAUUUUCAAGUUCACCUGUGUCUAGCAUUCCAAUGAUAACAUCUCCUUCAUAAGACCCCAUAGGGGGUUCUGGAAAGCUCAUAAAAUCCCAUGAUCUUGUAGUGUGAAGUUGCACUUUGGUGUUGGGAAACACUGAAACUACUCCCUCCAUAUCUAGAACUCAAAAGCAGUCAAAUUAGUGAAAAACAUAGACCAGAUUUAUUAUGUUAGCUCAAGAUCAAUGGCCAUUAUACCAGCAAUUCUUGCCACUUCUUCGUCUGAUAGUCUGGCCACAAAUCCGUUAAAGCUCCGUCCAUAACUGUGAAGGAGCGAUUCCUUUGCCAAAGAUGAACUGGACUCAAGAAAUUCAAAUGUUUUACUAAUUGCAGAAUAUGCAUAUAAUCUAUAGUAAUGUAAAGACACUGUGUUCUUGGUUUAAGAUGAACCCAUUCUUUCUUUCUUAUAACUAUUAUUACUGACCUGCCAAGGACCUCUACUAGCAUGUUGUGGUGUGUCGAAGCAACUGAUGCAUCUCCCUUUGGAAGAUCUCCCAUGUACACAACAUGAGCCUGAAACAAAUACAGUGAUAGUAUUGUAAUUCUUGAAACUAAAAGCUAAAAGGGAUCGAAUAUGAAGAGUUAUGAAGAGGUGUAAGCAUUGGACCUUUCUCUGCUGUUCAUAACCAUGACAGUUCAGCACCAACGCUGCAAGAAAGAAAGGGUAGAGAAGAGAGAUCAGCUGUCUACCCUUGGCCAUGGUGUUUAGUUUGUAAGUUGCAGGCAGGUUAUGCCAAAUGAUAUGAACUCUAAGGUCAUUUAUAUGCAUGAAUACCGAUCUGGCCUAUGUAUCUCUUAUGGGUGAGAGUUGGCCUAAGCCGGCUAUCAUAAUUACCUCGUCCUUGGAUUAUCUCUGUUGGGAAACAUGCCUAGCACAACCCCUUGAAUGGGUUUGGGUGUGGUUGUCGUAAUAAUCGUCUCGUCUUUCUCUGUUUCCUCCUUGUGAAGCUGGCUGCUGUUACAUUGCUUUGGAGACUUCACCUGUUUCUACAAGGUGGAAGAGGAGACAAACCAGGUGGACCAGGCUGGAUUUGAGUCAGUGAGUGGAAAUUAACUAGGCUAAGAUUUAUCUGAAGUACCUUGAUCAAACUAUAUAUUUUCCCUAUCACCAGCAAUCUAACAAAAUCAAUAGUAUUUUGGACAAAUUAAUAUCAUUGUGGUUCAGAAACUAGAAGCAAGAACAGAAGUAAAAGUGUGUUGUCAGUUGCCAUGCGGUAUUGGAUCAUAUAUGCAGAUAAAGUCAUAUGUUGGGUAAUAGUUUUGCCUUGAUGUUCAACUACAUGUAUUGAUUAAUUCCUAGUUGGAACCCACCAAUUGUGAGAAUUGAUAACAAUUUUUACUAAAAUGAUAUUUUAUUUCAUUCAAGUCAUUAAUAAAUACAUAACAUUCUUUAUUUAGAAUAAUUAAAUAUACUUGGAUUAUAAUUUUAUAUUUAUAUAUCCAAGUAAUUUCAACUUGCUCCUUUUGAAGUAGAAUCACUUUUUGUAAUAUCCUGUAAGUACCUAAGCGUUCAUUUCAUUACUUCCCAAUACUACUUGCAAACUAAAUUUAACAUAAAUCUACUCACAACUCUCACUAUAUUGGCAAUGUAUGGUCUCGCGGAUACCAUAACAUACAUUAAACUUCCAAUAGAUGAGACAUAUGGAACCUUAGUGAUGAAGUCUAUUGGUGGGCAAUGUUCCAUAGAUAACCUAAAGUAAUUUGCUAGAAUCACUUUUUGUAGUACCCUACAAGUACCCAAAUGUUCAUUUCAUUGCUUUCCAAUACUGCUUGCAGCCUCAAUUUAAUAUAAAUCUACUUACAACUCUCAUUAUAUUUGCAAUGUAUGGUCUCGUGCACACCAUAGCAUACAUUAAACUUUCAAUAGAUGAGGCAUAUGGAACCUUAGUCAUGAAGUCUUUUUUCUCAUAUAUUAGUGGGCAAUGCUCCGUAGAUAACCUGAAGUAAUUUACUAUAAAUGUUCUAUCUUAGCAUUAACCAAAAUUAGUAAGAAACUUAAAUAUUUUAAAAUUAUUUAAUUUUUAUAUAAAAAAGUCAAAUAAGUUAGAUGAAUUUAAAGUAAAAUAUAAAAAUAAUUUUUUGAUUUUAUAUUUAUUUAUUAUUCUUUUCACUUUAUAUUUCAUUUCCUUCGCAUUUUCCCUUCAAUUUAUUGGGAAUCAAAUAUAACCUAAAGAUAUAAACACAUUAAUACAAGGCAAUGAUUGCUUCAAUAUAACAUUCGCUUAAAAUUUAUUUUUUUCCUGAAAUUCUUAAAAUUCAAAAAUGAAAAAAAGGUUCUCUUUCCACUAAAUUUAUUUAAAAUGAUUAAUUUAUUUUUUUUACAAAAAAUAAUAAGGUUUGGACUUUGAGAAAAGCUCAAAUUAAGAUUUGGUUCAAUUUUAUAUGGAAUUCACAUCCCAAAGUUCAAAUAUAAACACAUAUUAUUGUCUAUUUAGUAGAAAAUAAAAAUAGAAAUAAAAGUAAUUAUAAUUUGGGAUUGUAUUUAUAAAGAUCUAUAUUAAGAUUUGAGAUAACUUAAGUAAGAUUUGAAAUAUAUUGCAACAUCUACAAAAGAACAAAUAUACACAAAAAAAAAAAAAAAAAAGGUGCUUCAACCUUUCAAUCAUAAUUAUGGUGGCAUGCAUAGAUUAAUUAAUUGUGUGGGUUGAGAAUAAUGGUUAGCUUCCCCUAAUUGAGGUGGCAACUUGAGUAGGUCAUCUCAUAUUUAUUUAUUUAUUUUAAAAAAAUAUUUAAAAAUAAAUAAAUUUAUUUAAUGUAGAAUGUCUCUUUUCUUCGGUUUUUUUUUUUUUUUUUGACAAAAAUAAUAAGUAGGUUUGAAGUUUAAGGACUAUUUAUGAAUUUUUGUACAAUUUUACACCUAAACCGUCAUAAGUUGAAAUUAAUAGAUGAAUAAUUUAGUGAAUAAUUAAUUUAAGUUUAUAAAAAAAAAAAGAAAAGGAAGAAUAUAUAUUAAAAACUAUGGACAAUAAGGCUUUGAAAAUAGAAAAUCAAGUAAAUAAAUAAUUUUUUUCUAAAAAAGAAUAAUAUAUAUGAAAGAAUAAAGAUAUACGGAAAGCAUGUUUACAAAGUAAAUUAUUUAUUUAUUUAUUUUAUAAAAAGAAAUAAUAUAUAAUAAAGAAAUAUGAAAAUAGAUGAUUUAGAGAAAUAUGAAAAUUAAAGAAAAAGUAAAUAAAGAAAUUAUAUAAAAUUUGUUAUAUAUAUGAAAAAUAAAGAAAUAUGGGAAAUAAGGUGGACUGAAAUAUAAAAAUAGAAGGUUUAAAAUUUAGAGUAAUGGAUAAGACAUCAACAAUAUACGGAAACAAAAGGAUAAAAAUAUGAAGAAAAAAAAAAGAGAUUGAAAAUAAUAUUUUAUAAUUCCACAUAUUAAAGAAAAUUUAAAUAUAUGAGUAUUUACGGGGAAAUAAAUCUUCGAAUAAAGUUUUAAAAUUUAGGGAAACUUGUGUUCUUAUGACAGUGGUGGUAAUUUGUGACUAGAACAUUUUGUUGAGCAUUAUGUUGUAUAGGGUUUAAUACUAAUUGUUCCCACUUCAUUCUUCUAUAUGUCCUACCAUUAACUUUACUGAUUACAUUUAGGGACUCUAUAAAGGCAAACUAAAAUUGAAAAUUGAAAAUUUAAUACUAAUUGACUCUUUUAAUAGCUGAUAUUAAUCGACUGAAAAUUGAAAAUUAAAGCAAACUAAACUCAUAUGGUGACUGGUUUUUGGCCGUUGGAUGAGUCAAAAGUAGCCUCAAUAAUUAGCCUGCAACAAGCCACCUUCCAUAUAAGUCUAAACAAAUAGGCUACAAGCCAAAAGUAGUCGCCUAUCAUAGAAUGGUCAGUUACACCAAUAUAUUUACGCUGAAAUAACUCAUCGUUUGGGUUGCAGUGGAUUCGAGAUAAAUGAAUGUGAAAAGUGAAAACCAUGGUGAAGAAGAAACCCCGAAAUUCAAAUGCUCCAAUCGAUCUCACCUCUGCAGACUCUAGUAAAUUCAAUUCUCAACUGUGCCAUCAUUCUCCUUUUCUUUUCUCUCCACUUCUUCUUAUUCUGUUUACAUUUUCUUGGGUGAGGGUAUUUGUUUUUUGUUUUUUUUUUUUGGUUCAUUUCCCUUUGUUUGGUUGCUGAGAAAAUGGACAAAAUGAAAUUAACGUUCCAUUUUUUUCUUCAAACUAGUGAGAGAGGGAGGCAGAAGCACAGUCUGAAUUUACUGUAUAGUUUGAUGAGGUUGGUUUCAAUGGAACUUUUACUAUGUUACUGAUAGAAAAUGCAAAAAUUCAACUUUUAAGUUUGCGUUGUUAUCUCACAUUUUCUUGGGAGCCAAACAGUGGGUGAAGUGUGGAUUGUAACCUUAUGCUUCAAGAGGUUCAUUUUGGCCCUGAAUUAGGGUUUGGCUAUGCUAGUAUUGUUUGGGUUUGAUGUGCAAUUACAAAAAGCUAUUUAGAUUAUUCAAAUUAAAUAUAUGUCAAUUACACUUACAAGAUAACUUUAAAAUGUAUAUUUUUACUUAUUUUUAUCAUUUUUUGGAGUUUUUUUAAAACAUUCCUAUGAAUUUUAAAUAUUUUUCACUCCAUCGAUAUUUGUAAAAAAAUAUCCACCAAUAUUUCUUCGAUAUUUCCGGUAUAUCCGUAAAAUCGAAGUACCGAUAUAUCUGUAAAAACUGAUAUUUCAGUCCAUGGUCUUAGUUAGGUUAUAUAUGUUUGGUGAAACAUACUAGGGAAAGCAUGAGGAAAAGAAAAUAAAGAAAAAAAGUAAAGAAAUAGAAACUAAAGUUUGUCAUCCACAAAGGCAUUGAAUGAAGGCAAAUUUGGAUUAAUUAUUAUCGGCUUCUCACUGUGUGCCAAUCUUACAUUGUUCACCAACGUAGAACAAAGGGUUAUAAAACUGCCGAAUUUAACAGCAUAUUAUUUAUCUCUCUCUAUGACUCUCGCUCAGCUCUCAGUUCACUGCUUGGCAUUUGAGUCUCACUUCUCCAUUUUCAAGGACUCCUACAUUUCCAAGUUUCACCAUCGAAGCCGUGAAUUCUCUGAAGAACAAACCUUGAUCUUUAGCAAAUGAUUCAACAAUCCAUCUAGUCCUGUAAUCUGUAAGCAGGGCCUGAUCUGAUCCAAACAAGCCCUCCCCUGCCAUUAGUCGUAGGUAAUAGUCAUUGUCAAAAGUGGAAGCAGUCGAGUCCAGAAACUCUCCAGCAUUGCGAUCCCUAUUCGGCUUCGGGCAUUUCUUCUUCAGCCUUUCUGCAAACUCGGUGUUCAUGGUAGGAUCAACGUCAUGUACCGAGCUAAAGUUGUGAACCCGAGCUUCAAAAGAAGAACAAUGUGAGAAGCCAAGACUGUGUCCACCAGAUAGAGCAACCAAAUCCUUGAGUCCUAAGCCCCUUUGAGCAAAGCUCUGAAAGAGUUGAGUUACAUUGAAGGUUGGAGCUGGUAGGUUAACGGUUUCAGAAGCUUCGGAUACCCUCCCAUCUUUCCUUCCUUUGAGUACAUUCCAAUACGGGCCUCUGGACUGAGAAUAUCAACAACAAUGGAAAACAAUAUCAUUAUAAACAUAUAAUGAGGCCUUUUAUCUGAUAAGAAGCAACAGGCUAAGAGAUUACCAUGGCUACAACAUCUCUUGCUGCAAUGGCGAUGAUAUCAGCACAAGAAACUGUCCCCGGACAUGCCAUUUCCAGCUUAGUUUUCGCGUCUUCGAUCACAUAGAACGAUGCAAGUGAAACAUUAGGAGGACCAUCUUUCUCCGCUUGGUUUCCCGGAGUUGAGUCCAGCAACACCGAUGCAUCACACCCCUAUUAAUAAUGUGGCAUGAAUCUAUAUAAAUAUAUAUGUUCAAGCACAGAAAAAAAAAAGAAAAAAAAAAAGGAGACAUAUUUAUCAUACACUCGUACCCUUAUAAAGCAGUCAUGGAAGAACAUUCGAAGGAUUCGAGCUGGAACUUUAGGGUCAUUGAUCGAAGCUUUGCGAACAGUUUCAAAGAUGAUAUUCUCAGCUUGUGGACAUGUUUGAUGGUAGUAAUGCACGUCCAGCGAUCCUUUGGAUGUGGAAAGCAUUAGCAACAGAAGGAAAAUGGCUAAGACAAAGUUGGUUUUUGGAAGGAGAAGAGCCAUUUGUUUGGAAGAAAAGAAAAAUGAAUGUAGAGUAGAAAGUUGAUGGAUAAAAAAUUUAAGUAUGGAGAUAUAUAUAUAGUCAAUAGUCAACACAUUGUUAGAUAAUUUAAUAUACUUUAAAGUUACUCAACUUAGGGAUUGGCAUUGUGUGGAAACUAGCUAGAAGCUGCUUUUGGAGUGUGCUUAGGGGUCAAGUAUUUACAACUAAGCAUUCUCAACCACAAUGUUCCAACUUCUGUGUGAAUAUUAUACAAAUAAAACUGUCUAUACAAGUUGCUUGACGCAUUGUCAACCCUUGGAUGAACAGUGAUCAACAGAACCCAGGUCUUUGAUGAUGUUGAUAGUGACUAACCAAACCUCUUUCACAUCUGCCAAUGUUAUUUGGUAUGUUUAUGGUACUUGGUCUAUUAAAUGAAAGCUUAGGAGUUAGGAUCAAGGUUGUGGUCUUUGUGGGUGGAUUUUGUUACAUACGGAAGGUUUAGUUGUAUGGGAGUUGCAUUGGAUAAUUUCCUAUGGGCUGAUUCGAAUAGCGGUUGGUUUGUAUGUAUCCAUCACCAUGUCGGUCUAAGGAGGCGUACGGUUGGUGAGAUAUGGAGUACAAAAAUGGUGUACUGCAUCAUUUUAUAAUUGAAGAAAGAAAGGACCUAAGUGUGAGUUGGAUGUGCAAACAGAAGAAAAAGAAAGUGGAAAUUUGUUUUUUGUGUUUUUUAAAAAGAAAAUAAUAAUUUUGUAAUUUUAAAAAUAUGUUUCAUAAAUUUUGAUUCAAAACAAUUUUUUUAGUUUAAUAACAAAUUUAAGGUAUUUUAAGGUAUUUUCAUAUUUGAUUUCUAAAAUAAAAUCUUAUUUAUAAAAUAAUAGAGAAUUGUUUUGAAAAACUAUUGUGAAAAACACUUUUAAAAACUGGUUUUGAAAAUGAUGAUAAACAAGCCACAUUUUGGAUACACACUUUUUUGGAUGUAGCAACUUUAAGGCUGCCACAAUCAUCAAAUACAUAAAAUCAGCCCACUUACCUAGAUAGCCCUAAACUUUGUAAGGAUUAUACCUAAUAUUUUUUUGCACCAAAUGAAUUUCAAGAAAAGGUAGAACGAGUAAAAAAUAAUUUUAUGUUUUCAAUAAUAGAAAGCUAUUUCAAAAUUUUUCUAAGACUGUUUAGUCUUUGUUUUCUAUUUUCAUUUUAAAAAAAAAAAGUGAAAUGAAAAUUAGUUUUUAGAAAAUAAGUAAAAGUUCAUCAUUUUUAAAAAAAUAAAAGAAAAGUAUAAAAAUAAAUAAAAUUAAACAUAAUAUCAUUUUUUUCUCUCUCCAGGAUUUAAAAUCGAUGCUGAAAAUAUUUAAAUAUAAUAUUCAUUUAAAUUACACGUAUAUGAAUUUUAUUUAACUUAAUAAAAAAAUUAAGAAUCAAAUAAAUUUCAAAUCAAACCAUAGUUUAUACAUAAAAUAUAUUAAUUUUUAAAAAUAAUUUAAAACUUAAAAACUUAUUUAAUUAAUAUUAGAAAUUUAUGAAUAAAAAUUGGACUAAAAUGACUCUAUUGUUUCUUUUAUAUAUAAAAUAGAUAUUUCUAAUUUUUUUUUUUUUGCUAAUCAAAUAAGUCUCAAAAUUAAAUAAAACUUAAUGAGUUAGAAUACAAUAAUUUUUAAAAAUAAUUUGAAACUCAAAUAAUAAGCUUUGUACAUGGGUCUUGUACUUUCCACUCUAUGAUCUAUUAAUGAACUUUUUGUACAUGCUCUUUUCUUCCAUGGGAUUUGUUACAAAAACACCAGCAUGAAGUACUAGGGUCUAUUUCUGAUUUUUAGAGUAUAAACCUAAGUUAUAUCUAGGGUUAAUUGGUUAAAGGGAUCAAAAUAACCCCCAUAUUUGUAAAUAUAACACACAAGUCAAAAAACAAAAAAGUUGACCCGAUUGAGACAAAAAUGCCCUUUUUUAUUUUUUCUCUCCGACAUAUACAACUUCUGAUUUCCCUUUCCCCCCUUAUUUUUCCCUCCAAAACAACUUUCCCUUUCCCUUUGUUUUAUAGCAUAUUAGGUUCUAAUUUUUUUAUUCGGUCAUUGGUUGCUCUUCUCUCUCUUUUCCUACGGAGAUCAAGUUUAACUUCUUACCAUUGUUUCAUCUAUUCUUAAUUAUUGGUUACGAAAAUAUGAAAAAAAUGUAAGCAACUAACAAUUUCUUUUUUAUAUCAUCAUUUUAUUUCUUUCCGUUUAUUGAAAAUUCAAAAUCUCACUUCAACAUUGUAAGUAAAAAAAUAGAAACUCCAUUGUUAGUUCUGAACAAGUAAAAAGUUCAUUCAAAGAAUUUUUACCUGAACUUAACAAUAGUUGAGUUGCAUUAACAAAGAACUUAACCACAGUUAAAUUCACAGUCAGAAUUUUCACCUGAACUUAACAGUUGUUUAAUUGCAUUAACAAAGAACUUAACCACAGUUAAGUUCACAAUCCGAAUUUUCAUCUGAACUUAACAGUAGUUGAGUUCCAUUAACAAAGAACUUGACCACAAUUAAGUUCAUAGCAAAAAAAUUUCACCUGAACUUAACCACAUUUAAGUUCACAAUCAUUAUUUCACAGUAGGUGGGAUUUUUGCUUAGUAGCUUCGCUUUCUUUUGCUUCACUUUCUUCUGCUUCACUUUUUUCUUCUGUUCACAAUUGACAUUUUUUCUUUUUUGCCACUUUUUAAAAUCUUUUUCUCCUAUCACUCUUCAAUGAACUCAUUGUUUCCUUUGUGCUUGAAGAUAUAAUAUGUGAUAACUUGAAAAAAAUAUAAUAACAAUUUUUCUAAGGAUUCGGAAUGAAAUAGAGGAUUUCUAGGGUUUUUGAAGGAAAAAUGAUAUUUUUGUUUUGUGCAUCAAAUGAAGAUAAUGAAAUAAAAUAAGAUGAUGAAAGAUGAGAAAUCGUUUUGUAAAUGAAGCGGAAGAGGAGAUGACUUUUCCGUUUUAUGCACCAAAGAAAAAUAAUGAAGUAGAAGAAGACGAUGAGAUAUUUUUUUUGGAAAAAUGAGGAGUCAUUCUGUAAAUGAAGGAGAAGAGGAGAAAUUCUAUGUGUUGGAGAGAUAAAAGAAGAAGGACAUUUUUGUCUCAACCGGGUUAACUUUUUUCCUUUUUGACUGGUGGGUUAUAUUUGCAAAUAUGGAGGUUAUUUUGACCCCUUUAACCAAUUAACCCUUAUAUCUAUUGUACCAAGACUUAAAAAUCUGUCUUUGUUUAUGGUCAAUUUCCAUUCCUUCUUUUAGGAAAAGGUUUCAUUUUCUUAUUUUGACAAUUUGGUUUUCUAACUUUUCUUUUAGAGCUUUGAUAGAAAAUGGGCUGUUGGGUUGCAAUUAAAGAAUGAGUUGUAGGGAGGCGAGAUAGAAAUUAAGGACAAUUAGAAGAUUCAUGUAGGAAAGUUAGAUGUAGAAGCAUUGAGUUGAAAGAUCACUGAAAUGUUUCUUUUCUCUAAAUAGAAAAAUUUAAUUGAUGACUUUGUGGCUAUGGCAUUUAAUUUGAUGGUUACAAAUUAAGUCCAAUAUAGUUUUGAACACCAUCUCUUUUGCUUUCUAGCUUUAAGUUGGAGUUUGAGAUAUAUCAAGUCAAAUAUUAAAUUGAGCUCCAUUUUUUGUACACCUUGUAAGACCCACAUUUUAGUGUUCUUCAUUCGACCUUCAUACUUCAUUUAUGUACAUUUUUAAAUAAUUUUAUUUAUUACUAUCAUCAAAAUAUGUGUAAUUUGGAUAAUUUCGAGUGACCAAUGGUGGUAAAUAUUAUAUGUGAUGUUAAAGAGGAGGGUCCAUGAUUUCAAGAUAAAUGUGAAUGCUAUAUAUAAAUACAAAACCUAUACACCAAUUGUUAUACUUGUAAGUAAUUUGGAUGGUGAUAUUUAAUGAUGAAGCCUCGAUACCAUGUUUUUGUUAUGUAGGGCUUGGAGUUCUCCGAUCUCCAACUAUAAUGGUACACCCUCUUAAAAUUGAUUAUAAAAUGCAUAUGCACAUCACACAUUGUUUAUAACUCAACGUUUGUUCAAAAUAGAUGUUUUUUUUCCUCUAAAUUCUCAUUUUUCUUCACAUCUCUUUCUUUUUAUGUUUCUCAAAAAUAAAUUUUAACUUAAAUCAUUAAAUAUUAAAGAUUAAAUUUUGAACCAUCUUGGAUUUAAAUUGCAUGAUAUAGAUUGGAAUACAUGUUGAAAUAUUUCGAUAUAAUUAACAAAUUUAAAAGUAAUUAUUAUACAUAAGUAGUUACAUUAAUUGUUUGAACUAGGUUAUUGUAUAUCGAUAUUUGAAGAUAUUUUAAUUAGUAAAAUUUAAUUUAAUUUUAUGGUUUGUAAUUGUUUCCCUUUUUGUUUAUUUAAUUAUAUAGCAAAUCCAUUAUAUUAAUAAUGAGACAAAAAUAUUACUUUUAAUAGAAAAUCUUCAAAGAUCACGCUUCUACAAGUGUCAUUGAUAAAAUUAAUGAAAAUGAGAUUCAUUUAAGUGUUAUUGUUUAACAUUAUGCACAUCAUUGUUAACUAAAACAUACAAUGAUAUAGCAUAAAAUGACACUUUUAGACAUGAUCUUUUACCUUUCUUUGUGUUCUUGGUUGCCUUUUUCUUUUUUGGAACAUAUUGAUCUAACAAUAUAAAAUAUCUUAUACAAAAAAAUACGAAUUUACCUUGUGUCUUUAAAAAUCACUUUAAAUUUUUUUUAAUUUGAGUUGGUUAAAAAUUUUAACCUCAAUUUCUUUAAACAAGCUUUAGAACUAUCAUCUUUCAAUAUAAGCCUUUACGAGUUGUAACUUAUAUAAAAAUUAUUCCUAUUUUCUAAUUUCAAACAAAAAACAUAAAUUAUAUCCAAGCAAAUACUUAGAUAUCUAAUUCCACUACAUUCAAAACAUUCUUGCACAAUACAAGACGUAUCUCGACUACUAAGAUGCAACGUUUAGUGAUCUUACUAAUUAAAUCUUAUAGUAGAGAUACCUAUUGGAUUCAUCUUAGGACCUUGAAAUUGCAAACUUUCAUUAUUAAUUUUCAAGGAUAUCUUUCCUCCAUUCCUUUGUUUUUACUAAUGCAUAGUUAUCCAAGGACAUCAACAUGAAUUAAGGCAUUUUCAAGCUAAAAACUUGGACAAGUUGAAAGUUCCUUAAAGCAAGAAGAGAAGAAUCAAUUGAGAGGAAAGGGUAAUGGAUAGGGAAAGGGAACAACUCCAUUGUAAACUAACCUACAUUAAACAAUUGAUGCAAUUUGUGUAGUAAAACCACACUUUAUUCAAGCCUUUCAUCCUGCAAAACAAGAAUAGGCAUUGAAGAUUAAUGCUUAUUAUGAUCAAUAGAAAUUUCACAAUCCACAUAACAAAUAUACAUUUACAUUUGAACUAAAAAGAUAUCAAUGUAAUAUUUUAAUUUCACUUGAACUUGCUUUAUAUAUCUUGACAAAAAAUAGUUCAAAAUUCAAAACAUACUCUUUAGGAGAAGAACAUUUUUGUAUUCAUACAAAUAACGAUGGUUUAUGUUAAUAUAAUUUCAAUAUUAUUUGACUCCACACUCACUAAAUGCGAUUUUUAACAUACUUAAAAAAACCUGGUAUUGAAAAUGACAAAUAUGCAUGAAAAAUAUUUUUUAUUCAUAGUAUUAAUAUUUCAUGUUAAUAUAAUUAUAAUUCAUUUAACUCGUUCUAACGUAAUAUUUAACACGACUUCAAUUAAAUAAAAUGAGAUUAUGGUAAUAUAACUUUUAUUUUAAUUAAUAUUGUAUUUAACAAAUGUGGUUUUCAACCUACUUCGAUUAAAAAAAUGUCAAAAAUGACAUGUUCGAAGAUUUUUUAUUUUUUUUCAAAUUCAUACUAAUAAAAUUGUUUCAUCAUUGCAUGUUAAUACAGGACUCAAUUUUCAAUUCAACAAAUGCAAUUUUUAGCAUAACUUCAAUUAAAAAGAAAAAAAAAAGAAAAGAAAACAUCACAACCGUCAUCCCAAAUUUUCCAAAAAUGUUUGUUUAAAAAAAAUUCAAUAAAUUAAAUGGAAUAUAUUAAUGGAACAAUAUAAAACAAUCUCUUUUAAAAAGGUUGUUGUAUUUGUAUUCUCACCAAAAUCAAGGCCCUCGAGGUGCAGCAGAAUAAAUGGGAGCCAACCCACACGAUUCUGAUAGGCCUUCGCCACUCCCUGCAUUUGAUGUUGUUGCUGCGGCCUCUCCUGUUGUUACCCUUGGAACCACCAAAGUUCCGCCCACCGAUGUUGCGAUCGCCGGAAUAGUGCCGCUCCCUGUGGCUCUAAUAAUAUCAGCCUCCGCGUUUUUCAGCAACCAACGGAUGGUCUCGCCUUCUGAUUUGAGGCCUAGCUGCCUUGUCAGCUCAAAUAGUCUCGCUGUGGAAUCCGACGACAUCCGGAUCCUCCUGCCACGCCCUUCCACUUUCACAUGUCGAUCCACUGCCCGCUUUUUCGGCAAUGCUAUCACUGUUUUCAUCGAUAUUUCUUGUUCUCCCUCGGCCUCCCAUGACUUGGAAACGGAAUCAGAAGAGGCAGGAAAAGCCGCAGAGAUUUCUAAUGUUGUAGGCUUCUCAAUUGAAAGGUUUUCCUCAUUUGGAUUCGAGGGCGACGCCAUUCACACUUCUUCAAGUUUUUCGUACUAAAAUGUUAAAAAAUUAAAAACAAAAAUGGAAAAUAUUGAAAAGAACAAACCUAGAAAAUUAGUGGAUGCUUGAUGGUAAGGAGAGACCCAAUUCUAUAUAAGGGCAAGAAACCAUAAGAUGCAAACCAUAGUAAGUUCAUGAAUUCAAUGGAAGGAUUCAAUGGAAGGUGACUAUGAGACAGUUAGGACAAUAUAAAUUUUUAAAAACCAUUUUACCCAUUGAAAAAUUAUUUUAAAAUGUUAUUAGAUAAGACUAAUAUUUGCAUUAAAUAAGGAAGACAAUAAUAAUAAUAAUAAUAAUAAUAAUAAUAAUUUUUUCACUUUAAUGACACCAUUAUAAUAAAUUUUCCUUGUAUAAGACAAUAUUUAAUGCCAUCUUAAUGAUUUUUUUUAUCCAUAUAGGUGGUGGCUUAUUAGAAAUAAAUGCUAUCUCACACAUUUAUGAUGUCAUUAUUGAAUUUAAUAAUAUAAAAGGGCAUAUAGUAUAAUACAAGUCAACAAAUGCUAGUCCAAUUUUUUAUGUUAUAUUUAUUAAUUAUUUUUCAAAAUAUAUUAUUUGUAUAAAUUCAAAACCAUACUACAUUAUUAAUUAGAUGCUAAGUUAGGAUAAAAGUUGAAAUUGAAUAGACAUGUACAAAGAUAAUAAAUAAAUAUAUUUGAAUCAUUUACAAUAUUUUAUUUAUUAAAAAUUGAUAUCUAUGAAAUGAUAGAUAUUUAACAUUUUUAUUUCAUUUAAUUUUAAUUAUAUCCACAAAUUCACAUGGUUCUAGCCAUCCAAUUUCUUAUUUAUAUAUUGUUGAAUUGACUUUACACUAAGAUAAGAUAAGUGAAUUUCUAUGAUUAUCAUCUUUUUUUUUUUUCUUUUUUAUUGCUACUCUUUAUCUUGCAUACAAAUUCUCAAUUUUUGUAUCUUUCUUAUCCUAAAUUAUUUAUAAUUCAUUUCACCAACAACGGAAAAUCCAAUAGACCAACAUAUCAAAGUAGAGGGGCAUGGUAUGAGCAUUCAACUAUCAAACACGUGUGUAGAGGAACUCUUUGAGUCCACAUGAUGAUUGAAGCAUAAGCAGCUGAGACUAGUUGUUAUAUUUUGAAGAACUUUGAACUUGAAAUCAUCGAAGUUAUCGAUAUUGAUAUAGCUUUAUCCUAAAAAUACUCAUUCAUAAAUAUCAAUUGACAAAAAAAGAAUUAGGUUAGCAUAAAAGAAAACAUAUUUUGUAUUUUAUAUAUGUUUCUUUUUGUGUAAUAUAUGAAUUUAUAUUUAAUUUGCAAGAAUCAAGGGUUUCACGAAAUGGUUUAUCAAAGGUAACUCCCUAUAGAAAAUGAUGUGAAUCAUCAUCAAUUUAGUGGAUUUUCAUUCAAAAUUGUUGUACUUUUAUGCCCUAAAUUGGUGUGUAUUUGUCAUUUUAUAUUAUGUUACAAUGUGUUUGGCCCGAUGAAAUUACUAUUCUACUAUCCAUUUUGACUCUUCUCAUCCUCCUUAAUGGGUUUAAAUUGUCAAGACCAAGUUCUCACUGCAACUCUAUGAAAGAAUAUAAGUUCUUCUACGUUUGAUCAGAACAAUGCAUUACCUUGCCCAGUCCCUUCUCUCUUUUGGUCAUGGUUCUUCCAAACUAUACUAGAAGACCAUCUUAUAAAAGAAUAAAAGGUUGGCUAAUAGGAGCAACAGCAAAGCUGAUGAUGUUCAACUUUACAUCAAAAUGUUGGCAUGGUUUUCAGUUUAAUAACACUAUGUUUAUUACAUUUUUGUAACCUUUGGUUGUUCAACAUAAAAUGAUUAAUAUGGGAAAUGUGAAAAUGGUAUCAGAAAUGGAAUUCCCUGGAUCAUCAUGUGCUUUAAACAUAGAACAAAGUUGUGGAAAAUGAGCUCCUAAACAGAGAAUUGUGAACAAAACUUUCCAAUACAUUAACAGGCAAUUAUAUGCAAAAGUAUCAUAAAGAAACCAGAUUGAUUAUCUAAAUUUUCAAUAAAAAUGACAGAAAAUGUGAAGAAGCAUUACAGGGUAUUCACUCGCAAGAUUGGGCUUGUAGAAGUCCUAGGCAUGAGACAUAUGACUGCCUUUAAAUUUGCUUUCAAAAGCAAUAGGUGCACCAGGUCCUACCAGCAUGGCAAUGGCAGCUGCUCCUCCAGUUGGUCGGGCUGGACCUUCUGCAUAGACCUGAAACAAGGGAGGUCCCUUUAGAUGUGAUGUCCUUGAACCGGUGAAAUAAAAAUGGCAAAGAGAACGCAGGUAACCAUGUCCACCCUGUUGGAGCUUGGGUUCUAAAUCCAAAGGCUCAUUGAAAGGAUGUGCUUAAUUUAUUUAUCCUUACAAUGUUAGAAAGUCAAUCUUUCUAAAUCUUCCAUAUUAAGAAUAGAUGAUUUGUAUAUGUUAGUUUUCCUAUUGUAAUUCCUGACUUAUAGAUGGAUAGUCUAGAAUAUGGUAAGCUGAUUCCUAACUUGUAGAGAAAGAUCUCAAACCUCCUUGUAUAAAUACACACUUCAACAUCAAUAAUAAUUAUUCAGCCAAUUCUUCUUCUUUUCAUGGUAUCAGAGCAGGACUAAAAUCCUGAUUCAUUGUUGCACUCUAAUCUCUCUCGUGUAGCAUCUCUUUUCUUCAAUCAUCAUGGCAAAAUCAGAGAUUCCUACGAAUUUCUCAAAGGCAGAUCUCUCCAAUCCCUAUUUCACUCACCAUUCAGAUCACCCAGGUUUGGUUUUGAUUUCCAAAUCUUUGAAUGGAGACAAUUAUUCGGCUUGGAAAAGGGCUAUGAUUCUAGCUUUAAACUCCAAGAACAAAUUGGGUUUUGUUAAUGGCUCGAUCAAGGCUCCUUCAGAAGAAAUUGAUCCUGAAGGUUAUGCGACUUGGUCACGGUGUAACGACAUGGUUCACUCUUGGAUCGUCAAUACUCUCAAUCCAGAAAUUGCGGACAGUGUAAUUUAUUAUUCUACUGCUCAUGAAGUUUGGGAAGAUCUCUGUGAGCGAUUCUCUCAGAGCAAUGCGCCUCGCAUCUUUGAAAUUCAGCGAGAUAUUGCUUGUCUUCGACAAGAGCAACUCUCUGUCUCUGCCUAUUACACAAAAUUGAAAGGCCUGUGGGAUGAACUGGCUUCCUACAACGCUGCAGCACAUGGGGCACAACAAGAUCAACAAAAAUUGAUGCAAUUUCUGAUGGGUUUGAAUGAAUCUUACAGUGAUAUUCGCGGGCAAAUCCUCCUGAUGAAUCCUCUUCCUUCUGUCCGCCAAGCAUACUCCUCUAUCUCUCAAGAAGAAAAGCAACGCCUCCUCACUUCGACGAACGCAGCAGCGGAAUCUGCCGCAAGUGCUGCUAUGGCCGUGCGUAGCAACGGCAAGUCUUCGACAACUUGGAAGGACGGAAUAGAUCGAUCGAACACAAGAAGGAUGGAACCGACUAAUCGCCCCUCUGGUUCUCAAAAUUUUCGGGAGAAUCGGUCUUCUCAAGGACAAGAUGGCAGACCAUUUUUUGAUCAAGAUCGGCGCCGCAUGGGUUCUGGUAGAGGACGUCCCCAGUGCUCGUAUUGUGGAGAUAUGGGUCAUUGGGUCCAAAAGUGUUUUCAACUACAUGGAUACCCACCAGACCAUCCUAAAGCAAGAAUGAACUUAGGCUCAAACUCAAAUCGGAAUAAAAGUUUUUCUGCGGCUAACCAAGUUUCUGAGGCAGAUGAAGGGAAACCUGCAGUUGCAUUGUCAGAAGCCCAACUCAAGCAACUUUUGUCACUUCUUAAUAACCAAGAUGAAAACUCUAGUUCCAAAGUGAAUGCGGUAACAAAGCCAGGUUUGUCCAAAGUCGCUUCCCGCAAUUGGAUUAUUGAUAGUGGGGCAACAGAUCAUAUUACUUCAUCCUCUAAGUUAUUGCAUAAAGAUAAAAAUUGCUCGUUACCGCCCGUAUUAUUGCCUAGUGGAGAAAAAGCGAAUAUCGUUACGAAAGGGACUUUGCCUCUGAAUUCCGUCUAUUAUCUGCAUGAUGUCUUAUCUGUGCCUACAUUCAAAGUUGAUUUAAUAUCAGUUAGUCGUUUGACAAGAGGUCUAAAUUGUUCAGUGACGUUUUUCCCUUAUUGGUGUAUUUUGCAGGAUCUGGCUACGAGGAGGACGAUUGGUUUGGGUAAACAACGUGACGGACUAUACUAUUUGGUGGCACUAGCGACGGAGAAAUCUUUAACCAACCAUUCCUCAUCCACAAACCAACCAGCCUGCAAUCUCGCCAUCUCUUCCACUGAUCUCUGGCACAGUCGCUUAGGCCAUGUAUCACCUUCUCGUUUGAGUUUCAUUGCCAAGAAUUUUUUGAAUUUUUCUGUUCAGUCCAAUAAUGCUUGCCCUAUAUGUCCUUUGGCUAAGCAAAGUCGUUUACCUUUUGGUACUAGUGCUAUUUCUUCUACAAAACCUUUUGAGAUUAUUCAUUGUGACAUUUGGGGACGUUAUCGACACCCUUCUCUGUUUGGUGCCCAUUACUUUCUCACUAUUGUCGAUGAUUAUACACGUUUCACUUGGAUAUUUUUAAUGCGACAUAAAGAUGAAGCACAAUCACUUUUAAAACGCUUCUUCAGCUAUGUGUUCACACAAUUUGAAUUUCGCAUUAAAACUUUUCGAAGUGACAAUGGUAGAGAAUUUACCUCACUUCGUUCCUUUUUCCAAGAUAAUGGUGUCAUCUUUCAACAUUCUUGUGUUUACACCCCUCAACAAAAUGGGGUUGUGAAACGCAAACAUCGUCAUAUUUUACAAGUAGCCCGAGCUUUGAAAUUCCAUGCUCAAGUUCCCACUCAAUUUUGGGGGGAGUGUGCUCUCACUGCCGUACAUAUCAUCAAUCGGUUACUUUCACCAAUAUUGUCUUUCAAAACUCCUUUUGAAUUGCUUUACUCAAAACCACCUUCUUACUCCCAUCUCCGUGUUUUCGGAUGUUUAGCCUAUGCCACCAAUGUUCACACCUCUCACAAAUUUGAUUACCGUGCCAUGCCAUCCAUCUUCAUUGGUUAUCCUAUUGGUCAGAAAGCAUACAAAUUAUUUGAUUUAUCAACCAAAAAGGUCUUUACUAGCCGAGAUGUCAAAUUUCAUGAAGAUAUUCUUCCUUAUGUCUCUCUCAAGCCCAACUCUACUCUCCCUUCGUUGACCCAUAAUUCUGGUCCAAUCCCCUUAGUGGCCCACGACAUCUCUUCCUCCUUUGACUCUACUUCUCACGCACUUUCCCCUCUUCUUUCCAACCACACAAGCACACCGUCUCCCACCACAGAAAAUGAUGACUUUUCCUCUCCUUCUCGACCUUCCGAACUCAUUAUCGAACCUUCUUCUCAGAUUGAUCCAAACCCUUCACCAUCGCCUUCUACAACUCUAGUAUCGCCUUCUCCGGGGCCACCGUUUGCAUCCAUCCCAUCCGCUCCUCCAGCUGAGACACCCAUCUUUUCACCAGAAACACACUCACCCAAACCAGCCACUCCGCUCCGUCGCUCUAGCCGCCAUAUCGCCCCGCCAAUCAAGCUCCACGAUUAUGUUUGCUCCCACGUUUCCUCCAAUCAAUCGUCUUCCUUGAUUCCAGGUCCAACUAAAGGUACACGAUAUCCACUGGCCAAUUAUGUUUCUUAUCACAGAUAUAAGCCUACAUAUAGAUCUUUUGUUGCUCAACAUAGUGCUGUCACAGAACCCAGGUCUUAUUCGGAAGCAGCCGCUCAUCCUGAGUGGCAGAAGGCAAUGCGUUCUGAAUUGCAAGCUCUCCAAGCUAAUGGCACUUGGUCUCUCACUCCACUUCCGGCCGGCAAGACACCGAUUGACUGUCGAUGGGUGUAUAAAAUUAAACACCGUUCAGAUGGGUCUAUUGAGCGUUACAAAGCACGAUUGGUAGCGAAAGGCUUUACUCAAUUAGAAGGUGUCGAUUAUCAGGAUACCUUUUCUCCCACCGCCAAGAUCAUAUAUGUCCACUGCUUGCUUGCAUUGGCCGCAGCCCGUGACUGGUCUAUUCAUCAAAUGGAUGUUAACAACGCUUUUCUUCAUGGCGACUUACAUGAGGAAAUAUAUAUGUCUCCGCCGCUAGGGCUUCGACGACAGGGGGAGGAAAACUUGGUAUGUCGCCUUCAUAAAUCACUCUACGGUCUGAAACAAGCUUCUCGCCAGUGGUUCGCCAAGUUCUCAGAAGCUAUUCAAUCCGCCGGUUAUGCACAAUCUCGAGCCGAUUAUUCUUUGUUCACCAGAAAACAAGGCAAGUCCUUUACUGCCCUCUUGAUAUAUGUUGAUGAUAUUCUGAUUACUGGAAAUGAUCCUGUGAGCAUUGCUACAACAAAAAAAUUUCUACAUAGUCAUUUUCAUCUCAAAGAUCUGGGUGAUUUAAAAUACUUUCUUGGCAUUGAGGUUUCUGCUUCUAAAAAUGGGAUUUUUAUUUCCCAACGUAAGUAUGCAUUAGAGAUUAUUGAGGAUGCAGGAUUGUUGGGCGCUGCCCCUAUUGAUACACCUAUGGAACGAGGAUUGAAAUUGUCUGAUAAGAGCGAUUUGCUCAAGGAUCAAGGUCGUUAUAGGAGAUUGGUUGGAAGGUUAAUAUAUCUAACUGUGUCGAGGCCAAAUAUCACUUAUGCAGUUCAUGUGUUAAGCCGGUUUAUGCAUCAACCGAGAAAGGCUCAUAUGGAAGCAGCGUUCAGAGUUGUACAUUAUCUCAAGAAUGCACCUGGUCAGGGUCUGUUCUUCUCUUCGAAUAAUGAUUUUAGAUUGAGAGCCUAUUGUGAUUCUGAUUGGGCAGGUUGUCCACUUACUAGAAGGUCCACUACAGGCUACUAUGUAUUCCUUGGACCUUCACUGAUUUCUUGGAGAUCAAAGCGACAAAAAACAGUGUCACUCUCUUCAGCCGAAGCAGAGUAUCGUGCAAUGACAGGAGCUUGUUGUGAGUUGACAUGGCUUCGAUACCUUUUGAAAGAUUUGGGUGUUUUACAUAAGGAACCUGCCUUACUGUAUUGUGACAACAAGGCAGCAUUGCACAUUGCAGCCAACCCUGUUUUCCAUGAGCGUACUAGACACAUUGAGAUGGAUUGUCACUAUAUUAGGGACAAGAUCCAAGAUGGUUCCAUUAUUACAAGACAUGUGAGCUCAGCGCACCAACUUGCAGACAUUUUGACUAAACCAUUGGGAAAGGAGUUUUUUGCUCCUAUGAUUCGCAAGUUGGGAGUGCAGGAUAUCCACUCUCCAACUUGAGGGGGAGUGUUAGAAAGUCAAUCUUUCUAAAUCUUCCAUAUUAAGAAUAGAUGAUUUGUAUAUGUUAGUUUUCCUAUUGUAAUUCCUGACUUAUAGAUGGAUAGUCUAGAAUAUGGUAAGCUGAUUCCUGACUUGUAGAGAAAGAUCUCAAACCUCCUUGUAUAAAUACACACUUCAACAUCAAUAAUAAUUAUUCAGCCAAUUCUUCUUCUUUUCAUACAACCUUUGCCUGACAGCUUAGUUUGAAUAGGGAUAUGGCAGCUUCAAAAUCAAGAGUUGAAGUGGAUUUUGGCUGCUUUGAAGCCUUUAUUCAUUAUUCAUAAAAGCAAGCACAAUUUUGUAGUCUUCAAGUUAGAUAUCCAAAAUCAUCCAAUCAUAAUAGUUUAAGAAUAGACAAUCUUCUAGGGCGAACUCAUCAUAAGGCCAAGCAAACAAAACAUGCCCACUGUCCAGUUACAGGGCUUGAUAAUAUGUUUGGGGUCUGAGCCCCACAUACAAAUUCCCUCCAUAACAUUUCAUAGAAAGCCAGCUCUUUUAGAAGCCAUUUGCUUCUCUACUUCCAACUACAACUAAAUCUUUCAAAUAAACAAUGGAUGAAGAAAGUCUAGGCCCAUUAAGAAAGAGAUCAUACAGCAUUGUUGGUGCACACAACAAGUCCAUGACGCCCAUCCCAUGAACUACUCUCCACCCAAUUUAUACAAUUGAAUAAAGCUGCAGUCCCACCAUAGCAUGCAUUUGUUGAAUCCACUCCUUCAAUGUCAGUAUUACCAGAUUCCUGUUUGUUUACAUGAGUAAAGCAGAAUAUUCUCAAAAUUUUAAAAAAGAAAUUUAAGAAUUACAAAGGAUCAUAGCUGCACAAAGAAAAACAUUUUGUAGAAUAUGGAUGGUACAUAUAUGACAUGUGAUGUCAAUAAAUUCUCUCUUACACAGAAAGGGAGAGUUCAAAAUCAGUAUGAUUGCAAACCUGUGCAAGACCAAAUGCCUGCAUCCUUGCUUAAUUGAGUGACACUCAAGUCUCCAUGGAAUCACAGGCUUUUACCUACUGAAGUUAAUGUUAGUUUCUAUAGGCUGACCCAGAGUUUUCAUGACCCUAAGACUGCUCACAGCCAACUAAGGUCCAAGUUUUGAGGCAGUGUUGGUGCUAUCAUGGCCAUAGUUAUAAUACCGCAUAUCCCUUAGAUGGUGUCAAAUUCUUAAAUUUAUGGGUUAUCCAACUUCAUUCCUUGAGAAUAAGCCUCAAGGGUCCACAACUAUAAGGAGACGACUCUUGAGUACCAAAAAGGGAAGUAUCUUUGAACAGUUUUGAAAAAAUCAAAAGGAAAUGAAAAGGAUACUCUGAGUCCAAAAAAAAUAAGGAUUACCUCAAAAAUUUGCAUUAGGAAGGUCUUAAUGGACUUGCUUUUGUCUAUCACAGUUUCACUGCCAACUUCCAGCCGUCCAAUUUUAUCUGUGAUUGAUAGUUGACACCUGCUCAAACUUGGAUGCUUGCCAUGAUUAUUUGCAAUAUGUAGACGACAGUCCCAAGCAAAUUUUGAAUGAAUAUGUUUAAUUUUUCAAAAUUCCAAUUUUUAAAUUUAAUUUUCAAAAUUUCCAUUCUCAAGUAAUUCUUCAAAUUUUCAAUUUUUAAAUUUAAUUUUUAAAACUCCAAACUCUCAAAUAAUUUUCAAAAUUUCAAUUUCUUUCAAAUUUAAUUUUCAAAAUUCCAAUUUCUUUCAAAUUUAAUUUCCAAACUCCAAUUCUCAAUUAAUUUCCAAAAUUCCAAUUUCUUUCAAAUUUAAUUUUCAAAACUCCAAUUCUUAAAUUUAAUUUUUAAAGUUCCAAACUCUCAAAUAAUUUUCAAAAUUCCAAUUUCUUUCAAAUUUAAUUUCCCAAAAUUAUAAUUCUUAAAUUUGAUUUUCGAAACUCCAAUUCUCAAUUAAUUUUCAAAAUUCCAAUUUCUUUCAAAAUUAAUUUUCAAAACUCCAAUUCUUAAAACUCCAAACUCUCAAAUAAUUUUCAAAUUUCCAAUUUCUUUCAAAUUUAAUUUCCAAAAUUCUAAUUCUUAAAUUUAAUUUUUGAAACUCCAAACUCUCAAAUAAUUUUCAAAACUCCAAUUUCUUUCAAAAUUUAAUUUCCAAAAUUCCAAUUCUUAAAUUUAAUUUUCAAAACUUCAAUUUUCAAAACUCCAAUUUCUUUCAAAAUUUAAUUUCCAAAAUUUCAAUUCUUAAAUUUAAUUUUCAAAACUCCAAUUUUCAAAUAAUUUUCAAAAUUCCAAUUCUUUAAUUAAUUUUCAAAAAUCCAAUUUUCAAAUAAUUUUCAAGACUUCAAUUUUUAAAUAAAUUCCAAAACUCUAGUUUUCUUUCAAAUAAUUUUAAUUUCACUCCGGUUUUCAAUUUUUUUUUAUCCUACCACUUUUCAUCAUCCAUUAGGGUUCUAAGUCGCUAAAAAUCCUAUUUUUAAAUAAAUUUGCUACCUUUCCUUUCAAGUAAGCACUUUUCUCAAAUUUUCUUUGAUUUUAAAAUAAUUUUUUUUUCGUUUUCUUUGAUUUUAAAUAAGUAAGAAUAGAUUUUUCAUAAUUCUAAAAUAAUGGAAUUUGUAAGACUAAUUCAUGCAAGAUAAAUUGGGCUUUGGUGGGAGUCCUACAUAUGAUCUCUUUUGAUUGUCAAUUGUUAUGCUUAAUGUAUAUUGCUUGAUCUUUGUCUUACUCUUUGAUAUACAUGUGAUAAUUUUAUACUUGAGCUAACCUUGUUUUCAUGAUAGCGCAAUAUUACUUGCUGCCAAGAUAUGCUCUCACUCCCACUUUGCUUAUUCUCAUACAUGAUUCCUUUUAUUAUUUGAUCAUUUUAUUGGUAUCUAUUAAUUUUCUAGUUAAUUACCAUGUUUACUUCACCUUACUUAGUAGAGACGAACUUAGAGGGGUGUUUCGGUCUUUUUACCGUACCUUCUCAAUAAGUAACCUGACCUCCGGACCCGACUCAAUUUUUCACAUUCUUUCUUAUUUUAUUUUUUUCCCUUUAAAAAUAAAAUAAAAAUAAGUGGCGACUUCAAAGUCUUUUUCUAAAAAUCAUAUUUUCACUAAAUAAAUAAAAAGCAAGUCGCGCCAUUGAGUAGGAACGCAUCGAGUAAAAUACGGGGUCCACACUAUAAGUUUGCUACAAGACUAAAUAUUUUCUUUUUGACAAGUUUCCUAAAAAUGAAAAACAAAUCUCCCAUUGAAGUAAAAAAAAAAAACAAAAAAUAGAAUAAAAAGAUAAUAAUAAACAUUUUUGUUGGCAAAACUUAAAGAAAGGAGGAGAAAAGUUGCUAAAAUUAAGGAACCAAAUUCCUUGAAUAAAGCAAUCAAAUUUUGGGAAUUCAAAAUUCAAUUUCCCUCUUUCACGAAAUUGGUACCCUACAAAUUUUUAUUAUCCUUGUAUUGAAUAUGAUAAAGGCUUUGGUUUGAAGAUUGUAGACAUCAAAAUUUUUUGUAAAAUAAAUUAUCAUUAAAUUGGUUUUUUUUUUUAAAAAAAAAAAAACUAUUGGUCCUACACAUAUUCGACACUUGCCAUACGUUGAAAAGGUGACACGUGGUCAAAUUUGGAAGACUACAAAAUUUAGUCUUCCAAAUAAAAUCAAAUCUUCCAAAUUAUUGUUAAAAGAGAAUUAAAAAAAUUAAAUAAAUAUUCUCUAAUUGACAAUUUUUUUUUAAAAAAGAAACAAAUAUUCUUUUUGAAAUCAAAAGAGAACAAAAUAAUAAUAAUAAUAAUAAUAAAUAAAUAAAUAUUCUCUGACAAAUUUACUUAAUUGAGAAUUUAUUGAUCUUCCAAAUUAUAAUCAAAGUGAAAGAAUAAGAGGAAGAUAUUUUUUUGUAAAAAAUAUUACCACAGAGAUUGUACCCUACAAAUUUUAAUUUUAAUUAAAUAUUUUAUUUCGUAUCAUUUUUCCUAUUGUUUUGAUUACAUUGUAGGAUCAUUGGUAAAAUUUAUGGAUACAAAGAUAUAAAUUGAUUAUUAAAUUAUUAAGCCUGGUUUGGGUAUAUUGUUUGUAUAUACUUUUAAUUUUAAUUUUUUAUUUUUAAAAAAAUAGAAAAUGACAAUUAACUACCAUGUAAAAUGUAAGAACCUUUAUAUUAAAAAAUCGUGACUUUUAAGAAAUGUUUAAAAAUUUUAAGGUAGUAAAAAAUAUUUACUAUCUCAAAUUUAAAAAGUUUUAAAAAUAAUUUUAAAUCCAUACUCUUUUAUAUAAAAGUUACUACCGUUUUAUUUUAAAAAUAAAAAAUAGAAAAGGUAUCUAACUCUAAAUUUUGAAAUUCGGUCCGGCUAUGUUUGGUACAAUUAUUUACUUAUUUUAGGAUUUUUUUUUUAGUAAAUUUAAUCCGUAAAAAUUUGAAAAUAAUUAAAAUUAUUAUGUUUCUCAUCUCAAAUCCUCUUUUAUAUAUAAAAAUUCUCAAUAUUUCUCAUACAUUAUAUAUUUCUUUAUAUUUUUUCUUUAUAAAAAAAAAACUCUCAGUCAAUAUACCAAAUAAAUAUUUUCCUAAUUUUCUAUUAGGUUAUUAUAUUUUCUUUAUAUUUUCUUUAUAUUUUCCUUAUUAGUAAGAACUUUCCUAUUAUUACUUAUUUAAACAAUUGAUUUUUUACAUUGAAUAUUCUAAAAAUAUACAUAUGUGCCCUUUCUUACCAUUUUUUGUUUGUAUUUUUUUUUUCCAAAUUAAAAGAAAUAUAAAUAAAUAAAUAUUUAUAAAUAACAAUAUUUGAGGUCUAGUAUAAUUCAAAUUCUAUUUCCUAUUUUAAUUCAAACUAAUAAUAAACUUCUACUCAAAUUCAAACUUUAUAUCCAACUUUAAUUUAAACUAACUAAAAAAUAAAUAAAUAUUAAUAUUUAAAUUAAGUAUAAACAUUAAUUUUUUCUUAUAGCAUGAUUGAUUUAGUAAAUAAUUAGAGUUGGCGAAAUUAGUUUUAAAUGUUUGACAAAAUUAUAUAUAACAUAAUAGGUGAAUUUGUUUACAAAUUUAAAUAUAGAUUAAUUCGAAGAAGUUAAUUUGUUUUUGUCCAAUAAAUAAAUAAAAGAAAAGAAAAGAUAAUGCAUUAAAAUAAUAAAAUUAAACUUUAAUUUUUCUAUUCUUCUUACGUUAAUAAUAGGAAAGCAUAUAUGUGAAUCCAAGUAGUAAUAAAAUCAGGUUACCUCUUUCUAUUCCUCUAUAUAUAGGCUAUCCCGGCUUAGUCUUUAUCGAUUCAGUUAUGGAGGACGAUGGUGAAUGGGCUUGGCUCCCCAAGGACUUGCUGCACUCCAUAUUAGACCAGCUACAGCCAAUGGAAGAUGUUAUCAGAUUCAGCGCCGCUUGUACGGAAUGGCGUUCUGUUGCGGUAGCGAAUUUGAAAAGUCGCUCUCUUCAUCAAAGAGGAGUUCCAUUCUUGAUGAGUCGUACAAAAGACAAUAUCGGUAAUUUACACAGCGUGACCCAGAAGAAGAUGUAUAAAUUCCGGUUUCCAAUGCCUCACAAUAUGAAGUGUUGCGGCUGUUCCCUCGGUUGGUUGAUCAUGGUCGAUGUCACCAUGGACGUCAUCCUCUUCAAUCCCUUCUCCGGCAACGCCAUUACUCUUCCUCCCAUCCGAAGAUUGGUAUUUGAAAAACGUUAUGCGUUGGAAUUUGAAGAUACCCGCCGCCUCUCUGUUCUCCAACGAUAUGAAUAUGAAAUACGAUUGCGAGAAGAAUAUGGGGAAGAAGAAUUGGGUUUGAGCCCCGAUGACAUGACAUUUGAUUUAGAAGACGAUGAUGAAAUACAAGGAGAAGAAGAAACUGAUGAUGAAGAAGAAGAAGAAGAAGAAGAAGAAAAAAAAGAAAAAAAAGAGAGAGAGAUAGGGAGUGAGUGCCGCAUAAUAAAAGGUGUAUUGUCUGCAGAUCCUAGCGUAUGUCCAGAUGAUUACGUACUGAUGGUUAUAUAUGGUGUAGAAGAAAGGUUAGCCUUCAUUAAAUCUGGUGAUGAAGAUUGGACUUACGUUGAUAAUAAAACUAGUGGCUUUGAUUAUCUCUUUAAGACAAGUCCUCGAGUUAAGGGUUUUCGGUAUUUCGAGGACAUCCUUUAUUGGAAAAGCCAGUUUUAUGCUGUGGACCGCCUCGGAAAACUUCUAUCUUGUGAAAUCAAUACAAAUUUUACCGAUUUGAGAGUUAAGAUUGUUGAUGUUCCAAAGGGAGGAUUUGGGAUUGAUGCUACUUCUAGUUCAACUUUUUUUCAACAAGUUGUCGAAAGUUUUCAAAAUAAUUCAACAAUUUGGUCAGCCUUUCUGGUAGAAUCAAUUGAAGGGGAUUUACUUUGGGUUCCUAAGUUUAGGUUUAAGUUUCUUACUAUGAAAUUUUACGUUUAUCAGCUAGCAGAUAAUGGUGGUAAUGUAGGAUGGGUUAAGAAAAAGGAUUUGGGUGAUGCUGCCUUAUUCCUUGGAGACAACCAUUCUAUUUCAGUUCGCGCUUCUGAUUUUACUGGAUGUGAGCCAAACUCCAUAUAUUUCGCGGACAAGGAGGAUGAGACUGUAUGGUGUUAUCCUGGUUAUCCUUUUGACAUGGGUGUAUACAACUUGAAACACAAAUCAAUUGCACGAGACUACCAAUUGAAUCCUUCCCAAAGAUCGAUGCCACCUCCGAUUUGGAUAUUGCCUACAUUCAUGUGAAGCUUCUUUUAUUUAGAUAUUUCAAUUUAUUUUUAGUAAAUUUAUAUAUUCCAAUUGUCAGAAUUAGUUAAUCAUAUUAUUUUAUAAUCCACUAGAUUAAAAUCCAAGAUCCUGCGUUUCAUGCCACUCACAUGGUCGUGGCCUCGGAGAUAAAUGGAAAGGGGUUUUCAGAGAAGGAAAAGAAACCAACCUAAAUUCCAUGAUACAUUCCAAUCAAUAAUUUACCACAAUUCAUAAUUUUAAACUCUUUUAGGAUAAAAAGGCUUAAAUAUAUGAUAGGGACAAACUUGUCAAUCAACACAUAAAAAAAAACCGACAUUCUUAGCAAAACACAAAUUCAAGCUUUAUAAUCCAAUCGGAUAGGAUAUGCAUAUCCAAAUAUAUCAUAUCUCAAAAUCAUAUUCUAAAAUAUGAUUUCCAAUGAGAUUCAUAUCUAAUGGGAUGUAUUAUAUUAUAUUAUUUAUUCAUAUGUUCCAAUUUUAGUGAAAUGAUUAUGAUUUUUAAUCAUAUGUGCAUGUCAUUGUUAGCCUUUACUAAAGACAUUUUUUUUUUAAUCUAUCUAUGCUUUACAUUAUCAGGUUUUUGACUUUAUAAUCCAUUAGCGUUUCAUGCACUCACAUGGCCAUGUGUGGACCCCGCAUUUUCACACAAUGCGUUUCCACUUGAUGGCGAAACUCGCUUUUAUUUAUUUAUUUAUUUGGUGAAAAAUUGAUUUUUAGAAAAAGACUUGGAGUCACCACUUAUUUUUGUUUUAUUUUUUUAAAGGGAAAACAAAAUAAGAAAGAAAAACCCUAAGUGUGACUCCUUAUUUGGAAAAGUAGGUCUAUGAAAAACCGAGUCGGGGUUCGAGGGUCAACUUACUUAUCGAGAAGGUACGGUGGUGAGCCAUAACACCUCUCUAAGCCCCUAAAAAUGGGUCUCUACUAAUAAAAUGAAGCAGGUAUGACAAUUAACUAGGAGAUCAAUGGAUACCAAAGACAUCAUAGAUUUUAAGCAAGUCAUGAUAAUGAAUAAAUGAACAAAGUGAGAGUGAGAGCGUACCUUGACAACAAGUAAUGAAGCGCUAUCAUGAAAUAGAGUUAGUGUGCAAUAACAAAUACAAAAUAUAUCACAUGCAUAUCAAAGAGCAAGACUAAGAUCAAACAACAUUCAUUAAGUAUAACAAUUGACAAUAAGAAGAGAAAACUCAUAUGUAGGGCCUUUACCAAAUCCCAAUUUAUUUGCAUGAAUUGGUCUCACAAAUUUCAUUAUUUCGAAAUUAUGAAAAAUUCAUUCUUGCUUAUGUAAAAUCAAGAGAAACAAAAGUUUAUUUGGAAACCAGAGUGGAAUUAAAAUUGUUCGAGAGAAAACUGGAUUUUUGAAAUUUAUUUGAAAAUUGGAGUCUUGGGAAUUAAAUUUAAGAAUUGGAAUUUUGGAAAUUAAAUUUGGAAGGAAUUCGAACUUUUAAAAUUAUUUGAGAAUUAGAGUUUUGAAAAUUAAUUUAAGGAAUUAGAACUUUGGAAAUUAAAUUUGAAAGAAAUUGAAAUUUUGAAAAUUAUUCUAGAAUUAUUUGAAGAUGGAAUUUUUGAAAAUAAAAUAAUAAUAAUAAUAAUAAUAAUAAUAAUAAUAAUAUUAAUAAUAUUAAUAAUAAUACUAAUAAUAACAAUAAUAAUAAUAAUAAGAAUAAUAAUAAAUAAUAAUAAUAAUAAUAAUAAUAAUAAUAAUAAUGAUAAUAAUAAAAAAUAAAUAUGAAAAUUGGAAUUUUGGAAGUUAGAAGUUAAAUUCGAAAAUCGAAAAAUUGGAAUUUUGGAAAUUGAGAAUUAAAUUUGGAAAUAGGAAUUUUGAAGAAUUAUUUAAAGAUGGAUUUUUUAAAAAUAAAUAAAUAAAAUAAUAAUAAUAACGAAAAUAAUAAUGAUUAAAUAAAUAAAUUUGAAAUUUGGAAUUUUUGGAAAUUGAAAAUUAAAUUCGGGAAUUGAAAAUUUGGAAUUUCAGAAAUUGGAAUUAAAUUUGGAAAUAGGAAUUUUGAAGAAUUAUUUAAAGAUGAAAAUUUUAAAAAUAAAUAAAUAAAAUAAUAAUAAUAACGAAAAUAAUAAUGAUUAAAUAAAUAAAUGUGAAAAUUGGAAUUUUGGAAAUUGAAAAUUAAAUUCGAACAUUGAAAAAUUGGAAUUUCGGAAAUUAGGAAUUAAAUUUGGAAAUAGGAAUUUUGAAGAAUUAUUUAAAGACGGAAUCUUAAAAUAAAUAUAUAAAUAAAUAAAGUAAUAAUAAUAAUGAAAAUAAUAAGGAUUAAAAUAAAUAAAUGUGAAAAUUGAAAUUUUGGAUAUUGGGAAUCAAAUUUGAAAAUUGAAAAAUUGGAAUUUCGGAAAUUGGGAAUUAAGUUUGGAAAUAGGAAUUUUGAAGAAUUAUUUAAAGAUGGAAUUUUAAAAAAUAAAUAAAUAAAAUUAUAAUAAUAAAUAAAAUAAUAAUGAUUAAAUAAAUAAAUGUGAAAAUUGGAAUUUUGGAAAUUGAAAAUUAAAUUGGAGAAUUGAAAAAUUGGAAUUUCGGAAAUUAGGAAUUAAAUUUGGAAAUAGGAAUUUUGAAGAGUUUAUUUAAGAAUGGAAACUUGAAAAAUACAUUCAGGAUUUUAAAUUUGACAUGUAGGAUAAAAAAUAAAUAAAUAUAUAAAAUAAAAUAAAAUAAAAAGAUGAUACAUGAACAACUAUAUAACGUCUAGUUUAAAGGAUAAAUAAAUAAAUCACUCACUAAUAAUAUUUUUAUGUCAAAUAUCUAUUUAAUCACCAACUAUAUAACAACUAGUUUUAGGGGUAAAUAAGUAAACAACUCACCAAUACUCCUCUAUAAAUACCUUUCAUUUUAAUUUUUUGUCUAUUCUCUCUCUUUAUAUUGUUUACCAUUCUCUCUAAUUUCUCUUUUCACAAUUCUCUAAAUUGAAAUUCUCUCAAGUGAUAAAGAUAUCUACUAACUCUACAAGCACUAAAGACAUCUACUAACUCUACAAGUGGUCAUCAUUCACAAGGUUGAGGUAUUUAUAUUUAGUUAUUUCAUUUAUUUAUUUUAAUUCUAUAUAUUUAAUUUAAUUGUUCUCUUUCUUUUACCUUAUUUUUUUUUCCUCUAAAAUAAUUCCAGCCACUUCAACCAUCUUUCCUAUUUAGAUACUUUUUUGUUGUGAUUUUAUUUUAUCCUUAUGUUUAUAUUAUAUUUACCAAAUUUUCAUUCCUAUUGUUCACAAUUAAGAAUGACAUUUGUAUAAUUUCAGCAAACUCCAAACCCUUUUUUCCUACUUAGAAACUACCACUUAUGCUCAGUGCCCCAUCACUUGCACCAAUUUUGCACUUAGUAAAAUGAUUAAAAAAAAUGAAAUCCUUAUUUUAUAUUAUAUUUACCAAAUUGUCAUUCAUUUUGUUCACCAUUAAGAAUGACAUUCGUAUAAUUUCAGUAAACUACAAACCCUUCUCUUCCUAUUUGGAAACUUACACUUAUGCUAGUGUCCCAUCACUGGCACACCAUUUUGCACGCAUAAAAAUGAUUAAANNNNNNNNNNNNNNNNNNNNNNNNNNNNNNNNNNNNNNNNNNNNNNNNNNNNNNNNNNNNNNNNNNNNNNNNNNNNNNNNNNNNNNNNNNNNNNNNNNNNACCAAAUUGUCAUUCAUUUUGUUCACCAUUAAGAAUGACAUUCGUAUAAUUUCAGUAAACUACAAACCCUCUCUUCCUAUUUGGAAACUUACACUUAUGCCUAGUGUCCCCAUCACUUGCACACCAUUUUUGCACGCAAUAAAAUGAUUAAAAAAAUGAAAAUCCUUAUUUUUAUAUUAUAUUUACCAAAUUGUCAUUCCUUUUGUUCACCAUUAAGAAUGACAUUUAUAUAAAUUCAGCAAACUCCAAACCCUCUUUUCCUUUUAAGAAACUACCACUUAGGCCCAGUGUCCCAUCACUUGCACCAUUUUUGCACGCAGUAAAAUGAUUAAACAGAAUAAAAAUCCUUAUUUUUAUAUCAUAUUUACCAAAUCGCCAUUCCUUUUGUUCACCAUUAAGAAUGACAUUCAUAUAAUUUCAGCAAACUCCAAACCAUCUUUUACUACUUAGAAACUACCAUUUAUGCCUAGUGCCCCAUCACUUGCACCAUUUUUACAUGUAGUAAAAUAAUUUAAAAAAAAUGAAAAUCCUUAUUUUUAUAUUAUAUUUACCAAAGUCGAGUUUUCUCUGUUGUUUUCAUGCUCAUAGGGCAAUGGAGACAUUGUUCCUGCUCUGCCUUUGCUGGAGGAGGAGGAAUAGAAGGUGGAGAAUGGGGAGGUGGAUUCAUCAAUGGAGGAUGGGGAGGUGAAUUCAUCGGUGGAGGAUGGGGAGGUGGAUUCAUCGGUGUUCAGCAAGAAGAAACAAUUGUUUUUUAUUCAUUACCUAUUAUGUUUGAUUUUUAAGUAUUGAAAACUGAGUUUGGUGAAAUCGGACAAGCAAAACCGAAAGAUUAAUUGAGAGCCCGUUCUUGGCAUCGAUUGCUCACUUUCAUCUUUGAAAUUUAGGGGGUUUGUAUUAGGAAUGCCUUCUUUUACUUGUAUAUAUUUAAAAAUUAUUUUUAAAUUAAAGAAUAAAAAUUAUUUUUUUAAUAUUUUCUAAAAACAAAUAGCAUUUAGUAACUAGUUUUUUAAAAUCACUUUUCAAAAAACAAAAAAAAUAAAUAACCAUUUGGAUAAAUUAUUUUUAAAAAUAAUUUUCUUAUUUUUAUUUUGUGAAUUCAAUUUAUUUUACUAAUGAAAUUUAAUUCAAGUCUUAUUAAACUUAAAAAUAGUUUUAUAAUUACAAAUAUAUUAAUGAUAAUAUUUUAGUAUAUAUUAUAAAAAUAUGGAUCUUAACAUCUUUAUAAAAUAUAAUUAAUUUUUUUUAUUAAAAAUAAAUAAUAUUAAUUUAAAAUUAAUAAUAUUUUAUUUAAAAUAAAUUUAGAAACAAAUAAAAUCUAAUAUAUUUUUAAUAUUAAAGUAUGCAAAGCUUUUCAUUACAUCUACACUUUUAGUAUUCAAUUAUGACAUGUUAUUUUGGAUUAGUUUUGGUUUAUUAUGUAAUUAAUUAGGUCAUUUUUUUUUUUAAUUUCACACCAUCUAAAAAAUCAGAAGAUUUGUUAAAGGAUUUAAGACAUUAAGCCUUAGUUGAUUUAGAAUUUAUUUACCUAGUGAAAAAAUUCGAAAAAUAUUAUUAUGUGCAUAGAAAAAACAAUAAAAUCAUAACUUAUUGUGUCUUAGUUUUGGUCUAUUAUUAUAGAUAAUGAUUAGAUCUGUUUUUGAGUUGUAAAUUAUUUUAAAAAAAUUAUUAAACUAAUUAAAAAAUUCAAUAAAUUAAGUUUCACUUUAUUUAAUUUCAUUUUUCUAGUUAUAUAUGAAAAAAAAAAAAAAGUCAUUUUGGAUUGAUUUUAGUAAGUGAAUUAUCACUAGUAAUUGUGUUGUGUUUUGAAUUUUAAUUUAUUUUAAAAAUUAAUAUACUUGCUAACGAAUCCAAUGCAUUAAAUCUUAUUUAAUUUGGAGUAUGCUUGUUUAAUGAGAAAAUUCACAAAAAAAAAAAAAAAAAAAAAGGUUUUAUGUAGAAAAGAAAGAAUCAUUUUGAACUAAUUUUGUCCACAAAUUUCUUGUAUUUUUAAUUAACUUACUAUUUGAGUUUUAAAUUAUUUUUAAAAAUUACUUGACUCAUUUACAAAUUUAAAAACAUUAAAUUUUUCUUAAUUUCAAGUUUAUUUACUUAGUAAAAAAUUAGUAAAAGUACAAUUAUAUAUAUAAAAAAACUAACAAAGUUAUUUAUAAUGAAGUUUAGUAUGUGAAUUUCUAAAAAAGAAAAAAGAAUAACUUCAAAAANNNNNNNNNNNNNNNNNNNNNNNNNNNNNNNNNNNNNNNNNNNNNNNNNNNNNNNNNNNNNNNNNNNNNNNNNNNNNNNNNNNNNNNNNNNNNNNNNNNNNNNNNNNNNNNNNNNNNNNNNNNNNNNNNNNNNNNNNNNNNNNNNNNNNNNNNNNNNNNNNNNNNNNNNNNNNNNNNNNNNNNNNNNNNNNNNNNNNNNNNNNNNNNNNNNNNNNNNNNNNNNNNNNNNNNNNNNNNNNNNNNNNNNNNNNNNNNNNNNNNNNNNNNNNNNNNNNNNNNNNNNNNNNNNNNNNNNNNNNNNNNNNNNNNNNNNNNNNNNNNNNNNNNNNNNNNNNNNNNNNNNNNNNNNNNNNNNNNNNNNNNNNNNNNNNNNNNNNNNNNNNNNNNNNNNNNNNNNNNNNNNNNNNNNNNNNNNNNNNNNNNNNNNNNNNNNNNNNNNNNNNNNNNNNNNNNNNNNNNNNNNNNNNNNNNNNNNNNNNNNNNNNNNNNNNNNNNNNNNNNNNNNNNNNNNNNNNNNNNNNNNNNNNNNNNNNNNNNNNNNNNNNNNNNNNNNNNNNNNNNNNNNNNNNNNNNNNNNNNNNNNNNNNNNNNNNNNNNNNNNNNNNNNNNNNNNNNNNNNNNNNNNNNNNNNNNNNNNNNNNNNNNNNNNNNNNNNNNNNNNNNNNNNNNNNNNNNNNNNNNNNNNNNNNNNNNNNNNNNNNNNNNNNNNNNNNNNNNNNNNNNNNNNNNNNNNNNNNNNNNNNNNNNNNNNNNNNNNNNNNNNNNNNNNNNNNNNNNNNNNNNNNNNNNNNNNNNNNNNNNNNNNNNNNNNNNNNNNNNNNNNNNNNNNNNNNNNNNNNNNNNNNNNNNNNNNNNNNNNNNNNNNNNNNNNNNNNNNNNNNNNNNAAAAAGAAAAAAAGAAUAACUUCAAAAAAGUUUUAAAAAAAUAUUAGAAAAAUAGGUGUAAUUGUGAAAUAAAUCAUAUUUGAUCUUUCAGCUGCUUUCAUUCUCAUUCACGGCUACAUGAAUUGAAUUCUGAAUUAAUCCUUCAUUAACCAACAAGUGAUAAUGAUCUCUGAUCUUUCAAGUAUUGGAGAUUGAGUUUGGAGAAAUUGUGAAAGCAUGACCAAAAAAUCGAGUCAAUUCUUUGUAUCCCUGAGUUUUUUUUUCAUUGCAGUGAGUCACAUGCCUUUAGAGUUUUUUCCAUUAUAGUAAUAUUGAUUGAAAUUAGGGGCUUGAUAAAAUCUAUGGAUGGCAUGACAAAUGUGAAGUAAUGGUUACUUAUACUUCUUAUAUAUUAAUCAACAUCAAUAAUUAAUUUGAAGUUGCCCAACGAGCCACACAAAUAAACUCGAAUGCUAUUUUACGGUUUUUUUUUUAAUGGCAACUGCCACCUAUAGUUCAGCUGAUGUGAAGAAAAUUAAACAUUAUAUAUAUAUUGUAGCUCAUUCGAGGUUGAUAUAUUGUGCUUUAUAUUUGGCAGGUAUGAAUCUAAUAUUAUUCAUGAAAUUGCUCAGAACAUUUUCAAUAGGCUGAAUCGUAAACACUUACAUAUUGAUGGCCAUCUGGUUGGAAUGGAUUCUUGUUUGGAAGAAAUGACUUCACUACUAUGUAUGAUUCAAAUGAUGUCCGCAUGAUAGGAAUACAUGGAAAUGGGGAUAUUGCUCCUACUCCGCCCUGCUAGAGGAAGAGGAAGAGAAGGUGGAGGAGGUGGAUUCAUCGGUGGAGAAUGGAGAGGUGGAUUAUUGGUGUUUAGCAAGAAGAAAUAGAGGGAGUUGAAAGUUGCAAGAAUAAGAAAGAAAAGUGAUUUUAAGUUGCUCUUUAUUCAUUACCAACUUAAGUUACAAUUAUGUUUGAUUUUUAAGUAUUAGAAACUGAGUUUGGUGAAAUCGAACAAGCAAGACCAAAAUAUUAAUUGAGAGCCCAUUCUUGGCAUCCCCGAUUACUCGCUUUCAUCUUAGAAAUUUAGGGACCAUUCUUGCACGCAGUAAUUUCAGCAAAUUCCAAACCCUCAUUUCCUACUUAGAAACUACCACUUAUGCCUAGUGCCCCAUCACUUGCACCAUUUUUACACGCAGUAAAAUAAUUUAAAAAAAAAUGAAAAUAUUUAUUUUUAUAUUAUAUUUACCAAAUUGUCGUUCGUUUUGUUCAUAUAAUUUCAGCAAACUCCAAACCCCUUUUUCCUACUUAAAAACUACCACUUAUGUCAAAUGCCCCAUCACUUGCAUCAUUUUUGCACACAGUAAAAUGAUUAAAAAAAAUGAAAAUCUUAGUUUUAUAUGAUAUUUACCAAAUUUUCAUUCCUUUUGUUCACCAUUAAGAAUUACUUUCGUAUAAAUUCAGCAAACUUCAAAUCCUUUUUUCCUUCUAAGAAACUACCACUUAUGCCCAAUGCCCCAUCACUUGCACCAUUUUUGCACGCAAUAAAAUGAUUAAACAAAAUAAAAAUAUUUAUUUUUAUAUCAUAUUUACGAAAUCAUCAUUCCUUUUGUUCACCAUUAAGAAUGAUAUUUGUAUAAUUCCAGCAAACUCCUAACCCUCUUUUCCUACUUAGAAACUACCAUUUAUGCCUAGUGCCCCAUCACUUGCACCAUUUUUACAUGCAGUAAAAUAAUUUUAAAAAUAAUGAAAAUCCUUAUUUUUAUAUUAUAUUUAUAAGAGUUGAGCUUUCUCUGUUGUUUUCAUGCUCAUAGGGCAAUGGGAACAUUGCUCCUGCUCCGCUUUUGUUGGAGAAGGAGGAAGAGAAGGUGGAGGAUGGGGAGGUGGAUUCAUCGGUGUUCAGCAAGAAGAAACAGAGGAAGUUGAAAGUUGUAAGAAUAAGAAAGAAAAGUGAUUUUAAGUUGCUUUUUAUUCAUUACCAACUUAAGUCACAAUUAUGUUUGAUUUUUAAGUAUUGGAAACUGAGUUUGGUGAAAUCGGACAAGCAAGACCAAAAGAUUAAUUGAGAGCCUGUUCUUGGUAUCCCCGAUUGCUCACUUUCAGCUUAGAAAUUUAGGGACCAUUCUUACACGCAGUAAUUUCAGCAAACUCCAAACCUUCUUUUCCUACUUAGACACUACCACUUAUGCCUAGUGCCCCAUCACUUGCACCAUUUUUACAUGCAGUAAAAUAAUUUUUUAAAAACUGAAAAUCUUUUUUUUUAUAUUAUAUUUACCAAAUUUUCAUUCAUUUUGUUUACCAUUAAGAAUGACAUUCGUAUAAUUUCAGCAAACUCCAAACCCUUUUUUCCUACUUAAAAACUACCACUUAUGCCCAAUGCCCCAUUACUUGCAUCAUUUUGCACGCAGUAAAAUGAUUAAAAAAAAUGAAAAUAUUUAUUUUUAUAUCAUAUUUACGAAAUCGUCAUUCUUUUUGUUCAUCAUUAAGAAUGACAUUUGUAUAAUUUCAGCAAACUCCAAACCCUCUUUUCCUACUUAGAAACUACCACUUAUGCCUAGUGCCCCAUCACUUGCACCAUUUUUACAUGCAGUAAAAUAAUUUUAAAAAUAAUGAAAAUCCUUAUUUUUAUAUUAUAUUUACCAUAGUCGAGCUUUCUCUAUUGUUUUCAUGCUCAUAGGGCAAUGGGAACAUUGCUCCUGCUCUGCCUUUGUUGGAGGAGGAGGAAGAGAAGGUGGAGGAUGAGGAGGUGGAUUCAUCAGUGGAGGAUGGGGAGGUGGAUUCAUCGGUGGAGGAUGGGGAGAUGGAUUCAUCGGUGUUCGGCAAGAAGAAACAGAGGGAGUUGAAAGUUGCAAGAAUAAGAAAGAAAAGUGAUUUUAAAUUGUUUUUUAUUCAUUACCAACUUUAGUCAAAAUUAUGUUUGAUUUUUAAGUAUUGGAAACUGAGUUUGGUGAAAUCGGACAAUCAAGACCAAAAGAUUAAUUGAGAGCCCGUUCUUGGUAUCCCCGAUUGCUCACUUUCAUCUUAAAAAUUUAGGGACUAUUUUUGCACGCAGUAAUUUCAGCAAACUCCAAACCUUCUUUUCCUACUUAGAAACUACCACUUAUGCCUAGUGCCCCAUCACUUGCACCAUUUUUACAAGCAGUAAAAUAAUAUUUUUUUUAAAAAUGAAAAUCUUUAUUUUUAUAUUAUAUUUACCAAAUUGUCGUUCAUUUGUUCACCAUUAAGAAUGACAUUCGUAUAAUUUCAGCAAACUCCAAACCCUUUUUUCCUACUUAAAAACUACCACUUAUACCCAAUGUCCCAUCACUUGCAUCAUUUUUGCACGCAAUAAAAUGAUUAAACAAAAUGAAAAUCCUUAUUUUUAUAUUAUAUUUACCAAAUUGUCAUUCAUUUUGUUCACCAUUAAGAAUGACAUUCGUAUAAUUUCAGUAAACUACAAACCUCACCCUCUUUUCCUAUUUAGAAACUACCACUUAUGUCCAAUGCCCCCAUCACUUGCACCAUUUUUGCACGUAGUAAAAUGAUUAAAAAAAAUGAAAAUCCUUAUUUUUAUAUUAUAUUUACCAAAUUUUCAUUCCUUUUAUUCACAAUUAGGAAUGACAUUCGUAUAAUUUCAGUAAACUACAAACCAUCUUUUCCUAUUUAGAAACUGUCACUUAUGCCCAAUGUCCUCAUCACUUGCACCAUUUUUACAUGUAGUAAAAUGAUUAAAAAAAAAUGAAAAUUCUUAUUUUUAUAUUAUAUUUACCAAAUUUUCAUUCCUUUUGUUCACCAUUAAGAAUGACAUUCGUAUAAAUUCAGCAAACUCCAAACCCUCUUUUCCUUCUAAGAAACGAUCACUUAUGCCCAGUGCCCCAUCACUACCACCAUUUUUGCACGCAGUAAAAUGAUUAAACAAAAUGAAAAUCCUUAUUAUUAUAUCAUAUUUACCAAAUCGCCAUUCCUUUUAUUCACCAUUAAGAAUGACAUUCGUAUAAUUUCAGCAAACUCCAAACCCUCUUUUCCUACUUAGAAACUACCAAUUAUUCCUAGUGCCCCAUCACUUGCACCAUUUUUACACGCAGUAAAAUAAUUUUAAAAAAAAAUGAAAAUCCUUAUUUUUAUAUUAUAUUUACCAAAGUCGAGUUUUCUCUAUUGUUUUCAUGCUCAUAGGGCAAUGGAGACAUUGUUCAUGCUCUGCCUUUGUUGGAGGAGGAGGAAUAGAAGGUGGAGAAUGGGGAGGUGGAUUCAUCAGUGGAGGAUGGGGAGGUGGAUUCAUCGGUGGAGGAUGGGGAGGUGGAUUCAUCGGUGUUCAGCAAGAAGAAACAAUUGUUUUUUAUUCAUUACCUAUUAUGUUUGAUUUUUAAGUAUUGAAAACUGAGUUUGGUGAAAUCGGACAAGCAAAACCAAAAGAUUAAUUGAGAGCCCGUUCUUGGCAUCCUCGAUUGCUCACUUUCAUCUUUGAAAUUUAGGGGGUUUGUAUUAGGAAUGCCUUCUUUUACUUGUAUAUAUUUAAAAAUUAUUUUUAAAUUAAAGAAUAAAAAUUAUUUUUUUAAUAUUUUCUAAAAACAAAUAGCAUUUAGUAACUAGUUUUUUAAAAUCACUUUUCAAAAAACAAAAAAAUAAAUAACCAUUUGGAUAAAUUAUUUUUAAAAAUAAUUUUCUUAUUUUUAUUUUGUGAAUUCAAUUUAUUUUACUAAUGAAAUUUAAUUCAAGUCUUAUUAAACUUAAAAAUAGUUUUAUAAUUACAAAUAUAUUAAUGAUAAUAUUUUAGUAUAUAUUAUAAAAAUAUGGAUCUUAACAUCUUUAUAAAAUAUAAUUAAUUUUUUUUUAUUAAAAAUAAAUAAUAUUAAUUUAAAAUUAAUAAUAUUUUAUUUAAAAUAAAUUUAGAAACAAAUAAAAUCUAAUAUAUUUUUAAUAUUAAAGUAUGCAAAGCUUUUCAUUACAUCUACACUUUUAGUAUUCAAUUAUGACAUGUUAUUUUGGAUUAGUUUUGGUUUAUUAUGUAAUUAAUUAGGUCUUUUUUUUUUUUAAUUUCACACCAUCUAAAAAAUCAGAAGAUUUGUUAAAGGAUUUAAGACAUUAAGCCUUAGUUGAUUUAGAAUUUAUUUACCUAGUGAAAAAAUUCGAAAAAUAUUAUUAUGUGCAUAGAAAAAACAAUAAAAUCAUAACUUAUUGUGUCUUAGUUUUGGUCUAUUAUUAUAGAUAAUGAUUAGAUCUGUUUUUGAGUUGUAAAUUAUUUUAAAAAAAUUAUUAAACUAAUUAAAAAAUUCAAUAAAUUAAGUUUCACUUUAUUUAAUUUCAUUUUUCUAGUUAUAUAUGAAAAAAAAAAAAGUCAUUUUGGAUUGAUUUUAGUAAGUGAAUUAUCACUAGUAAUUGUGUUGUGUUUUGAAUUUUAAUUUAUUUUAAAAAUUAAUAUACUUGCUAACGAAUCCAAUGCAUUAAAUCUUAUUUAAUUCGGAGUAUGCUUGUUUAAUGAGAAAAUUCACAAAAAAAAAAAAAAAAAAAGGUUUUAUGUAGAAAAGAAAGAAUCAUUUUGAACUAAUUUUGUCCACAAAUUUCUUGUAUUUUUAAUUAACUUACUAUUUGAGUUUUAAAUUAUUUUUAAAAAUUACUUGACUCAUUUACAAAUUUAAAAACAUUAAAUUUUUCUUAAUUUCAAGUUUAUUUACUUAGUAAAAAAUUAGUAAAAGUACAAUUAUAUAUAUAAAAAAACUAACAAAGUUAUUUAUAAUGAAGUUUAGUAUGUGAAUUUCUAAAAAAGAAAAAAGAAUAACUUCAAAAAAGUUUUAAAAAAUAUUAGAAAAAUAGGUGUAAUUGUGAAAUAAAUCAUAUUUGAUCUUUCAACUGCUUUCAUUCUCAUUCACGGCUACAUGAAUUGAAUUCUGAAUUAAUCCUUCAUUAACCAACAAGUGAUAAUGAUCUCUGAUCUUUCAAGUAUUGGAGAUUGAGUUUGGAGAAAUUGUGAAAGCAUGACCAAAAAAUCGAGUCAAUUCUUUGUAACCCUGAGUUUUUUUUUCAUUGCAGUGAAUCACAUGCCUUUAGAGUUUUUUCCAUUAUAGUAAUAUUGAUUGAAAUUAGGGGCUUGGUAAAAUCUAUGGAUGGCAUGACAAAUGUGAAGUAAUGGUUACUUAUACUUCUUAUAUAUUAAUCAACAUCAAUAAUUAAUUUGAAGUUGCCAAACGAGCCGCACAAAUAAACUCGAAUGCUAUUUUACGGUUUUUUUUUUAAUGGCAACUGCCACCUAUAGUUCAGCUGAUGUGAAGAAAAUUAAACAUUAUAUAUAUAUAUUGUAGCUCAUUCGAGGUUGAUAUAUUGUGCUUUAUAUUUGGCAGGUAUGAAUCUAAUAUUAUUCAUGAAAUUGCUCAGAACAUUUUCAAUAGGCUGAAUCGUAAACACUUACAUAUUGAUGGCCAUCUGGUUGGAAUGGAUUCUUGUUUGGAAGAAAUGACUUCACUACUAUGUAUGGAUUCAAAUGAUGUCCGCAUGAUAGGAAUACAUGGAAUUGUUGAAAGGGCCUUAUUUCUGUAGUUCAAUCUCUUGGACACAUGGUAGAGACAGAGUUGUAGAGACUAAUCACAUGUGGCUGAUAUAUCUACCUCACACUCACUUUGUGAAAUCAAAGUCUAGUUGUGCCAAUGUAUUCAGGAUUAAGGCUUGUUUUGGUCUAGUUGGGGCACCCCAUGUGGUGCAAAAGUGUGGGAUCAGUCUUAUGAGAAGCGGUUCAGGAUGAAGAACCAAAUGGAACUUAGUGGUUGUUGUUGCACUAAGGAACUCACUGGCCUUCAAAUGGGAACGGGCAUGCAAUUUUGUUAAAUUAAACUUUCUUCUAAUUUAUCAAAACAAAACAAUACAAAUGGUCGCUCAAUGUAGCUUCUUGAUGAUCACUACAUGUUAAUUGAAUACGUCUUUGUUGUUUCUCUAAGAGUGCUUACUCUUCACAAAUUAAGGUGGUAUUUUUGUUGGACUGGUGAUUAUUUAUAAGGAGGCCCAAGAAAAAAGGUAUUCCUAUAAUUUUUUUGCUCUUAUAUAAAAAAAAAACUAGGGGUUUGGAUCCCUACCAUUAAUUAGGCAAUCUAUGUCAUAAUUGGGCAAUACCAUUUAAGUGUACGAAUCACCGAAUAAAAAAUCUAAAUGACAUCUAAAGGAUAUUCGUGUACCGAUCGACCAUCAUAUGAAGCGGUUGCAAUUUUUUUGGAACCGAUAGACACUGGCCAUUUUGGUGCUUCAUCAUAAGAAAUGACAGUGUCUAUCGGCUGAGAAAAUGGGUCAACCGGUAGCAUUUAACCAGUUGGCCGCUUCAUAGAUAAUGAAGUAAGAUGUUAAAGUGUUGGAUUCAUGCAUAUAUUGUUUUCCACUUAUUAGAAAUUAGUUUUUGUGGGCAUGUGAUUAGGUAAAACCUCUUAUGGCUUGGAUAGUAUUUAAAUGAGUCCAUUACACUUAAGGGGUGUUCAAAUGAUGCCCGGAAAAAUCAAACUUCAAAAAUACUUCAAAAUUAGAAAAAUGUACGAAUAAUGUGAGGAAUCCUCUAAGUGUGCACUGUUUCUAUAGAUUUAAAAAAAAAAAAAAAAAAAGGACGCGUGUGCAUUAGAGGAAGACUUUUAUAAUAUAUAUAUAUAUAUAUAUAUAUUAGUAAUAAUGGAGAAUUAUUGGGAUACAGAUUAUGUUUGGUAAAAAAAAAAAUCGAGAAAGUGAGAGAAUAGAAGUUUUAAAUAAAAGGAAGUAAAGUUUUUGGUAUUAUAAUUAGACUAAUGAUGGGUGUAAGUUAAUAAAUAGCAUAGAAUUUAAUUAGUGAAAUAAAUUGUAAUUUAAUUAAAUUAUGUUGUAUCCCAAGAAAUAAAUUGAAAAUAAAAUUUAAGUUUUAUAUGAAUUAGAAAUUUAUUAAUUUUUCUAAAAAUAGGAAUAGAUUAAUUAUAUUUCCUAAUUAAAAACAUUAAUUUGAAUAUCUAAAAUUUUAGGAUUGUCAAACCUAAAAUUUUAGAUAAAUAGUAAUGCUUAUUUUUCUUAUACUUUGUUAAGUAAAGAGUAAAUUUUUCAGGAUUAUUUUUCUCCAAAGUUUUGGAGGACUUAUUUUGAGGUAAGGAAAAUUAAUGCAAAUUUUGCAAAGGGAAAUAUAUAUCUAUAUAUAUAUAUAUAUAUAUAUAUAUAUAUAUAUAUAUAAUAGGGAAAAAUGUGUUUCCAUAUACUCAUAUGAAAAAAAAAUUAUAAAAUAGGAAUUCAAGUUUAUAAAAUAUAAAUUUUAAGCAAAUAUUUAAAAAUAAUUAGCAUUUUAUGUAUUUUUUUGGUCAAAGGUACUACAUUUGACAUUUGAGCUACUUAUAGAAUUUUUAAAUAUUUUAAUUAGUAUUGAUAUUAAUAGAGAAAUACAAAUUAUUUACUAAAAAUUAAAUAUUCUGGAGAGAUCUCAAAAUAAUGCUAAAUAUGAGAGAUUUUAUGGUUUUGUAAUACCAAAUAUUGAGAAAUAAAAUAUUUAUUUAAAGAAUGCUAGAUCAUUAUAUUAAAUGUUUUACACUCUUUUUAUUUUCGUUUUAAAAAUUAAAUAUAAAUAUGGUAUGAUAUAUCUCAUCCUAGAUUUCAUCAACAAACUAAAUUAAGAAGUAAUUUCUUUUGUUUAAUAUCUUGAUUUUUUUAUUAUUUAAACUUAUUUAUUCAUUUUAGGACUUUUUUUUACUCAAUUUAAUUAAUAGAAAUUUGAAAAUAAUUAAAAUUAAUUAAGUUUUUUUAUAUAAAAAUAUUUAAAAGUUUUAGUUACCACUAUUAAGAGAUAAUUAUGCUUUAGGAGUAAAUAAAUAUGAUAAUGGGCUAAAGUCCAUAAAAUGUGUAAAAUUCAGCUCAAAAGUUAACAAACAUUUAUAAUUAAAUUAAACAAUUUGAUUUUCUCAUAUUGUAAAAAAGACCUUGAGGACGUAGAAAUUAUAUAAAAUGAAUUUAUAUUAUAUGGUUGCGUUGUAUCAUAUAAAAUGCAUCAUACUUGUUUUUUUUUUUCUUUAGGCUUUUAAUUCUCUAGUGAUUUAUUUUUUAAAAUGAUAAAAUAAAUAAAUUAAACCUACUUGCAAAGUAAAAUUUUGAUUGAAAAGAUUAUUUGAAUCUAUAACUUUAAAUUAUAUUUCAAAAUACAAUUUAAAAUGAAAUUGUUAAAAUUAUUUUUUAAAUGAUUAUAUGAUUUUUUUAUUUCAUAUAAUAACAUUAUAUAUCGUAUGAAAAUUCUAAAAUAUAUGAAAAAAAAUCUUUAAAAAACAGUUAUUUCUAUUUUUCAAAUAUAUGAAAAUUAUAUUUGUAGACCCAUCUUGUGGACAAGGGAUUUUUCUUACCACCUCGGGAGAGUUGGGCAUCUCUAUAGAAGGGAAUGGGGGAUGGUUUCCAUAGGAGCUGCAUGCAUGGGACGUGUGGCAAAGACAUGACCACCUUGCCAUGGUGGUGGUUGAAAUAGAUGUGUGGUGGUUGAAAUAGAGACAUCUAUGAACAAGGAGUAGUAGAACGGGUGGAGAACGUUGAGGGAAGAAGCAGAGUGGGUGUAGGCUUGGAAGGAAAGCAAAAAAGAAAAAAAAAUAAAUAAAUAAAGGAGUACUGGCGAGGAAUAGAGGAGAUUUAGAGCAAAAAAAAAAAAGUGAGAGAUGAGGGGGGUCAAGACUUUUUGGAGAGAGCUUGAGAAAUGGAGUUGGAAGCUGGACUCGAAGGGAGACCUAUCAGGGACUACUAUAACGUCUUUUCUUCUCCAGCUUUAAUGGCGUGAGGCCACCGUACCUGUAUGUAUCUACGCUACAUGUAACCAUAUACAAUCCUCCAUAUUUGCAUGCCUCACCAACUCCUUCACAGAAAAAUACCCAAAAUCCAAAUGAGAUGAUUUCAAAAUGAAAUGCAAUUGAAAUUCAUCGCCAAAACCACCUUUAUUUCAGUGUUGAUUGCGACCUAGAUGAUAAAAACUGGUAAUCGCUUCUGGGUAUAUGUUGUUUUCCCCUCCCGUGAUCGUUAUCUGAUGUGGGUUGUAUGUUUUUUUUCUUGAAUUUGUGCGUUUUGUUUUGGUUGGUGUGGCUUUUCUUUGCUUUUUUGUUGUUCUGUUUUAUUUGUUUGUUGUUGUUUGAUGUUUGAGAGAGUUGGGAUUGAGAGGAAAGUGGGGGAGAAGAUGAAGGACGAUGAAGAGCUUGAAAGGUUGUUGGGUGAGAUCCCUCAUGCAACAUCAAACAAUCAUCAUCAUCAGCAUCAACAAGAUGACACUAGUGGUAAUCAUCAUCAUUGUGUUCAUGGCCUCAAUGGUGGGCAUGGUCAUGGGUCAUUUGUUUCUCCACAGCUAAGGAAGCUCAUGUGGCUGACCUUCACUAGAUUGCCACAAUGAGGUGUAUGGUGGCUAAGGAAGAGUGAAAAUGGUGGCUAAACAAAUAAGGAGAGAGUUUUUCGAAAUGCUUCUCACCGACAAGUUCUUUGUAGUUCAUUGUUCUUUCGGGGACGGCUAUCAAUGCUCAUCACUGUGCUCGGAACUCUGGGGUGCUUCAAGUGCAGUUCCAAUCCCACCUUCGUACCCUUUGGACCCCACCUUUGCACCCCGGACCCACACUCAUGCAUGGCCACAUUUGGCAUGCAAUCCCAACGACCACAUCUCAUCCUUUUUUAAUUUUUCAUCUUUUGAUAUCAAAGUUUAAUUUUUCAAAAUUCCAAUUUUCAAAUCUAAUUUUCAAAAUCUCUGUUUUCAAAUAAUUUUCUAAAAUUUCAAUUUUCAAAUUUAAUUGUCAAAACUUUCAUAUUUAAAUAAUUUUCCAAAAUUCAAAUUUUCAAAUUUAAUUUUUUAAAACUCCAAUUUUCAAAUAUUUUUUCAAAAUUCCAAUUUUCAAAUCUAAUUUUCAAAACUUCAAUUUUCAAAUAAUUUUCAAAACUCCCCAAAUAAUUUUUAAAACUCCAAUUUUCAAAUCAUUCUUCAAAAUUCCAAUUUUCAAAACUUCUAUUUUCAAAUAAUUUUCCAAAAUUCCAAUUUUCAAAUUUAAUUUUCAAAACUUCAAUUUUCAAAACUCCAAUUUUCAAAUAAUUUUUUAAAAUUCCAAUUCUCAAAUUUAAUUUUCAAGAUUUCAAUUUUUAAAACUCUAGUUUGUUUUUCAAAUAAUUUUAAUUCCAUACCGGUUUUCAAAUAAUUUUAAGUUCUUUCUUUUCUUCUUCCUUCCUUAGGGUUUAGAGUCACCAAAAAUCUCGUUUUUAAUAAACUUACCACAUUUCCCUUCAAGUAAGCACUUUCACAAAUUUUCUUUGAUCUCCAAAUAAUUUUCCGGUUUUCUCGAUUUUUAAUAAGCAUGAAUGAAUUUUUCAUAAUUUCAAAUAAUGGAACUCAUUGAACCAAUUCAUACAAAAGUAAUUUGGGCUUUGGUGGGGGGCUAACAUCCAUUAUAUUUUCUUUAAAAAUAAUUCAAGUGAAGUGCAUGAUUGAUAUUGUUUGAUUUUGACCAAUUUUGUGUGAGAUAUUUUACAUUUAUCAUUAUGAGCUAACCUUAUUUCCAUUAUAGUGCAUUAUUACUUGCUGCUAAGGUUCAAUCUAACUCUCACUUUGCUUAUUCUCAUUCGUAAUUCGUUUUAUUAUUUGAUCAUUUUAUUAGUAUCCAUUGAUUUUCUUGUCAAUUGUCACACUUGUCUCACCUUGUUUAGUAGAGACUUCAUUAUAGGGCUUAGAGGGGUGAUACAGUCUUUCGUCGUACCUUCCUGAUAAGUAACCUGAACCUAGACCCUUCUCUAUUUUCACAAACCGUCUUUUCCAAAUAAAGAGUCACGCUUAUGGUUUUCUUUUCUAUUUUGUUUUCCCUUUAAAAAAUAAAACAAAAAUAAGUGGUGACUCCAAGCCUUUUCUAAAAAUCAUAUUCUUCACUGAAUAAAUAAAAAAACAAGUAUCACCGCCGAGUGGGAACGCACGUAAAAAAUGCGAGGUCCACAAUAUUUUUAAAAUAUUAUUAAUAUUAAAUUUUAAUGAAAGUUUUAUUAAUUACUUUUAACAAUGUUACUAAAAUGUUAUAUUAUCAAUAAUAAAAUAAAAUAGGAAAAUAAAACUAAAAAUAAAUUUAAAUUGUAAAAAAUAUUUACUUUUACUUAAAAUUUAACUUAUUCAAUUAUAAAAUAUAAAAAUUAAAUUAAAUUUAAAAAAAUUAAAAAUUUAAAAAAUAUAAUUAAAAGUCUCUUAAUAUGUGUGGUUUCUGUUUUUAAUUCUUUUUAAUAAAAAUAGAAAUGGAAAAAUGUUAAAAUAUUUUUAGAAAAAUAAAUUAAAAAUGUGAAAUAAAUGUGGAAAUCAAAAUAGGAGAGUAAAAAAGAAAAAUAAUAUAUAAAAAUCAAAGAAUCGGAAGGAUAGGUCCCACAAACGCAUUAACUUUUCGUGAUCUCCUUCAAGCUAUUUUUGUUUUUCACAUUUCACGUCCUAGUACUAAUUAUGCUAAAUAUGUGGAACUAUGCAAUAUAAGUUAAGAGGGCUAAGAUAAAGAAAACAAAUUUGGAGGAUAUUUUAUUUGUUUUCUACAAGUUUUUUAAGUCAUGAAUAGUCAACGUUAGUUAAGGGGUGUCAAUAUAAUUUCAUAAACCUGAGAAGCUAAAGUGAAAUUCUGGAUACUUUAGGGAUGCCCGUGAUUUUCUCUUCAAAGAUAUAAGGAAUUAAAAAUUUGUCCUCAUUGUAAUAUCGAAAUUUAAAAUCGCAAACACCAUUUGAAAAAUGUAAUACUGAAACUUUGAAAAUGAUUUUAAAAAUAAAUCGAUGAUAAUAUAAAAGUAUUACUUUUUAAAAAUAAGGAAAAUCAUUUAAAAAAGGGAAUGUUUGAAAUAUUUAAAAAUAUGAGUUUUUUUUUUUUUGAAAAGUUUUCUACUAAAUUUAAAGAUUUAUAAUAAUAUUAAAUAUUUAAAUAAAUUUUUAGUACAAUGUUGAUCCAUGGAUUUUAUCCAUAGAUCCUUGAUAUGUCACAAAUUUUGAUAUAAAUAUAAAUUUUUAUAAGUAAAACACAUGAAAUAAAAUGGAAAGAUAUAAAAAAAAAAAUCAAAACCCUUUUUUUCUAUAAAAUAUUCCUAUUAUCAUGAAAAAAUAAAAAUAUAAUUAAAAAUGAAACAUAUUAUUUGAAAAUUUUGAAAAAACAACAAAUAUAUAUAUUGUGGACCCCGUAUUUUCGGCUUAUGCGUUUUCCACUCGAUGGCGAGCUCGAUUUUAUUUCAAAAAUGAUUUUAUUUAUUAGAAAAUGACUUGAAGUCGCCACUUAUUUUUAUUUUAUUUUAAAAGGGUAAACAAAAUAAGAAAGAAAACCCUAAGUGCGACUCCUUAUUUUGGAAAAGGUGAUCUACGAAAAACUGGAUCGGGUUCGGGAGUCAGAUUACUUAUCGGGAAGGUACGGUAAAAACCGUAGCACCCCUCUAAGUCCCUAAAAUCGGGUCUCUACUAAUAAAAUAAAGUUAACAUGACAAUCAAUAAGAAAAUCAAUUAAUACUCAGAGCGAAUCAUGCACAUACGAGAGUCAAAAAAUGCAUAUAGACUAACCAGAUUGAGAAUGAGUGCGUACCUAGGCAACAAACCAUCAUGCGCUAUCAAGAGAGGGGGGGUUAGUGCACAAUUAAAGGAUAAUCUCAUGCAUGUCAUAUAGCAGAAUAAAUCAAUCAUAUAUGAUAAUCAAAUCAAUCAAUCAAUCAAUCAUAAAAAACAUAUAUGUGGGGGCCUCACCAAAGCCCGUUUAUUUUUGCAUGAAUUAAUUCCAUAAAUUCCAUUAUUCGGAAUUACAGAAUUUAAUUCACAAUUAUUUUCGAAAUGUUUUAGAAAACGUUUUUCUUAAAAAAACAAAGAAAAUGCAAAAAUGGUUUGCCGGAAGGAAAAUGGCAACCAAAUUUCAUUGAAAAAGGGGUUUUGAUAUCUAAAGACCCUAAAAAUGGAAAUUUUGAUGAUUUGAGGAUUAAAAUAGCACCCUUACUCUUCAGUUCAUUCUCUAGUAGCUAGUAGCCGCCUGUGGGUAUUUCCACGUUAACUUCUUUAAGUAAUCAUCACCAAUAAUCUCCUGCAGUUCCUGACUUGCUCCUCAAAUAAAUUAGCUCUAAGCUCUCUGCCAAAGUUCGAACUUCCAUUUGUACUGCAAUCUACUUGAGCUAAUUCUUUAUAAUUCCACAAGUCAAUGCUAGAGUUGUUUCCGGCUGAGAGAACUUUCAGCAUAUCAACUCACAAUACACAGGAUCUCUUAAGCUGGUUGAGGGCUUUCAAUAUAUCUUUCAUGUGAGAAAUCAAAUCAUUGAAUUCCUCAGGAUCAUGGAUGAAGCAGCUCGAAGCAAGCAUGGAGAAGGUCUUGUCUUCCAUGUCCUUUGCAAAUUUGAAUGUGGAUAUGCAGUGCUUAAGCAAGCAUACUUGGGCUACUCCUCUUAUUCCUGUGUCUAAGAGAAUGGUGAGCAUAUGUAUAAGCCAGGUAGCUGACAAAAAAAACAUGAUGGAAAUAACUCUGGGUUUCUGCUCUUGAGGCCCUUUGCCAAAGCUUCAAACGACAAACCAGACUCAUGGCUGACUAGAACAAAUGCCAUUUUUCUCUCUCAUUCGUUAGUCACCUGCUUUUUUUCCAAAUUUUCUUCAGACUCCCCAAAACUGUUGCUGAGUUGGUCCACUUGCAUUAGAGUUAUAUAACUUUUGUCAAGUCUAGCAUGUUUAAGGAGAGAAACCCGGGUGAUGGUUUUUCCAGACAAUGAGAACCUCCCUUGCAACGACACAAUCUCUUUCCUCUUCAUCGCAUUCAAAUCUAUGGUUUGCUGACAAAUGGUAUAUAUCACCUUCAGCGGAUUCAAAUAUGCACCGUGAAUCACCAAUGGAAGCAACAAUUACCACCUAUCCUUCUAUUGUAAUAAAGGUAAUAGUUAUUCCUGAAGUUUGUGCUUCCUCUUGGAAGUCCAUGUCUGUCUCAACAAACCCUGCAACUGAAGUCCUAGGCAAGAUAGCUACCCACUCAUCUUUGCUAAGUUCUGGAGGAAUAGCAGCUAAAACAUCGUUUAGAAGGUUCUCUUUUGAGUACAAAGUAGCUGCGAAUCCAUUAUGUCUAUCGAACAACCCAAAAACCAAAUAUGUAGAAACCCCAUCUCCAAUCAUCCUUUGGCACUUCGUCUUGAGUAAAAUGAAGUCCUCCAUUUUCUUGCUUUGGCUGACCCUGUCCAUGUAUAAUAUCAGGUUUCUCAAUCUUCUCACUGAUCAACUCCCGCUUCUACAGCACCGGGAGCGGGACAGUUUGAUGCUCACUCCUGGUGAUGAGUCUGCCCAAGCACCAUUUCACUCAACUUCAUUUGCCCAUGGAUUUUGAAACUGCACCAGCUUGUGGCCAUCUACUUCUCUUACUUGCAAUAAUGAGCAUGCAUGCCCUUGCACAAUGCUCCUGGGAGAAACAUGCACAUCUGAGCCUGAAGAACUCCCAGCGCCGAGUAUAACUCCCUUUUGCUUGAAACCUCGAUAGCGACGGAGAGGGAACCCAACUCUAACAUUCUCAUCAACGUAACCUUGUAUACAAUGCCAAACCUGGAGCCGUCAUGAUUGCAGGAAGCAGAAUGAUGAUCGCUCUGAUCUAAGAUGGAGUUGCUAUGCUUUUUUCCACAAUGGGGAGCAACAUCUUUGAUAGGCGAGGAAGAGGGCAUGUGAUGUUGUUGAACUUGGGCAUGAGAAACGACAGCGUCCUCCUCAGUGUUGGCACGGUACCCAGACAGGAAGAACCACUUUGAAAUGGGUAUAAAAAAAAGGUAGUUUUGCCAAUUGUAAUCAUAUUAUGAGUGGUCAUUAAGGGGAUUACCCAUUCCACAUGAGAAUUUUCAUGAUUUCUUUCUCUCUGUGCUGUUCCGAACACUCAUCUUUACCCUUGAAAUCAGUGCACUUGGGUCAUCAAUUGAUUAACGCCCUGCUAACAAGACUUACAUCAAUCCCAAGAGUAUAACCGUUACUCACCACAUGAAAACAUCCAUCUCCGCACCUACACUUUGAAUUUCCGUACCCAGCAACUCCUUUGGAAAACUAACCUGAAGAUGUUGAACCAAUCCCUCAUCCUCCAACAUUGUGUUUGAUGGGAUACCAAAGGGGUGCCCUAACAAAUUCCGCUCUGAAGGCCCAGGAAACAAUGAUCACCGGUUCACCAUCUCAACAAAGAUACAACCCAUGGACCUCAUAUCAACAGGUGCAGAAUAGUGGCAUGAUCCAUGCAACGCAAUAAUUUGGCUCUAUUAAAGAAACUGUAUACUUGGACCAGCGUUCCCAACUCUGGCUGUUCAGGAUCACCAUCAUAGUCAAACACGUGUUCUUCAAUACCAAAUGCCUUCUCAAUAUCUCCAUUAUAAUAUCGCCACCUCCUAUCGACCCACUCUCACAAUAAAGAGGUGGGAAUGCGGACCCAUUUGAGAAGACCUUUAAACCUUGUCUUAUCUCCUCAUCAGUCAGAACAUAGAAAAAGCCAAAACUUGCUUUGUCUGCCCUUAGGGAUGAAACCACACCUAGAAUCACCGAGGGUACCCUUCAUAAAACGGAAAAAUAGACUUGAAUUAAUCAAACCCAUCAUGGAGGUUUGGGUCACACUCAAGACAAUGGACUCAGAGAUGCCGUCCUCAGAAACUUCAAUCUCAUGACCUCUGAAAAUCUCUUUCAAUUCAUCACUCUCACGCAUUUGCAAACUUGGGAAAUGAGGGGGUCCAAAGAGGUCAUACAUGCGUCAAAGAGGUCAUGCCUGCAAGUCAUAUGUUUAAAGGAGAGAAGAUGAGGAAAUUUGUGGUGAGCAAAGGUAGAAUAAGUGGAGGGGGUAAUGAGAGGAAAUGGGUUUAGUGGAAUUAGAAAAAAUAAGACAAAUGGCGAUAUAGGUAUGAUGAUAACAGGUGAUGUAUAGAGAAUGGUAGGGUUAUGAGUGUGCACGCAUGGGAACCGAAGUGCAUGGAGAAUAGCAUAACCAUGCAUGGACAUGCAUGGCCAUGCAAAGGUGGAAGGAAUGAACGUGAAGGGUACUUGAAAGAGAAUAGGUGGGUGGUGUGGUGUAGAGAGAGAAAUGGGUUUGAUAAGUGUGAAGGAAGAGAUGGCAUUGAGUAGGUAGGGAACGGAUGAUAGAUGAUGGGUAAGAGCAUGGAAACGCAUGAGGGGUGAGUAUGGUACCCCCCAACUACAUUUUCCAGCCGUUCUGCCUACUUGUUGGCUUGGGAAAUAAUCAACCAUAUACUCAUAAGGAUGCCUAAGCAUUAACCCUAGUUUCAGUGUCUUUCAUUACUCCCACAGUUGCGACCGGAGGAUGCUUCAGCGUGGUAAAGCCACGAAGUACUCUUGCCAUGAAUAAAUGUGUAGUGUCUUUCGAUACUCAACCACUCCUUUAACCUCGCCACCCUUGAAUAGAAGCCCUGCACUUUCAGACCCAUCAACAAGCGUCUCUUCUCUGCUUAUCGGAGAAAACAACCUCAGUUGUAGCAUAUCACUAACUAGUGCUAGUGAUAGCUUUGUAAACUGGUAGGAUAUCUGACACGGAGAACAGGUGGUAAGUCGCGCUGAUUGGAGAAGAGGGUCCUAGUUAUCUUUGAAAAUCUUCCCAAAUGAGAUCAACUGAUAACGUAGCCCAUAUAGUGCCCAUUGAUCCUGCUUGAGAACCUUGACCAAAGAUACUUGGGAAUAGACUCCAGCAUAGGGCACAAUUCCAGAUCGAGUGCGUCAAAUAAGAGUAACAAGAAUGAACAACAUCUAGGCCGAGAGAGAAUAAAAAAAAGUAAACAGGCAAUAUAAAAACCAAGGAAAAGCUAGAUCUGAUGCUCCCUCAAUGAGCCUGGAUUGGUGGGGAAAAAGGCAUAGCAAAUUCAAACAAGAAGAUGGAACAAAUAUCUUCAUAUAAAUCACCAUGAAACAGAGCUUCACUAGAUUCAAACAAAUAUUCAAAAGAACAGUGAAUGAAGCAAUCAAUGAGCAUAUAAACAAGCCAUAAAUCGACACAACUCAGGUAUAACUCCUAUUUAUUCAUAACCAAGCAUACAAACGAAACCCCAAACAACCAGAGGAGAAAGAGAAAACCAGUGGUAGUCAAAAUAAAGCAGAAGAUACGCGAUGACCUUACCUGAAUGCUCUCUCAAGCAAAAACAGUUGGAUCUCCCAAAACCUCCACCUCUCUCUAGUUUCCUGGUCCUCUCAGCAACUCUACGCUCAUCUGUUCUUAGCUUCUUUCAGGAAGAAUACCUCCCCGUGACUUGUUUUUCUUCAGCUCAAGAACCCUCACACCUCUUCCCUCCCUCUAGCAAAAAGCCCCCCAGAAAAAGAAAAGUCCCCCCUCAAAUGGAAUACCCUCUCUCCCUCUUUAACUUCCCCUCAAGUAAAAACAAUACCUUCUUCCCAGCAAGAGCAGUUUCCUCUUUUGAUAACCAAUACUCUCUUCUCUCCCAGAUUUGCCCCCCAAAAAUAUCUCCUAACCAACCUCAAAAGCAACUCUACUCUGCCAGAAUAUUCUCUCUCUCAUCCGCUCAUCCUCUACAGCAGCGAAAACACCGCCUCCCAAAUAACGGCCUACAACCUUUUUCCAAAAACUUCUUUACACAUGUCAACCUCUUGUUUGCUCUUUGAUUCCACUACCUGAUGUCAUAGCAACCAGACAGGAAUCGACACAUGGCCACUCACAGCUGCGACACCUGGCAAAAAGAGCUGCGAAAAAAAUGCAUGAAAGUGAGGCCCUAAAAUGGGGGUUUACAAAUAUGCCCCUCUUCGGUAGAGCUCACGAGUGUAAGGAAUAUGAACACUAGAAUGAAAAGAAAAGUGUGAAUAGUGAGUGGAACAAAGUGAACUCUACCAAAAAACAAAUGAGACCCUAAAAGGAUGCCAGUGAAACACGAACUCUCUCAAGCCAAUAGGUGAACAAAAGGCUCUAACCCUAAAAGAAAAUGAUGUCUUAAAAUGACUCUGAAAGCCACACCGAAGACUCAGGCUUCCUCUAAAACGUCUCCAAAAGUGACUCGAAAGACCAGAUCAAAGAUAAAUAACGGUUGAAACACUCUAAAGAAUGAAACAGACUAUGCCCCAAAGGAGACUACCUGAUCUGAACUAUAUGAAAAUGACAAAUGCAGGGUGCCUAACAACACGAUCAAAGUAUGUGUCAUGAACUCAAGAGACUGUGUCAUGUGUAGUGGAACAGGAAUCUGGACGAGCAAUGAUGAAUAAGCGAUAAGCACAAGGUGACUGGGUGAGGUAAGUAAGGGUGAAUGCCAAAAUCAUGACAAUCAGAUGCGCAAUGCCAAUGAAUACAAAUGUCGGGGACCGUGACCCUAGAUGAUAUGACCAAGGAGAAAUGAAUCUGAACGUCAACAGGGGAAAAGAGUGUGGUGACUCAAAAUGCAUGAAUGGGUAUGUUCGAUGGCUCUGAACGCCAAAACUAAAAAAAGAAGAUGAUAGUAGCAUUGAAUGCCGAACAGAAUAGUGGCUCUGAACGUCGAACGAAACCAAGUAGUAGCUCUGAAAGCCGAACGGAAGGCAAGUAAUGGCUCUGAACACCAAAUGAAGGCAAGUAGUGGCUCCGAACGCCGAACGAGGCAAAACAUGGCUCUGAAAGCCUGAAUGAAGAUAAUAAAUGGCUCUGAACGCUGAAACGAAGAUAAGUAGUGGCUCUGAAUGCCAAACAAAGAUAAGUGGGGUCUCUGAACGCCAAAACGAAGAUGUAAUGGCUCUGAACGCCAAAAUGAAAAUGUGACUCUAAAAGUCAAACUGAAGACCGAUGAUGUCUCUGAAUGCCGAAACUAGGACUGUGACUCUAAACGUCAAACUAGGAAGUGAUGAUGAUGACUCUGAACGUCAAACUGAAAACACGAUGAUGGCUCUGAAUGCCAAAACUGAAAAUGCGACUCUGAACGUCAAUUUGGAAAGUGAUGAUGAUGACUCUGAACGUCAAACCGAAAACACGGUGAUGGCUCUGAAUGCCAAAACUAAAAAGUGAUGGUGGCUCUGAACGUCGAAACCAAGAAUGCGACUUUGAACAUCAACCUGGGAAGUGAGGACGACUCUGAACACCAAAACUGAGAAUGCGACUUUGAACGUCAAUCUAGGAAAUGGUGAUGGCUCUGAACGCCAAACUGAAAACACAGUGAUGGCUCUGAACGCCGAAACUAAAAAGUGAUGAUGGCUCUGAACGCCAAAACCGAGAAUUGCGACUCUGAACGUCAAACUGAAAAAUGCAACUCUGAACGUCAAACUGAAAACCGAUGAUAACCCUGAAUGCCGAAAUUGAAAAGCGACAAUGAUGACUCUAAACGCCAAAACUAAGAAGCGACAAUGAUGGCUCUGAACGCCGAAACUAAGAAGCGACAAUGAUGGCUCUGAACGCCGAAAUUGAGAAGCGGUGAUGGCUCUGAACAUUGAAGCUGAGAAGCGGUAAUGAUGACUCUGAACGUCAAACUGAAAACACGAUGAUGGCUCUGAACGCCGAAACUAACAAGUGAUGGUGGCUCUGAACGCCGAGAACUGAGAAUGCGACUCUGAACGUCAAACUGAGAAAUGUGACUCUGAACGUCAAACUGAGAAAUGUGACUCUGAACGUCAAACUGAAAACCCAUGAUGGCUCUGAAUGCUGAAGCUGAGAAGCGAUGAUGAUGACUCUGAACAUCAAACUGAAAACACGAUGAUGGCUCUAAACGCUGAAACUGAAAAGUGAUGGUGACUCUGAACGUCAAACUAAAGAAACGGCUCUGAACGCCAAACGGAAAGCAACAAUGAUGGCUCUGAACGCCGAAAUUGAAAAGCGACAACGAUGGCUCUGAACGUCGAAAUUGGGAAGUAAUGAUGGCUCUGAACGCCGAAACUGAGAAACGGUGAUGACUCUGAACGCUAAAACUGGAAAAGUGGCUCUGAACACCGAACUGAACGUGUGACAUGAUGACUUUGAAUGUCGUAAACCGUGAAUGAAUGGUGGCUCUGAAUGCCAAACUGCAAGGAAAUGAUGAGAGGGAAAUAUGCCCUAGUGUGGCGUGCUGCUGCAAAUCUUAAUCCACUAGAAGGGUCUGAAAGAGACUCCAUGGGUCUUGAAAGAUGCUCUACUAGCGAGUCAGGAUAAACUAAUCGACUGUGAACACAGUCUCACAACACUCCCAACUAAAUCAUGACGUCUCAAUCUCAAAGUAACAAUCCACUGAAGAGUCAUGGCUAUUAGGGCGAUCAAAACCCGAAUGUCGUGCUCCACUGAAAGCUCAUCUCGACGAACAUCAUAGGAAUAGUGGUGAAUAAGGCGAAUAUAAUAUCUCUCGGCCGAGUGAUGAAAACUGUAACGGAUCUGUGAGAGAACGAUCGCCUCCACAGCUAAAGGAGGGAGAUAUGCCCUAGUGUAACAUCAAAUAUAUCCGAUUCGUCCUGAUAACCCAAGAGGAACUCCAUGGGGAUGCGUAAAAGAUCUGAUAUGUACCCCACCAAAAUGAUGACAUGGGAAUCCAGGCACCCGAGAUAACUCAGUCCAAGAAUCACGACUAUACCAAAAACCGUGAAUUUGGUUGAAGGACUCAAGAGAGGCUCCUCGAGGCACCAGGACACAAUGACUUCAAAUCAUCAACCUGACGUGUAUCUUAUGAUCGGGAAUGAUCAUGCAAACCAGUGGGGGAUCUACAAAUCUUGACUGAGAUGGAGAAUAUGCCCUAGUGUGGCAUCGAAAAUGCGACAGGUCGGAAAAUCAGAUGAGCCGAAAUCAUCCAUGUCUAUAACCGAAUUAGGCCCACAAAGCAAUGAGGCGUCUCUCGGAAAGAAGUAUGACGACAUCUAAGUGUCGAAAAGUGCGGGUCUAAUUGGAUGGCUCCCGAAAGGCUCCACUAAGGAAUCACCGUGAAGAUAGUGAAUAGAUCGUUGUCUCGGUGCACAUCUUGCAAAUGGGGAUAAGCGUCCAACUCCAUCAUGAUCUGUAAAUCUCAUCAAUAACGGAAAUAUGCCCCAAGUAUAGCAUCAAAUGUAUGAUAGGUCGGAGAUCGGGUAACCUGGAAUCAUCUAUCAUCGAACAUGUGAUCUCUGUGAUCCAAAUCAAAUCCACACAUCCAAGAGAUGUAUCUCGGAAUAUGAAACAUGACAGCAACCCGAUGCCAAGGCAUGAGGAUCUGGCUAAAUGGAUCUAAAGAGGCCCUACUGAGGUAUGAUGAAAAAGCAAUGAACAUGUCAACGUCUCAGUGUGUAUCCAGUAAGUGAUGAUGAACGUACAAAUCCAUGAGGAUCCGUGAAUCUCGCCUGAAACGAAAUAUGCCCCAGUUUGGCAUCGGAUGUACGGUAGAUCGAAAAUCGGGUGACAUGGAAUCAUCUCUCAUCAAACGUGUGAUCUCGGUAAUUCAAACACAAUUGAAUCAGACCUACACAUCAAAGAGGCGACCCCCAAAAGAAGAAGCAUGAUGAUAUCUAAACAUCAACCAAAUCUCAAACACUUGUCUAAGUAGAGGUUGUCGAAGACAACAUCUGAUCCCAUGGCCUUAGGGUGGUCUCAAGACACGAGACGUAACGUAGGCUAGGGUGAUAGGAUGAUAGAAACGAAGGGAAACUAAGCUCAAAUACCCGAUGAUCAAAACCCAUGCCCUCAUGUAUGAAAUGCAACAAGUAUAGUAAAUCCCAUGAGCCAUGGACUUGAGGGUGCCUAAUGUGAACAUGGUAGCGAUGAUGAUGCAAUGGAGAAAAAAACAAACUGAUGACGAGAUGUAUAAUGAUGAUGCGAAGAGAGUACCAAACCCGAAAAUGGGUCACUGUAAGAAAAAGAUAAAAUGUGGAAUGAAAAUGAUGAAUCCGAAGUGAAAACAAGGAUGAUGAUGAAGCACAGAACACGAGAAUAAGUGAUGAUCCACUCAAAUCAAAUAUGCAGGGAAGUCAUGUGAAUAACGAAUGCAAUGAUGGAAUGGACGAUGACCCAAAGCUCCUAAGAGAAUGUCACUCAUCUCACUCUCAAAACAUAUGACAAAUGAAUACAAAGAAUGAAACGUCCCUGGGAGCUCACAUACGAACUCCUAUCAAUAGACAUACCCAACAAAGUGACCCUCGAACACCGAUAUACACACUCAAUGAUAAAGAAUAUCAUACAUCCCUGCACUUACUUUUUUUUUUUUUUACAUAUAUAUACAUGCUCUGAAUGCAAACCAAGAAACCCCAAAGAUGAGGUCAAAAUGGAUAAACAUACUCUCAAAUGUCAAUGUAACAUGAACUCUCUCUGAUGAUGUGACCUUCUCAAACUAAGGAUCCUUGGACCAACGUUUGUAAGAUAGAUAGUGGAAAUGACAUGACUACCCUCCAUGUAGUGAAUUGAGGAGGAUCACCACUUGGGGUGGAAGAAAAUGAUGCAAAUGAGUAGUAGAUAGGAUAAACAAGAUGAGACGAAUAACACAACCAACGAGGUGAGAUGAAAAUGCAGUGAUGCAAUCAUGUAGAGAAGAUAAUGAGGAGAAUGCGUCCCUAGGUCCAAGGCUCAUAAAACUCCUAAACAAUGCAUGCAUACACUAAAGCGCCCCUAUCCUGGUGUGAAAGUGUGAGCAAGGCAACAAGAAAAAGAGGCUAUAAUGCACGUGCAAGGCUUAAUGGGCUAGCAAUGGUCUAUAUAUCAUAAAGGAAAUAAGAGGAUAUAGCUAACCAAAAUGAUGGCCACCCAUUAUGCGACCCUGGGUUCAAACAUAGUACCUCUUUAGCUGAUCCACAUUGGUCGGCUCUGAGAACUGGUUUCCAUCUAAAUCCAUCAACCAUGCAGCGCCCUCUAGAGUCAACUCCCUGAUGAAAUAAGGUCCGCUCCAACUGGGUCUGAACUUUCCUCUAGGAUCUUUGAUCAAUCCUCUGAUGACUCUCAAGACUAAGUCACCUACACGUAGUGGUUUAGGCUUGAUCCGCUUUUUGAAAGCGCUGGCCAUCUUCCUCUGAUAUGCACAAACAUGGUCUGUUGCCCUCAAUCUCCUCUCAUCUAGGAGAUUGAGCUGAUCAAAUCGAGUCUAAGCCCAAUCCGCUUCUAGAAUCUAUUGCUUUAGUGCUACUCUCAAUGAACUCAUUUCAAUCUCAACGGGUAGCACUGCCUCUAUGCCAUAUACCAAUGAAUAGGGUGUGGCUCCUGUAGAGGUGUGAAAAGAAGUCUGAUAUGCCCACAAUGCGAAAGGGAGCUUCUUGGACCAAUCACGAGAAGUCUCAACCAUCCUCUGCAAUAUCCUCUUAAUAUUCUUAUUCGCAGCCUCUAUUGCCCCAUUCAUCUGCGGCCUGUAUGCAGACGACCUAUGAUGCCGAAUGUCGUAUCUCUGUACUAAGGUGUCAACCUCUGCUCUGAAAUGUACCCCUCUAUCCGAAAUCAACUCAUGGGGGAGUCCAUAGCGACAGAUAAUGUGUGAUCUGAUGAAACUAGCAACUCCAGUUGAUGUCAAUCUCGCAUAUGAGGCGGCCUCCACCCACUUGGUGAAGUAAUCGAGGGUGACCAGGAUGAACUCAUGACCACUGGAAGAUUUCGGUGAAAUCUUCCCGAUGAUGUCAAUACCCCAUACAGAAAAUGGCCAUGGUGAAGUCAAUGCAUGCAACUCAAAGGGCGGCACGUGAAUGAGAUCUCCAUGUAUUUGACACUCAAAACAUCUCUGAACGAACUGGCAGCAAUCCGUCUCCAUAGUCAACUAGAAAUAGCGAGUCCUCAUGAUCUUACGGGCCAACAUAUGCCCUCCCAUAUGUGGUUCGCAGACUCCCGCAUGAAUCUCUCGCAUCACUCUAUCGGUAGAAGCGCGGUCCAAACAUAAUAGCAGCAUCCCAUCAGGUGAUCAUCUGUAUAGUGUCUCACCACAAAUCACGAAUCGGGCGGCCAAUUGUCUCAAUGCUCCCCAUCCUUAGCCGUGGCGGCCUCAGGAUAUAUGUCGAGUCUCAAAAAGUAAUAUAUGUCAUGGUACCAGGGCAGACCAUCGUCUAUCUCUAUAUCAUCAAUCAAACAACAGUACGCAGGAGCAAAUCUCGACUCGAUCAACAAUGGGCGAACAGUGACAUCAACAAGUAUGGCAAUCAUGGAAGCCAGAGUAGCUAAGGCAUCAGCAAACUGGUUUUGCGCUCUAGGCAAAUGGGUAUAUCUCAAAUCAUUGAAUAUCCCAACCAGUAGCUCCAAAUACGCGUGGUAAGGCCUAAGCUUUACAUCUCUAAUCUUCCACUCGCCCUGAAUCUGUCUCAAUACCAGAUUAGAGUCACCAAACACCUCCAUAUGUCUAAUCCCGAGCUCGAGAGCAGUCUCUAAUCCCAAGAUACAGCCCUCAUACUCGACAAUGUUGUUCGUGGCCAGAUAUUGAUCAGAGAAUGCCAAACGAACAGAUAUGGGAAUGUGAUCACCAUGAGAGGAUAUCAACAAGACGCCUAUCCCGUAUCCAUAAUGGUUGGCCGCACCAUCAAAGUACAUGUGCUAACCUGAUAAACUGGUCAUAGCUACGACAUCCUCAUCUGGGAAGUCAUCAUCAAUGGCUCUACCAUCGAAAACUGGUAAAGAAGCUAGGUGAUCCGCAACAAUGCUCCCUCUGAUGGACUUCUGAGUGACAUAAUGGAUGUCAAACUCAGUUAGAAGUACCAACCAUCUCAUGAGGCGACCGACCAAGGCGGGCCUGUCAAAAAAAUAUCUCAAAGGAUCUAGACGGGAUAUCAAAUGCACUGAAUACUUGGUCAUGUAAUGUCUCAGUCGGCGGGUGGCCCAAACUAAUGUCAAACAGUAACGCUCAAUCAUAACAUACCUCGUCUUGUAGUCUAGCACCCUUUUACUCAGAUAAUAAAUGGCUCAAUCCUUGCCCGAAUCAUCGAGCUGAGCCAGCAUGCAUCCCAAAGUCACGUCUAAGACGGAUAGGUAUAGGAGUAGAGGACGGCCUGGUGUAGGAGGCGCCAAGACUGGAGGUGACAACAAGUACUCUCGGAUCCUCUCAAAUGCGCUCUGACACUGAUAGUCCCAAACAGUAGGUUGACUCUUCCUCAAGAGUCGAAAAAUGGGCUCACAGAUGUUUAUCAAUCUGGCGAUGAAUCUGCUGAUGUACUGAAGUCUACCUAAGAAGCCUUUGACCUCUCUCUCUGUCCUCGAUGCAGGCAUGUCAAGGAUGGCUCUGAUCUUAUUCAGAUCUACCUCUAUGCCUCUCUCACUGACCAUAUACCCCAAGAGUUUCCCAAAAGUCACCCCGAAAGUGCACUUCUUGGGAUUCAAUCUCAAUUUGAAUUGUCGGAUCCUCUCAAAGAACUUCUCCAGAGCUGAUAGGUGAUCUGAUCUACCUUGGGAUUUCACUAUCAUGUCGUCUACAUAAACCUCAACAUCCCGAUGCAUCAUGUCAUGGAAGAGGGUGGUCACUGCUCUCUGAUAGGUGGUUCCUACGUUUUUCAAUCCGAAUGGCAUGACUCUAUAGCAAUAAGUACCUCACUCGGUAAUGAAGGACAUCUUCUCCAUGUCCUUUGGAGCCAUUAAGAUCUGACUGUACCCGAAAAAUUAGUCCAUAAAGGACUACAUCGCAUGACCUGCCAUACUGUCAACUAGCAUGUCGAUGUGUGGAAGAGGAAAAUCAUCCUUAGGACUGGUCUUGUUGAGAUCUUGAAAAUCAACACAAACUCUCACCUUGCCGUCCUUUUUGGGAACAGGGACGACAUUGGCCAACCACUCCGGGUACUUGACCACUGACAAAAAUCCUACACUGAGCUACUUCUGAAUCUCCUCCUUGACCUACAAACUCCAACGAGGAUGCAAUCGUCUCAACUUCUACUUAACUGGUCUGGCAUGGGGCAAAAGUGGCAAACGAUGUUGGACGAUAGAUGGAUCAAGACCUGGCAUGUCCUCAUAGGACUAUGCGAAAACAUCCAAGUAUGCUCUGAGCAACUGGAUGAGGCUGUCUCUCUCAUCAAUAGAUAGAUCUGAUCUGAUCCUCAACUCCCUAGGUUGAUCUGCUGUGCUGAAAUCAACAAUCUUCGUGUCCCCUACAACGGGUGAAACUCUUUGAUCCAUGGGGUCCGAGUCGGAAAUAGAAGAUGAGUCAUCAUCUGAGUCAUGUUAUGCAAUGUCAUCAUCAAUAUCAAAGAUAUGUGAUGUGGGUGAAGAUGGUGCAGAUAAAUCAAUAUCAUAAGAAACAGGCAAAUACUAAAAAAUGCUCAAAUCAAUAGAUGAAACGUCAGAAACAUAGUCAUGACGGGAGACAAAUCCCGAUAAAACAUCAAAUGAAAGAGGUGAGUCCACAAAGUCGGACACUCCCUCAACAAGGCUAACAGGGCCAUCAAUUAAAUCAACAACAACUAUAGCAUCCUCAGCAAUCUCCAAAGUAGGGGUAGUCUGGAUCUCCUCAACAAUCUCGAUGAAAGACACCCCGAAAAAAUCGAAUGGGGAAGUGAGCUCGAGCUGAACUCUCUCUUCGAUCUAGCUCAUGCUCAUCGCGAGCAUCUCAUCAAUAUACUCGUCAUGUGGCACAGCUCUGUCCACUAUGUCGCCGAUCUCGGCAAAUGUCCUGUGCUCGUUGAUCUCAUCGGGGAAGCAAAGCGCCAUAAGGAUCGUGCGAUCUGGAGAGGAAUGAGCGAUCAACGCAGAAUUCGAAGGGCCAGGGGCUCCGUCUCUCAAUUGUAACUGCUGGACAAGGCGCUGAAGCUCAGCCUCCUGAGUGGUGCUUAGUCCCCCGAUGAUCCCAUCAGAUGGUGCAUGCGACUCUGAUGCCCUCACAAAGUAAUCUGCUAGGCUUCUAGUGUAUAGGUGCACAGGAUAAUAGAAAGACGUAUGAGUCAGUCGAGCCCUUACCCUCUCCUUGCGCAAUCGAGCCAUAUAGAGAUAAUCGACCUCAGUGGGGAUAAACCCGAGUCCGAAUGGUACGUCGUGAUCAGGGAUGGCUAUGAACUCACUAGGCCCGUGCUGAUGAUGCCCUAACCCCAUGCGGGGAAGAUAAAACAUGCUCCGCAUAAUAUCGAGCACCACCGUGUUGUUGUGCUGGUCGAAGGACAUGGCUACGAAAUCCCUGCAGAAAUCCUCUAUCUCGACGGUCUGCACCUCAUCAAAGGUGAACCCGAUAAAAAAAAAUCGUCAUCAAUGUGACUAAUCUCAAGUACAGGCUCGACAGAAAUGAACAUAUUCCCCACAAACUGCACUACAACGACCUAGCCAUCGUGCAUAAACUUCACCUUCUGAUGAAAAGAAGAAGGAAUGACCCCGGCUCUAUGGAUCCAUGGUCGGCCCAAAAGCAAGUUAAAGGAUGUAGGAAUCCUCAAAACCUGAAACACGGCGACAAAAGUGGUCGAACCAAUCAAUAGCUCGAUCUCCAGUGUCCCCAUGACCUCUCUUCGAGUACUGUCAUAUACGCAAACAAUCUAAGUAGAGGGACCGAAGUCAAAAGGAGCGUAUCCGAGGGCGAUGGCAGUGGCAAGAGGACAUACAUUCAGGGCCGAGCCAUUGUCCAGAAGGACAGAUGGGACUCGGCGACCUGAAUAGCCAACAAAUAUGUAUAGAGGGCGUGUGUGGUCCAAGCCCUCCGAUGGCAAAUCAUCGUCCGAAAAUACGAUGCAUGUGGCUUGGCCAACCGUCAUCAUGUGAAUCAAACCCUCAGGAGUGGUGGUGGUCUCAACUCUGAUCUGACUCAGGGCUCGAAUCAAUGCAUAUCGGUGAGUGCUCGAAGAUGCCAACAAACUCCAUAUGGAAAUAUGAGCCUGAGUGCUCUGUAGCUGCCUCAAAAUCUCGUCAUCCUCCGCUCUAACCUCUUCGGGAGCAGAUGUAUCCUCGACUGACCUAGCUGCCACGGGAGGUGGCUAUCGCAUCACUUUACCUCAUCGGAGAAUAUAUUAGACAUCCGGAGUCUGAGAAAUAUCAAUGUGUAGAGCCCGAACCUCCUCAACAUCUGGGAUCAGAAUGAACAGCGUCUGAACGUUAUAUAACAUAUGAAAGUCAGAGGUUCGGAAGUGGUCGCUUGUACAGAUGCUGCCUCAGGAACUAAUCAGAAUGGAGCGAGCAUCUGUGGCCCUAGAGUCACCCCACUCAUCUCAUAAAUCUCAUCUUGCAUGAUAGGCUCUAGGUCUGAAUCGUCCCAACUCAACAUAUGGACAUGGUUGUCUGUCUCAUCAAAGUCCAAGAAAUGAAUACCAUCGGCUGGUGGAGGGACUGCAUGUGUGGUGUGGGUCGGUAGUGGGUUUAUGGUCACACUCAGCUAACCUAAGUGUACCAAACCCUGGUCUAUCAGAUCUUAAAUGGCAUGCCUCAGAGUGGUGCAUCAAUCGAUCUCAUGUCCAGGUCCCUAAUGAUAAGCACAGUGCAAAUCCAUCCUGAAUUGAGGUGGAAUCGGCUGAGGUGGUGGCCGAGGGGUGAGAGCUGUCAAUAACCCAGCCUUUGUAAGCUUCCGAAGAGCCUGACUCAACAGCAUGCCUAUCUGCGAGAACUGCCACUACAUUCUCAAAGCAAAUAGAGUGGAAGUCUGUUGGGCUCUAGGUUGGGGAUAAGGCUUCACAAGUCUCACGGUGAACUGAGCAACGUAGCAUGGCUACCCCGUGGCUAUGUAGGAGACCGGUCUCUCAAUGCCCUGAGUGGCAUAAGAAGGUAAAACCAAGGUUUGUGGCAUGUAUGUCAGAUUAUAAGCCGAACGAAGUGUCUGUGGCCUAUACUGAUGAGGUGUAUAGGAAGAAUGAGGCUCGGAAAGCUGUGGGAUCGGCUAAUGGCACCUGGGAGGCCUCUGACUGGAAGAACAGAUGGCGUUCACAUCCACUGAUCUCUGUCCUCCAAAAAGCUUAUUCCCCUUAACAUCACUAGGGGAAGAAUCUGUCUACAAUCCUCUCGAGAUGCCAUCCUCGACAUCGUAUAAAAUCAAAACCAAUGAACCAAAAUCUGCGAAUGGUACCCCGACCACGUGCCUAGCGAUCCUGGGCUGUAAACUCCUCAAGACCAUCUGUAUCUGAUCUCUCUCUGAAGGUCUAUCAAUGAUCUCGGCAAUCUUCCCGCGCCAACGGGAAAUGAAAGAAGAAAUUGCCUCAUCUGUCAUCUGCCUCAGAGCCUCGAGUUCUCUCCUCGAUACAUCCAUGACAGUGUUAAAGGAAAACUGUCCUAAGAACUCCUGGGCUAAGUCGUCCCACGUCUGGCGUCAUAAGACUCCAAAGAAGCGAACCAUCGCUGGGCUGCCCCACUUAGAGAUAGUAGGAAUAGAGUGAUCUUCUGAGACUCGUCCAAACCAUGAGCUCUCAUCACUGUGCUAUAGAGUCUGAGGUGGAUGCGCGGACAACCAAUGCCCGUAUAUCUCUCGAUGUCUGGCAUCCUAAACUUAGCUAGCAAACUAGCUACCGAAAUACUCUCAAAAUCAUCCCAAACAACUGAUCCAUCUGAUACUCUCAUCUGCCUCAUACGCUGCUCAAGGUGGUCCAUACGUGCAUGAGCAUCAUCAACGACAGUGGUCUGGACAACAGCGGAUGGAGCGAUCUUAGAAUAUCCGUGUAAUAUAUAGGGUGAGGCCUAGGGCACUGAAGGAAUGGGUAAUGGUGGUAGAUGUGGAUGCGAGUCAUAUGGCGUCUCAUCCUGAACUGCUGGUGGUCUACUCUGCUGACCACCGAUCUCUUGCCGAGGCUAGCCAAAGCCUCCCGGAUAGAAGCCACGGCGGCCGUGAACUGAUCCACUAUAACAACCUGUUGAUCCAUACUCGGUCUCUCUGAAUACCGGACUAAUAUUCCCUCAACUCUGACCUAAGAAGGCAUAUCUAGACAGUGAACGAAGAUCCGAUCCUAAGAAGAUGAGAAACAGGAUGAGGAUACGAUACAAGGAAAGUACGAAAGGAAUGAUAAUCUGAACUGAAACGAGCAAGGUAUCCAAGACGAAGACGGGCUGUCCAACCGUACUAAACUCCCACUGAUCUCUGUGCACUCUCAACUGGAGACUAAAAAGAGGGAGUGUCGAAUCUGAAAUGUGACCAUAGAGGCUCUGAAGGCCCUCAGAUGCACCCACGUGUAAUGAGGGAGUCCUAAUCGAAGGAUCUACAGCUUAACCUACAAAGUGAAGGUGGCUUUAAAUGGAUAUGGGUGGACUUUAAAAGAUCCCUAGCAGAAGCGAUCAUACUCUCUAGCAGUAUGCAACCUUCUACACACCUCCGAAGAGACGGGGCGCUUCCAUGCAAAGUGGUCAUCACCUCCACACAUGCACUACCUCGACAUCCCAGGGGGGUUUCCUAUAGUGAAACCUCUCAAACUCUCAACGCUCAAUGGUCAACUAGAGUGCAUAAUGAAUGGUGUGGGUGCAUCCGAUAACCCUAAGAGGCUAAAAAGGGAAAGGAAACACACUGGCCACACAAAUAUUCAUGAAACCUAGCUCUAGGCUAUACAGGUCUUCAAUGAUCGGACUCCAAUCGACAUCAAAGUGUCGCUCUCCUCUAGAAUGCUCCCGUGCAUCGAUAUAGCCCGUCACUAGACCCUACUCCUAAUCUCUGGCUCAGUCAGAGAGUAAGCACACAGAAGGUCUCACACUUGCUAUAGUGAGAACCGAGAUGAAAGAAAUGACCGAAACCAAGAGAGUUGGAAAUAGGGGGAUAGAUGUGCGACCCACAUAGACAAGCAACAUGCAAUCAUGCAGAGGGAGGGCAAUCAUGCAACAUACAGUCAAGCAGAGUACAUGAUAUAUCACUCAUGUCCACACAAAAGCUAUGACGAUCAAGACAAAUAGCGAUACAAAGAUCAUGCUCAAAAGACGAUCAAGAUAAUAUGCAAGCCAGAGAAAACAACACAACAAGUCAAAUGAUGUACAAUAGUGAGUCUAUGCAUGUGAAGUGAGUAGAAUAAUCAAGAAGAAACAGAAUCGCUAUACCAAGCAAAACAAGAUGAGCAAUCUAUGAUAAUCGACAUGUCAAUGUACCAAACUAAUCUAGCAAUGUAGUACAUAAAAAAAAGCGACAUCCGAAGCCCCAAUCAAGAUAAUCAAUCAUAUCAAUGUCACAACACAAUAUCCAAGCAUGCAUCAAAAACUCCCAACAUGCAAUCAAGAGACAAGUACUCACUGAUCGACUCAUCAAAUGCCAUGUUUGCUUCAUCUUAUGUUCAAGUUUGACCCUCUAGAUCAUCCCCAGCGGAGUCGCCAUUUUGUGGACCCCGUAUUUUCGUCUCAUGCGUUUCCCCCUCAAUGGCGAGCUCGAUUUUAUUUCAAAAUGAUUUUAUUUAUUAGAAAAUGACUUAGAGUCGCCACUUAUUUUUGUUUUAUUUUAAAAAUGUAAACAAAAUAAGAAAGAAAACCCUAAGUGCGACUCCUUAUUUUGGAAAAGGUGAUCUACGAAAAACCAGAUCGGGUUCGGGGGUCAGGUUACUUAUCGGGAAAGUACGGUAAAAACCGUAGCACCCCUCUAAGUCCCUAAAUUCGGGUCUCUACUAAUAAAAUGAAGUUGACAUGGCAAUCAAUAAGAAAAUCAAUGAAUACUUAAAGCGAAUCAUGCACACAUGAGAGUCAGAAAAUGCAUAUAGACUAACCAAAGUGAGAAUGAGUGCAUACCUGGGCAACGAACCAUCAUGCGCUAUCAAGAGAGAGGGGGUUAGUGCACAAUUAAAGGAUAAUCUCAUGCAUGUCAUAGAGCAGAAUAAAUUAAUCAUGUAUGAUAAUCAAAUCAAUCAAUCAAUCAUCAAAAACAUAUAUAUGGGGCCCCCACCAAAGCCCGUUUAUUUUUGCAUGAAUUAAUUUCAUAAAUUCCAUUAUUCAGAAUUACAGAAUUUAAUUCACAAUUCUUUUCGAAACGUUUUUCUUAAAUAAAAAAACAAAGAAAAUGCAAAAGUGGCUUGCCGGAAGGAAAAUGGCAACCAAAUUUAAUUGAAAAAGGGGUUUUGAUAUCUAAAGACCCUAAAGAUGGAAAAUUUGAUGAUUUGAGGAUUAAAAUAGCAUCCUUACUCUUCAAUUCAUUCUCUGGUAACUAGUAGCCACCUGUGGGUAUCUCCAUGUUAACUUCUUUAAGUAAUCAUCACCAAUAAUCUCUUACAGUUCCUGACUUGCUCCUCAAAUAAAUUAGCUCUGAGCUCUCUACCAAAGUCCGAACUUCCAUUUGUUCUGCAAUCUACUUGAGCUAAUUCUUUAUGAUUCCACAAGUCAAUGCUAGAGUUGCUUCCGUCUGAGAAAACUUUCAGCAUAUCAACUGACAAUACACAGGAUCUCUUAAGCUGGUUCAGGGCUUUCAAUAUAUCUUUCAUGUGGGAAAUCAGAUCAUUGAGUUCCUCAGGAUCAUGGAUGAAGCAACUCGGAGCAAGCAUGGAAAAAGUCUUGUCUUCCAUGUCCUUUGCAAAUUUGAACGUGGAUAUGCAGUGCUUAAGCAAGCAUACUCGGGCUACUUCUCUUAUUCCUGUGUCUGAGAGGACGGUAAGCAUAUGUAUAAGCCAGGUAGUUGACAAAAAAAACAUGAUGUAAAUAACUCUGGGUUUCUGCUCUUGAGACCCUCUACCAAUGCUUCAAACGACAAACCAGAGUCAUGGCUGACUAGAAUAAAUGCCAUUUUUCUCUCCUAUUCAUUAGUCGCCUGCUCUUUUUCCAAAUUUUCUUCAGACUCCCAAGAACUAUUGCUGAGUUGGUCCACUUACAUUAGAGUUAUAUAACUUUUGUCAAGUCUAGCAUGUUUAAGGAGAGAAACUCGGGUGAUGGUUUUUCUAGAAAAUGAGAACCUCCCUUGCAACAACACAAUCUCUUUUCUCUUCAUCGCAUUCAAAUCUAUGGUUUGCUGACAAAUGGUAUAUAUCACCUUCAGCAGAUUCAAAUAUGCACCGUGAAUCACCAAUGGAAACAACAAUUACCACCCAUCCUUCUAUUGUAACAAAGGUAACAGUCGUUCUUGAAGUUCGUGCUUCCUCUUGGAAAUCCAUGUUUGUCUUAACAAACCCUGCAAUCAAAGUCCUAGGUAAGACAACUACCCACUCAUCUUUGCUAAGUUAUGGAGGAAUAGCGGCUAAAACAUUGUUUAGAAGGUUAUCUUUUGAGUACAUAGCAACUGCAAAUCCAUUAUGUCUAUCGAACAACCCAAAAAUUGAAUAUGUAGAAACCCCAUCUCCAAUCACCCUUUGGCACUCGGUCUUGAGUAAAAUGAAGCCCUCCUUUUUCUUGCUUUGGCUGACCCUGUCCAUGUAUAAUAUCAGGUCUUCUCACUGAUCAACUCCCGAUUCUACAGCACCGAGAGCGGGACAGUUUGAUGCCCACUCCUGGUGAUGAGUGUGCCUAAAGACCAUUUCACUCAACUUCAUUUGCCCAUGGAUUUUGAACCUGCACCAGCUUGUGGCCAUCUACUUCUCUUACUUGCAAUAAUGAGCAUGCAUGCCCUUGCACAAUGCUCCAGGAGAAACAUGCACAUCUAAGCCUGAAGAACUCCCAGCGUCGAGUAGAACUCCUUUUUACUUGAAACCUUGACAACGACGGAGAGGGAACCCAACUCUAACAUUCUCAUCAGCGUAACCUUGUAUACAAUGCCAAACCCGGAACCUACACUUUGAAUUUCCGUACCCAGCAACUCCUUUGGAAAACUAACCUGAAGAUGUUGAACCAAUCCCCCAUCCUCCAACAUUGUGUUUAAUGGGAUACCAAAGGGGUGCCCCAACGAAUUCCGCUCUGAAGGCCCAGGAAACAAUGAUCACAGGUUCACCAUCUCAGCAAAUAUACAACCCAUGGACCUCAUAUCAACAGGUGCAGAAUAGUGGCAUGAUCCAUGCAACGUAAUAAUUUGGCUCUAUUAAAGAUACUGUAUACUUGGACCAGCGUUCCCAACUCUGGCUGUUUAGGAUCACCAUCAUAGUCAAACACGUGUUAUUCAAUACCAAAUGCUUUCUCAAUAUCUCCAUUAUAAUAUUGCCACCUCCUAUCGACCCACUCUCACAAUAAAGAGGUGGGAAUGCGGACCCAUUUGAGAAGACCUUUAAACCUUGUCUUAUCUCCUCAUCAGUCAGAACAUCGAAAGAGCCAAAACUUGCAUUGUUUGCCCUUAGGGCUGAAACCACACCUAGAAUAACCGAGGAUACCAUUCAUAAAGAGGAAAAAUAGACUUGAAUUAGUCAAACCCAUCAAGCAUGGAGGUUUGGGUCGUACUCAAGACAGUGGACUCAGAGAUGCUGCCCUCAGAAACUUCAAUCUCAUGACCUCUGAAAAUCUCUUUCAGUUCAUCACUCUCACGCACUUGCAAACUUGGGAAAUGAGGGGGUCCAAAGAGGUCAUACAUGUGUCAAAGAGGUCAUGCUUGCAAGUCAUAUGUAUAAGGGAGAGAAAAUGAGGAAAUUUGUGGUGAGCAAAUGCGGAAUAAGUGAAGGGGGUAAUGAGAGGAAAUGGGUUUAGUGGAAUUAGAAAAAAUAAGACAAAUGGUGAUAUAAGUAUGAUGAUAACAGGUGAUGUAUAGAGAAGGGUAGGGUUAUGAGUGUGCACGCAUGGGAACCGAAGUGCAUGCAGAAUAGCAUAACCAUGCAUGGACAUGCAUGGCCAUGCAAAGGUGGAAGGAAUGAACGUGAAGGGUACUUGAAAGAGAAUAGGUGGGUGGUGUGGUGUAGAGAUAGAAAUGGGUUUGAUAAGUGUGAAGGAAGAGAUGGAGUUGAGUGGGUAGGGAACGGAUGAUAGAUGAUGGGUAUGAGCAUGGAAACACAUGAGGGGUGGGUAUGGAAAAAUGGGUGUGAAAGAUAUAGAGGGAGAAAUGUGGAGAUGGGUAUGGGGCAUGACGAUUAGAAAGAUAAUGGAGGUGAGGGCAGCCAUGCAUUUUGGACCUCAGAAACGAUACGCUAUGAGCUGUUGUUUCUCUCAAUGGAGUGGCAAGUCGGCUAUCCCUUUUGAACAUAGAAAUGGUGCAACUCGAAAUUAUGCUUGCUUGAAUCAGCAAGAGUGACAUCAAACAUGGUACCUAACAUCGUGUCCAGAGAGUGCGAAGCAUUUCUCAAACAACUUCAAUGCAAGACAGAAGGCCAUCAGCACCUUGCGGACUCCCAAGUUCCCCAGUCGGGGUCAUCUGGAGGCUCGUAUCUUUCUGGGUAUGUCCUGAACGCUCCAAACUCAACUUUCCCAACAGAAACAAUCCUUAUUGGAUCAAUAACAACUGCAAGAAAGGGGUUCCUGCAAUUAUUGACUGAGCAUUUGUGUUGAAACAUCAAUACCUGAAAACCAGCUUCCAUAACCGGGGUGAGUGUGGUACUCCCCAACUACAUUUUCCAGUCGUUCUGCUUGCUUGUUGGCCUGGGAAAUAAUCAACCAUAUACUCAUAAGCAUCGACCUGAGCAUUAACCCUAGUUUCAGUGCCUUUCAUUACUCUCACAGUUGCGACUAGAGGAUGCUUCAACGUGAUAAAGCCACGGAGUACUCUUGCCUUGAAUAAAUGUGUAGUGUCUUUCGAUACUCAACCACUCUUUUAACCUCACCACCCUUGAAUAGAAGCCCUGCACUUUUAGACCCAUCAACAAGCCUCUCUUCUCUGCUUAUCGGAGAAAACAACCUCAACUGUAGUAUAUCACUAAUUGGUGCCGGUGAUAGCUUUGCAAACUGGUAGGAUAUCUGACAAGGAGAACAGGUGGGAAGUCGCGCUGAUUGGAGAAGAGGGUCCUAGUUAUCUUUGAAAAUCUUCCCAAAUGAGAUCGAUUGAUAAUCUAACCCAUACAGUGCCCAUUGAUCCAGCUUGAGAACCUUGGCCAAAGAUACUUGGGAAUAGACUCCAACAUAGGGCACAAUUCCAGAUCGAGUGCGUCAAAUAAGAGUAACAAGAAUGAACAACAUCUAGGCCGAGAGAGAAUAAAAAAAAGUAAAUAGGCAAUAUAAAAAUGAAGGAAAAGCUAGAUCUGAUGCUCCCUCAAUGAGCCUAGACUAGUGGGAAAAAAGGCUUAGCAAAUUCAAACAAGAAGAUGGCAACAAAUAUCUUCAUAUAAAUCACCAUGAAACAGAGCUUCACUAGAUUCAAACAAAUAUUCAAAAGAAUAGUGAAUGAAGCAAUCAAUGAGCAUAUAAACAAGCCAGAAAUCGACACAACUCAGGUAUAACUUCUGUUAUUCAUAACUAAGCAUACAAACGGAACCCCAAACAACUAGAUGAGAAAGAGAAAACCAGUGGUAGUCAAAAUAAAGCAGAAGAUACGCGAUGACCUUACCUGAAUGCUCCCUCAAGCAAAAAUAGUUGGAUAUCCCAACACCUCCACCUCUCUCUGGUUUUCUGGUCCUCUCAGCAACUCUAUGCUCCUCUGUUCUCAACUUCUUUCAGGAAGAAUACCCCCAUGUGACUUGUUUUUCUUCAGCUCAAGAACCCUCACAUCUCCUCCCUCCCUCCAGCAAAAAGCCCCCCAGAAAAAGAAAAGUCCCCCCUCAAAUGAAUACCCUUUCUCCCUCUUUAGCUUCCCUUCAAGUAAAAGCAAUACCUUCUUCCCAACAAGAGCAACUUCCUUCUCUAAUAACCAAUACUCUCUUCUCUCCCAGAUUUGCCCCCCAAAAAUAUCUCCUAACCAACCUCAAAAGCAACCCUAUUCUGCCAUAAUAUCCUCUCUCUCAUCCGCUCCUCUUCUACAGCAGCGAAAACACCACCUCCCAAAUAACGGCCUGCAGCCUUUUUCCAAAAACUUCUUUACACGUGUCAACCUCUUGUUUGCUCCUUGAUUCCACUACUUGAUGCCAUGGCAACCAAACGGGAAUCGACAUGUGGCUAUUCACAACUGCAACACCUAGCAAAAAGAGCUGCGAAAAAAUGCAUGAAAGUGAGGCCCUAAAAUGAGGGUCUACAAUAUAUAUAUAUAUAUAUAUAUAUUUAACCAAACAGUAGUUAUAAAGUCAACACCCUCCAAGAAAUAAAAUCUAAAUUGGUUCUAGAUAAAAAAAAAAAAAAAGUAACUACUUUUUAUUGGUUUAGGUAUAUUAUUGGUUUGCAUAUACUUUUUAUUUUUUAUUUUUUAUUUUUUAUUUUUUAAAAAAUAGAAAAUGACAAUUAACUACUUAUGUAAAAUGUAAGAAUCUUUAUAUUAAAAAAUAGUGACUUUUAAGAAAUGUUUAAAAAUUUUAAGGUAUUAAAAAAUAUUUACUAUCUCAAAUUUAAAAAGUUUUUAAAAUAAUUUUAAAUCCAUACUCUUUUAUAUAAAAGUUACUAUCAUUUAAAUAAUUUUAAAAAUAUUUACUAGUGCAGUGUUGAGUUAAUUUUAGAGCUAGGUUUUAAGGGAGUCAGUAUGUACUUAUGGGUCCUAAUGGUAUUUUCUUGAGCUCACAUUCUUUGUUGGCACGAAGGGUUGAGAGAAAUAAGAGAUUUUAUCAUAUGCAUGCAUAAAAACAUUUUAGUAAAAAUGAAAGCUUACAUAAGAAUUAAUGAUUAUUUAGUUUAAGUUUUUCUAGAUAUUAGGUUACUUAAUUAAAUGGAGCCUAAUAUAGAUAAUUAAUAAGUUAGGACCUUGUGAGCUAAAAUAAUUAACUCAAGCCCAACUUAGGCCAAAGUCAGUUAAGCCCACAAGAGUGGCUAUAUAAAACCCCUUAGAAUGUAGGAUUAGUCAAUCCAUCCACUCGAUUCUUCCAAAAAGAGAACCUUAGCCUUCAUCUCUCUUCCUCUGAGUGUGUAACCACUCUAUUCAUGUGCCAAGGAUGGAAGACAAAACCAUCGAGUGGAAAAUCCUUUGAUUUUGGGAUCAUUUUUAUCGGUUGGAUUGGAUUUAGGAAUAUUCAAAUUAAAGGUAAAGUUUGUUUUUGAGGCCCUAGAUCUAAGCUUUUGUUGUCUUUAGAAUCCUAAGGAUAGUAGGUGCACUCACAAAUAAAAAUAAAAAUAAUAAAUGUACAAAUUAAGGGUUUGGUGGUGUUUUUUAAAAUUUGUUUUCAAAAUAAUUUUUUUUUUUAAAAUAAGAGUGGUUGACAAGAUGUUUUAAAAAAGUUUUUUAAAAAAAUAAAAAAUAAAAAACUUGUUUGAAUGAAAGAAUUUGUAUUAUUUUUAAAAGCAAUGUCUUACUUUUAAUUUAUAAAAAUUUUAUAAAUUUAAUUUAAAAUAAUAUGAAAUCAAAUUCAAGUUAAAUCUUAUUAAAAAAUAAAAAUUAAAUCUACAAUUAUGAAUGAAUUAAAAAUAAAUAAUUUUUUUUAAUUAUGAAACAAUUUUUUUUAUUAUAGUGAAACAAAAAUUAUUAUAGGAUAAAAAUAAUUUUAAUAUUCAUUUUCAAUACAAGUCAAACAAGUAUUUUAAUUAAUUAAUUAUAUAUUUUUUAAAUUUCUUGUUUGAUCAUGCUUUCUUAUGUUUUUUUUUUUUUUGAGAAAUUGUUUUUAAAUUAAAGAACCAAAUUUUUUUUUAAAUGUUUUAUAAAAAUAAAGAUAUUUGACAAGUUGUUUUUAUAAAAGGAUUUUAAAAAUAAAAAACAAAAAGACUUGUUUGGAUAAUUUUUUUUAAAUUUGUUUUGAUUUUGUAAAAAUAUUUUAAAUUCAAUUUAUAUAAUAUUAAUUAAUUAAAUUUAAUUGAAGUGUUAUUGAAAAUGAAAAUAAUUUUGUAAUUACAAAUAAAUUAAAAAAUAUAUAGUUUUUAGUAAAAUAAAAUAGUAAUAUUAUAAUAAAAUUAUAAAUUAUAUUUUUAAUUGAAAAUAUAUUAUUUUAUUAUAAGUUAGAAAAAAUGAUAUUUUAUUAUAUUAACAAAUUUAUGGUAUUAAUGAGUUUAUUAUUUAAGUUUUAAAUUGUUUUUAAAAAUUAACGGAGUUGUUAACAAAUUCAACGCUUUAAUUGUGUUUGUUUUUAUGGUUGAAUAGAAAAAGUCAAAAUAUUUGACUUUUUCUAUUCAACUAAAAGUACUUUGUUGAUAUUAAUCAAUAAGUUUAGUUUAAUAAUAUUAGUUGAUGUCUAUUAAUUAUUUUUAAUUAAAUAAAAAUGGUUAAAAUAUUUUUAUUUUUUUUUAUUUAGUCAAAAACCAAAUAUCACCUUUUAAUUUGGAGUUAAUUUGUGAAAAAAAUUAACUAUUUCAAAAAAAAAAAUUUAAAUUAAUUUCUGUUUUUAAAAACAGAAAACUAUUUUUAAAAACUCAGGUUAUAAGAUUUUUAUUGAAUUCGCUAUGAUCCAUUCAUAUGGUACUAAAAAUAAAAUGAUUAAAAUGAUAUAAUUAGUCAAGUAAAAAAACUUGCCACGUCAACAAAUCGUAGUAGUAGCACGCAAGAAGAAGGGUAAUUUAGUAAAUCAAGUUACCAUCACCUCUGCCGAUUCCCUGCUGUUUGAUUCAGCCUCUCCAGAGCCCAGACAACUGAACCCAAUUAGUGUUUGUGAUUUCAUCCUCAAGAACCUUCCCUUUUUCAAUCGGCCACCUUUUCUUGCCUUCCAAACAAGCCUUUUUAUUCCUUUUAGACAGAAAACUUGGCACUAACAGCAAGGAGCCACUCCACGGGGAUUGGACUCCAUUUAUUUCAGUUUCGAACAAUCGCCUAUCCUCGGAUUCGCUAUUUCAGCUUGGAGAGUGUUUCCGGAUAGAGAGCUGAGAGGGAGGAGACUGGGGGUUUAUGGUGAUCAGGUCUGAUGAAUCAACUGUUUUGACUAAUCAUUCCACUGUUCAGAUUUCUUGAUUACCUGGUUUCCUUGUCUAACUGUUUCAACCUGUUGACGAUGCUCGACUCUUUGUUUCUCGACGUUACUCCGCCGGUGCAUGCACUGUGUUUCCUUUCUGAAUAUAAAGUUCUGAAUGGAAAUUUUGAGGAAAUUAGGGUUUCCAAUGAUGAGAUUGGAUCUGUAACUGUUGGAACCUAUGGUCAAAAUCUUGAAUUGCUAUUUCGGGAUACCCUAAUUCCCUGUUUUCGGUAUAAAGAUAAAGAUAAAGAUUUUCAGUUCAGUUUCAAAGCAAAGGUCUACAUUUAAUCUCUGUUUUGAUCUUCUUUAGCUAUGGAUGUUGACGAGCAUGGUAACAAACGGGUGUUUCAACGACUUGGGGCUUCGAAUGAUAGUGGCAAACAACAAAAGGUUUGUUACCGUUGGAGGGCAGGCAGGUGCAACAAGUUCCCCUGUCCGUACCUACACAGAGAAUUACCAGCUCCUCCUCCCGAACAAUACCAACCAUUCAUAAGCAAUGGAUCAUCGUCCAAACGGCCGAAUCAAGGAGUACAUGACGAUCGCAGCUUUUCUGGUGCACGAAGAAGCCCUAAUUUAAUCCUGCGUGGGGGCGAGUUCAUGGCGGUGGUGCAGGCAAUAGAGCUCCAGGUAGUGGCGCGGGCAAUAGAGAUUGAGAAGCUUUGUAAUUAUUGGCUUCAAGGAAAUUGUAGUUAUGGGGAUAAGUGCAAUUUUUUGCAUUCUUGGAGUAUUGGUGAUUGUUUCUCGAGUUUGACACUGCUUGAAGGGCAUUAGAAAGUAAUCAAUUUGUUUGAAUUUUGGUUAUAUUUGGAGUUCUUGUGCAUUUGAAUGGAUGGGCUGAUCGAGGUUUAGUGGACAGGUCGUCAGUGGGAUUGCUUAGCCAUCUGGGUCUGAUAAGCUAUAUACUGGUAGCAAAGAUGAGACUGUGAGGAUUUGGGACCGUCAAUCUGGUCAGGUUGUUAUUAUUAUUAUUUGUUUUUGUGGUGAAUUGGUGUUUUUACUGUUUAUUUCUUAAUGCUUUGGUUAGUUGCUGGAAAAGCGGAGGAAUACAUAAGAAAACAUGCCUUGGAAUUGGUAUAUGAUGAUAUUUAGAAUUAAAAAAAAUUAAAGCACUAUUAUAUUUAUUUUUACACCGACUAACAAUUUUUAAUAAUGUUAUAUCUUAAAAAUAAUUUACACCAAGCAAUAUUUUUAAUAACAAUUUAUACACCAAGAAUAAAUAAUGUUUUCUAUCCAAAAAAGAGCAGAACAUGUGUUUGGCAGUGCAUUUCAUAAAGUUGCUUGCACUUUCAUUUGAGGUGACAGUGUGAAACAACAUGAGAUGAUGUAUUUGGAAAAUGGUGUUUUCUUUCAACAUUUGACUUUGGAGAAUGAAAGCCAUCAUAAAAAAUGGGUUUUGGGACCUUGAAGUAAAUGGACCUAAAGUUUAGAAUAUUGGAAUUGUAGUUUUUGAGACUUGAGGGGAAAAAAUACCUCCCUUGUCCUAUAGAUAUAUGAAUAUUAUAUUGGUUAGCAUGAAGUUUUAAUUUUGAGUAGUGUUGAAAAUUGAGAAAUUGCAAAGGGGUUUUUUGUGGUCAGGGGGUUAGGGAGUAUAAGCAAGACCAUCUCGUUAGUUGGUACUUAGUGUGUAAGUCUAAGGGGGAAGGGGGAUUAGGGUUUAGGAAGAUUUAUGUAAGGAAUUGUGCUCUAUUAGGGAAACGACUAUGGAGGCUUCCUAAGGAAAGUUUGUUCUUUGGGACACAUGUGAAUGGGUAGGAUGUCAACACUAUAGCUAGGUGGUCACAUCGUUGUCUUUGGAAGGCCAUUGCAUAGGUCUUUCAAGAUUUUUCUAGAUACACUUAGUUGGUGGUGGGGGAUGAGAUAAGAAUUUCUUUUUUGGGAAGACUUGUGGUGGGGGGAUCAACCUUUCUGUUCUUAAUUCCUAGAUCUAUUCAGAAUUGUCACAAUUAAAAACCUUACUAUUUCAUUAGUUCUUGGGUCCACUAAUUCUUUCUCUUGGAAUCUAAACUUACGUCACAAUCUUUUGGAUUUUGAGAUAGAAUAUCUUGAAAGACUCAUGUCCUCUCUUUCACAUUUGCACUUAUCUCCAUCUGGUCCUAUUUGAAAGCUUGAUCCCUAUUUUCUUCAGGUUUAUUUAUGGUAAAGUCGUUCUUUUCAAUCCUAUCCAACCAUAUUGAUCCAAUUCCAUUAUUCCCUAUUGAUUUUGUUUGGAAAUCGCAAGCCUCAUUUAAGGUCAAAUCUUUUGCUCGGUUAGUGGCACUCAAGAAGGUAAACACUAAUGACAAGCUACAACUAAGAAGAUCCUGCAAAGUCCUUAGUCCUGAUGUUUGUUUGUUGUGUAUGGAGAAUGGUGAAAUGAUAGAUCAUAUCUUCUUAUAUUGUCCAUUGAGUUUAGGACUAUGGCAUAGACUAUUCAACUUGGCUCAUAUGGAUUGGUUUCCUCUUAGGAGUAUUGUGACAUGAUGAUUGUCUCAUAUAAGGGAUUGAGAAAUACCAGUAGAGGCAAGGUGUUGUGGCAGUUCACUUGUCUUGCUUUGAUGUGGGUUAUGUGGCGGGAAAGAAAUGCUAUGAUUUUUUAGGACAAGGUGAGAACUUUAGAGGGUCUUUGGGAGAUAAUUUAUUUCUUAGCCUCAUUUUGGGAUUCUUGCACCACAACUUUUAAGGGUAUUCCCCUUAAUUUGAUCCAACUUGAUUAGAUGUUGGUGUGUAGUUCCAAGGGUGUGGGCUAGCAAGGAUAGAUUAUUUUUGUGUAUUCCCACAUGGGACAUGGUUUGUGGAACCUCAUUGUCGUAUAGAUUUACUUGAACUGUGGAGGUUCCUACUUUCUUUUUGUGUAGAUUUUGGAGGAUUUCUCAUCUGUCUAUUGUACUUAUUUUACUUAACUUAAUAUACUAUAUUGUUGUUUCUCAUAAAAAAAAGAAUGAAGUUUUAAUUUUUUUUAGCAAUAAAGGAAGUUUUAUGUUUUGUUUUCCUUUCUUUUUUUGUUGGCAAACAAGCUGUCCUUAGUUUUGUAUCUUAUGGCCUUUCUUUGUUUUUUCUUUUCUUUUGUAGUCCACUGGUGUGGUUAAUCUUGGUGGAGAAGUUGGCUGUAUGAUUAGUGAGGGCCCAUGGUUGUUUGUGGGUAUACCAAAUGUUGUUAAGGUGGGUUUGAAUGCAAAAUCUCCUCCCUUUUGCUCUUAUUAUAUAUACUAUAGUAUUAUCACUACCAUUUUUGUUGUUUUUUUGUUUUUUGAUAGGAAACACGAAAGAAUAUAACUAUAGAAAUAAACAGUACUAUUGUUUUUUCUUUUGCUAUCACUACUAUGUUUCAUUGCACCUUGUUCUUAUAGGAUUAGCAACUUGAAUAUAGCAGUACCAAGCAGAUGAUAUCUUGCCUCACUGGACAAUUUAUGAUGAUAUUGCAGGCAUGGCACACUCAAAAUAACACUGAAUUGAGUCUCAGUGGACCCAUUGGACAAGUUUAUGCAUUGGUUUUUGGUAAUGAUUUGCUCUUUGCUGGUGUACAGGUAAUUCUUUUGACUACAAGCCGAUUAUUCUUAUUGUCAUAUAAAUUUCAUGUGUAGGUUCCAUAAUAGGUUAGCCUGCACCAUAUUGAGUCUCUUGGCUUUGGCUUUUAGGUGGUUAAGAAGAACCAUAUGUUUGCAUGGUUCAUGUGAUUUUAAUUUUUAACCAUGUCAUCAAGGGAUAGAAUUGUGAUAAUUGAUGUUUUAUAAGUACUCACUGUUAAGGCAAGUGCAUGCAUUGACAUUUUCAUGAGUAUUUCAUGCACUCUUGAUUUGGGUUGAGUCUGCUUGUGUUGAUCUUUCGAACACCGUGCUCAAGCUCAGCUCUUAGAAAACUUUGAAGGCUUUCCAAGUCUUGAAGGCCUCAAGGAUGCUUUGUCAUUUGAAUCCCCGAAUUGAAUACUUUGUUUGUGCGUUUAGCUUGGAUAUGAUUUUUAGCUUGGGGACAACACUUUGUCGAUGUUGGGCUUUGUGGAUUGGUUAGGCUCUAGGUAGGGCGCGUUUGCUGGUUUUUGUGUUUUCAUGCCUCCUCUUGGGUAUUGUGGCUUCUUUGUAUACAUCAUGUAUACCUUUUUUUCAUGUAUAAUACAUCUUAUUUACCUAUCAAAAAUAAAUAAAUGAUUUUUUGCUUUUCUUUUCUCUGGCUGUACUUUAUUUGUAAACUCAUGCAUGACUUAUUGGUAAGCUUGAGUUGAGGCCUUAGGGCUAGGAUCAAAACCUUUGGCAGUAUUUGUGUUGUAUUUUUGUUAUGGUUGUUGAGCCUUCUUAAUUGGGUAGGCUAGGAGGGCCAGGUUGAUUGGUCUAGUCUGGUCAACCAAGCUGUGCAGCUUGCCUUUCGGGUCAAGUGGGUAGGGUCAACCUGUUUUGGAGCUCUACUGUGCUUUAAAGUGUUAUCAUUAAGACUUAUCAAUUCACAAAGUCCUUUAGACUUGGGGUCUAUCUUAAGGUUAAUGCACUGAAAUUUACUUCGCUUUUUGUGGUGUGGAAGAGGCUUUUUGAGAGACUUGAGCAGUUACUAAUAUUUUGAGAUAGCAAAAUUCCAAUUANNNNNNNNNNNNNNNNNNNNNNNNNNNNNNNNNNNNNNNNNNNNNNNNNNNNNNNNNNNNNNNNNNNNNNNNNNNNNNNNNNNNNNNNNNNNNNNNNNNNUUUGUGGUGUGGAAGAGCUUUUUGAGAGACUUGAGCAGGUUACUAAUAUUUUGAGAUAGCAAAAUUCCAAUUAGAGUCCUCAAAUAUAUUGUUUGAGAAAUUGUUAAGGAAUUCCUUUCUUGCACUGACAAUGGAUUGAUUGGCAACGCUAAAGUUGAAAGAAGCUUAGAGGAGCAUUUCAUGAACUAAAAAGCAAUGAGAGAUUUCAAAAUCUUGAAUGCUUGUUUAGGUUUUUGGGGAGCCUUGGUAGCCAAGUGAGUGUUGCAACAGUGUAGGUGAAUUGGUUAAGAUUCUUGUGUCUUCACUAUUAUCUUUGUGCCUUUUUUUAUAUUCAUAUCUCAAAAUAGUGAAUAAUAUCUUGGUUGUGUUGGUGUUUUCUCAUCGUUGUAAAACUGAUGAAUACUUGCAAGGUAUUUGAUAAAAUUUCUUAAGGAGAAGAUCUUUGAUAAAUUGAUGAAAUACAUAAUUUGCUAAAGAAUUUGGAAAAUCCAUUCUCCUCUAGAAAAUUAUUUUUAUUUUUGAUGGGCAAAUUAGAAAUAUAUAACUGAAUCCCCCCUUGGUCAUUCUUGAGUAUAACUGGGAUAGUUUCACUUAUUGUGCCAAUGUGAUAUAGUUUGGUUUGCAGUUAUAUGAUGUAUGCUCUAAAAUUAUGAUGAUCAUGAACACAUUCAAUUUUUGGCUGGCUCUUAGGUUGAAACACGGGGAAUAAAAUUGUUGCCUGUUUACGUCCACUGGAUUCACUCCAUCCCUCACAUUCCCCUUGCUCUCAUGAAAACAUGCUCAUACACAAAAGCAGGAAUAACCACAAGGAAGAAUAAUGUGGUGUUUGUUUUUUUACUUAAUUCUAAGAGAAAGUUACGCUAUGUUAAUAAGUAAAUUAGUUGUGAAUAUAACCUAAAAUUUGAUUAUCUAAUCCUUAAAAUAGUUUGAUAAGUUUCAUAAGUUACAAUUAAGUUUUUGGAGGUAAAAUAUAUUUGGAUUUAAAAUUAGAGUAGUUGGAAAUUGAUGUAAAUCCUAAUUGGGGAGUAUUGUUACAUUUACAUGUGAAUUGUAUUCAUUUACUUAUCACAAGACCGUUAAUGCAUCCAUUAUUGCAUGUGAUUUGGCUUGUUUUUUGAAAAUUUUUGAAGGAGAAAAAUAUAAAUUCUAAAAAAUUUCUGAGGGAGAAUCAUUCUAAUCAAUUCAUUUCAAGUUGUAAAAAACACUUAUUCACAUGUAUGCUACCCAACCAUUGUCCACAUGGGAGACCAAGGCUUGAUUUUUGGGUUCUCCUUUCCUUUCAUUUUGUAAGAGUGUAGACCAAAUUUUGUGAGUGUUGGCCCUUUGUUCACCAGUCAAAUAUCAAGGUAAAAUCUUCCAAAAUCCUGAUAAACCCUAAACCUAAGGGUGGUGGAAAAAUCAUAGAAAAUGCUGACAAACCCAAAAUAAACCUAAAAGUAGUAAAAAAUGUUGAAAAACAUACUUAAUUCCUAUCUAUGUUGAAAAACAUACUUAAUUCCUAUCUAUAUAUCAUGUCGAGGUUCACAAAUACAUAAUAUUUCUUUGAAAUAUCAUUAAAUAUUAACAAUACUUUCGUUCUUGAUGAUGAUCACUUUUAAGGAGAAAGUUGAUUAAAGUUGAUUAAAGUUGAAAUUAAAGCAUAGAGGAAAACUAUGGUUUCGAAAAAGGCAAACUCUUUGGUUUACCAUUAAUAAAAGGUUCAACCAUGAUGGAGCAUUGUGAUAAAAAAAAAUAAGGAUUCCUAUGGUUGAGUUAGAUUGUGUUGAGUUUGCUUAUCGACAAAGUGAGACAAAAUAUGAUAUUAAUAAUAUAAUUAUUGAUUGUUUAUUUAAAAGAGUGUAAACGUGCUACAAGAUGCAUUUGAUAUGUGAGAAUAUGAAUGAAAAUAGUAUAAAACUAGAGGUGAAUCAUAAUCUAAAUGUAAUAAUGAACAAAAAUGGAAUUGAUUUCCUAUUCCAACAUUCAAAACGUAACCUUAAUGUAAUGCAAAAUAACUUGAUCCAUUUUCCUUCUAAUUUUUGUAUGUAAUGUACUUGUUCUCUAAAUAGUGUAGAAACUAAAGUUUUUUGUAUUCAUUUCUAAGAGCUAUGUAAUAUACUUGUGUUCUAAAUAGUGUAGAAAAUAAUUUUUUUUUUUGGAACCAUUUCGAAGAGCAAAGAAAUGACAAAUUUACACUGUACUAUGGUUUUUGAAAAGAUGGUUGAUCAUAAAGAGAAUUAAAUACAAGUUUUUAAUGAUAAAAGGUUUUGAGUUCCCUAGUACAAGUCGUGUUGUUGUUUGUAAGUAAUGUGGUUUUCUAGACUGAUAAGUGAUGGAAUUAUAGCUCUUAUAAUAUUAAUAAAGUAUUUUUAAUUUAUUUUUUAAACCAUGAUACUUGGAGAAAAAUGUAGGCUUAUGUUCAAAGUUGCAAAAAUAGAAAGCUAAUCAUUGAAGAUGGGAUGGGAGUGGUAACUACAAGAUUACCAUAUGUACAUCCAAUGGCUCAUGAAAGGCUUAUAACUUGUGCAUGACUGAACAACAAGAUGAUCAUAAGUACGAAAGUCAUUCAAGUAACAAAUAAUACUCGAGUUUGUCUUUAGGGCUGAAUCUAACAACUCAUUGUGGGCUCAUCCCAUCAAGGAGAGUUGACUGGCCUAGUCCAUAACCAUUUAGGUUCUUGGUCAAUGUUUAAACCUAUCCAUUACCCUCAUUUUCUUGCUCAAUUGCCUUUGAUAGGUGAAAGUAAGAGGAAAAAGUUGGUGUGGGAUAUGUGGCAUUAUAAGGGAAGCACUACCAAGAUGAUUAUAGGCUUUAUGCUUAUCAAUUGAAGAGAGGGAGAUGAGAGAAAAGGGGAAGGAGGGGGAGAGAGAGAGAGGGGGGAUACUAGUUCUUUUAGGUAAAUGCUCAAUAUUCAAGUAGGCCGACAAAGUCGAUCAUGAUCAAGUGCUUUUUGGGUCAUCUCAGACCUUACGGUUGACGUUUAUCCCUAAAAUAUUUCAAGUUGUUUUUUUUCAUAGAAAGGAUUUACUUGUUACUAAUAUUGUCUAACCUCUAUUCUUCUUUAGAUCUCUUGUUUUACUUCGAUAAUAUCAUAAAUUGGGUCAAUAGAGAGGAAAUUAAUGCAUUUCCAUACUAUUAAGUAAGUGAAAUAGAUCUUAUUCCUAUCUCCUCUUUUUCUCUCGCCUUUCUUAUGUCAUUAUUCCCAGGUCAUCCAUUAAAAACAUCUAAUGUCAUUUGGGUUAUGCAAUUCCGAUAAACCUCUUAUUUAUUUUUUCUCCUUUCUUCUUUUACUUUAACUUCAAGUGCAAGGGUCAUUUCCAAUUGGGGGUGUCAACUUCAUAGUGAGCCCUUUUAUUACUUGUAGGGACCCUUAUCUCUUCAUGUUGUUGCUUUUGAUAGUGUUUGCUUCCCUUUUUUUGCUCUCCUUUUGCUUCCUUACGCUUCCUUUUGGGUGUUGUUUGUUUAUUUAUUUAUUUAUUUUUAAUUCUUUUAUUCUUUUUUGUUUUUAAUAAUGGCCUCUAUCAUUGUUUGUGCCUUAUUUCAAACUUUAAUAUGUAUUAUGUCAUUGGAACAAUGAUGUAGUGUCAAAGAUUGCCAAGGUUAGGGUUGAUCAUUUUGACACAACUCAUACACAACAUGAAUUUUAGGGCAACUUUUAUUUUAGUCCCUCAAGUUUAUCUUCUUCUUCAUUUCUUUUUUCUUUUUCUUUUGUUUUUAUUCUCACCAAAUGAUUCAAAUGUCACUUAAAUUAAUGUACUCUUUCUUUUAUGAUUGAUAUACUUUUUUUUUUCUCCUCUUUGGAUUGGAUAUGCGAAUUGCAAUGUUUAGGGUUUGAUUUAGAACUUUAAGGUUUUAUUUGGGUAGUGUAUUUAAUUAAUAUUUUGGGAAGUGUAUUAAUAGAUUUUAUAAAAUGGGUACUAACUAAUAUUAGUUGUAAAAAAUAUUAUCAUUUAAUAUUAUUUAGUAAUUUUAAUUAGUGAUAAUAUAAGAUUAAUUUAAAUUAAAAUUAAUUAGGUUUUAUAUAUAAAAUUUGAAGAAAUUUAAUUUAUAACAUUAUUUUAGAAAGUGUACGAAGAUUAAAAAGAAAUUUUAGAAAAUGUAUAAAGAUUUAUUAAAAGCAGUUUAUUUUUAAUUAUUUUGUGGGAUAAGCAAGUUAUAUUCAAUCCAUAGCACAAGAAAAGGGAAAAGCAGCAAAGAACUUGACAAGGCCAUGAGCUGCUUCUAAGCCAUGAAAUUUUUUACGAGGCCAAACAAGGCCUUAGCUUUGGAGGAAUCAAAGAGCUCUAUCACAUGGUAAUCUCCUCUCACGAACUCUGCUUCCACCUCUACCCCAUUUGCCUUUAACAUAUCGACGAACUCCACCUGGCGGUCAUGCAACAAAUCUCCCUCACAGCCCGUCACCAACAACUUCCACCCCACCCGUCCGAUCUUUGAACAGUGUUCUGAGGCUUUCUUAGCCAUCGGAUUGCUAUACUCGUGAUCGCGGUCAACGCCCUCUGGCAGUGAUAAUUGCCACGCCAGAUCAGUAGCACAUAGAGGCAGUACACCGUUUUUUUCCAACCUCACCUCUGACCCAGUUCUCUGGAUCCCACCAAAAAAUGGAUGGUGCAAGAUAAGCCCUCCGAUCUUCAACGGCUCAAGAUCUCCUACUGAAUCCGCCACGCGUAUGCCCGUGAAGUACGCUAGGUUUGCUCCCGCACUGCUACCCAUGAGAAAACACCGCGACACGUCAGCAUGCUCUGACACCCAAACCUCUCCGCUGCUCUUGAUCCAGUGCAGCGCCUCCACUCCGUCCUCGUAGGCUGCCGGAAGCCGAUGCUCAGGCGCCAGCCUGUACUCCACGGAGACGACGACGGCACCGAUCUCCGCUGCCAUGUGAGCGCAGUGAUCAUGAAAAACGGUGUCAGCGGCGCUGCAGAUCACGAAACCGCCGCCGUGGAAGUAAACGAUGAGGGGCAGCUUUCUUGCAGCUCCAGCAGCAGGAGGGGAAGUAUCCCGUUCUUCUCGGGGCAGGAAAACCCUGACCCAAAUGUUCUUAUCUGGGUUGAUGGUAACAUCUUUGGAGAGCACUGGGAUGCGGGUAGUGUGAUCAGGUGAUGCAGCGGUAGUCGGUAAGAUGAUGGGCCUGGUGACGGAGCCGUCGGGGUUGUUGAUCAUCUUGAGAUAGUCAUUGAAGUUGACGGUGGGUUUAGGUAUUGCAGGGUAAUCUGACAUGUUGAUCGCUGUAAUAUUUAUGGUGGUCUGGUCAUGAGUGCAAGUAUAGUCACUACUAGAUAUUUAUACCGAAGAGUAAAGGGGAGACUGGAUAGUUCUGAUAAGGAUACAAUCAAGUUGAGAAAGUCAAGGGAGAAAAUCAAGGGAUUUUCAAGUUUGAAUAUUUUGGAAUAUUUGUAGUUAUACCAUUUAUUUGUAUAGUUACUCAAUUUAUUUUGUUUCCUAUUUCUUUGUAAUAAGUUUCCUAUUUUCGUGCUCAUGCAAUCUGUAUAUAUACUAACCAUAUCAAUGAGAAUCACAAGCAAUAAUUCUUCAAUUUCUCUCUUCCAAAAAACCUUUAAGUUCCACUUGGAAUACCAUAGCUUAUCACCUCCACGUCCCUCUUAGAAAAGUUUUACUUCCAAGUCGGAUUUUUGAUUAGAAUACCAAAGUUUUAAAAAAUAAUUCCAAAUUUAUCAUAAUUUGCAUGACUAUCAUACCAUGUUUCAUAUAUCUUCUUAAUUCAUUCUAAAUUUUAUUAAUUAUUUGGCAAGAUGUCUUAAAUAAUAUUGUAAAAUUUCAAAUUAAAAGUAGGGAAAAUUACCCAAUAGGGUGGGAUGGGUCGAUGAUUAGAAAUUGUGGUCUCUUCUAAUAAUUCUUGAUGAUGACUUUAAUAAGCUUAAAUACCAAAACUGUCUUUCAACUAAAACUUUUAAAAUUCAAAGUAUUUAAAUUUGUUAUGACAUUUAUAGUGCAUGGGUCCCACAUUUAUUCUAAUUAUUGAUAUUCAAAUUUUAAAUCAAAAUUUUGAAUUUAACCCUUAUAAUUAUAUAUAAUUUUUUAUUUAAAUUUAUUAUUUAAAACAAAAAUACUUUUAAAAAAUAUUUUCAAAAUAUCAUUUAUUGUUUUUUUUUACAUUUUUUUUAUUUUUAUUCUAAUUUUUAAUUUUAUUAAGAAAAAAAUAAGUUUUAUAAUUAUAUAAUAAAAAUGAUGCUUUAUAUAUAUAUAUANNNNNNNNNNNNNNNNNNNNNNNNNNNNNNNNNNNNNNNNNNNNNNNNNNNNNNNNNNNNNNNNNNNNNNNNNNNNNNNNNNNNNNNNNNNNNNNNNNNNNNNNNNNNNNNNNNNNNNNNNNNNNNNNNNNNNNNNNNNNNNNNNNNNNNNNNNNNNNNNNNNNNNNNNNNNNNNNNNNNNNNNNNNNNNNNNNNNNNNNNNNNNNNNNNNNNNNNNNNNNNNNNNNNNNNNNNNNNNNNNNNNNNNNNNNNNNNNNNNNNNNNNNNNNNNNNNNNNNNNNNNNNNNNNNNNNNNNNNNNNNNNNNNNNNNNNNNNNNNNNNNNNNNNNNNNNNNNNNNNNNNNNNNNNNNNNNNNNNNNNNNNNNNNNNNNNNNNNNNNNNNNNNNNNNNNNNNNNNNNNNNNNNNNNNNNNNNNNNNNNNNNNNNNNNNNNNNNNNNNNNNNNNNNNNNNNNNNNNNNNNNNNNNNNNNNNNNNNNNNNNNNNNNNNNNNNNNNNNNNAAAUUUACUUCAUAACUUAUACACUUAAUUCUUUAAUAAUAGCCCUAACAUUGAUUAUCUGUGUACCAUGCAGUGGUGAUUGUGGCAUGUUUGUUAUCAAAUAUGCUGAAUACUUAAUGCACAACCAUCCAUUGAAGUCAUUAACAAGUGCACGAAUGGACUGGUUUCGGGAAAAGAUGGCAGCAGAGUUAUUUUAUAUGAAAUACUUGCCUAUGUAAUGAAUUCAUGUUGAUAUUUCACAUUUUGAUAAUGUAGUUGGAUGGUUUGUUAUAUGUAAUUGGAUAGCUUCAUAUAUGUAGUUAGACAUUUUGAUAAAUGUAGUUGGACAGGUUGAUAUAUCUACUUGGAUAUUUUGAUGAAUGUUGUUCGAUAGUUAUGUAUACAAUUGACCUUUUAAACUAAACUUCAAUGUUGUCAAGUUGUUAUGUGUACAAACUUGAAGGUAAUUAAGUCCACAGUCUUAAUAGAACACAUGAACUUAACUACUAUCAAGUUAACUGUGAACAAACUUGAUAGAUGUUAAGUCGAAAUCUAUUCCAGAAUAACAUAUUUAAUUUGGACUUAACAGGUAUCAAGUUGAUCUUCUAUAGACUCAUAAGAAGUUGUGUCUGCAAUUGCCAUUUUUACCUGAACUUAACUAUUGUUAAGUUAUUUUAUGAACAAACUUGAAGGUAGUUAAGUUCACAGUCUUCAGACAAAAACUGAACUUAACUAUUGUCAAGUUGUUUUAUGAACAAACUUGAAGGUAGUUAAGUUCACAGUCUUCAGACAAAACCUGAACUUAACUAUUGUUAAGUUAUUUUAUGAACAAACUUGAAGGUAGUUAAGUUCACAGUCUUCAGACAAAAACUGAACUUAACUAUUGUCACGUUGUUUUAUGAACAAACUUGAAGGUAGUUAAGUUCACAGUCUUCAGACAAAACCUGAACUUAACUAUUGUUAAGUUAUUUUAUGAACAAACUUGAAGGUAGUUAAGUUCACAGUCUUCAGACAAAAACUGAACUUAACUAUUGUCACGUUGUUUUAUGAACAAACUUGAAGGUAGUUAAGUUCACAGUCUUCAGACAAAACCUGAACUUAACUGUCCACAGUCUUCAGACAAAACCUGAACUUAACUAUUGUCAAGUUAUUUUAUGAACAAACUUGAAGGUAGUUAAGUCCACAGUCUUCAGACAAAACCUAAACUUAACUAUUGUCAAGUUGUUUUAUGUAUAAACUUGAAGGUAGUUAAGUCCACAGUCUUUAGACAAAUCCUGAACUUAACUAUUGUCAAGUUGUUUUAUGUACCAACUUGAAGGCAGUUAAGUCAACGGUCUUUAGACAAAACUUGAACUUAACCAUUGUCAAGUUGUUUUAUGUACAAACUUGAAGGUAGUUAAGUCUACAGUCUUCAGACAAAACCUGAACUUAACUAUUGUCAAGUUCCUUAUCAAUAAACGUGAGAACAAUUGAGUCCAUAGUUUGAGAAUAAACAUGUAAUUUUCAUUUAUACUUUAUACAUAACUCAUCAUAACAUAUAUAGACAAAAGUAACAAACAUCUCCAUUUAUAUGGUUAUGCAAAAAAAAAGGGAUCAUUAUUACAAUAUUCAUCUAUGUGCUUAUCCUAUCACCUUAUACAAAAAAGUAACUUACAUUUCUGUUCACAUGGGUACCAAAAAAACAAAAAAGCUCACUAUUACAAUUUUCAUUCCAUGUAAGUUCAUAGAGUGCCAAAGCUAUCAUGAUAUCAAGGGAUUGGUCGUUUGCAUGUUUUCCGAUUAUGCCCAUAUUGACCACAUCGACUACAACAAGAUGUGCGCUUGCCCUCUCCAUCAGAAGGAAUUCUUACUUUCCUUGGUCUUCCUGUUGGGCGUCUUGUUUUAGGUGGUAACACAACUUUGUCACGAAUAUGAUUAGGUACUACCCAAUCUAUUUCAUUUCCAGUUGGAUAAAUACACUCUGAAUAUGAAGAUAACAAUGCUUUAGUAGUAAAAUACUUGGAGCACAAAGUGUAACAUGAAAUGUUGUAAAAUCUACAAGCAGCAAUAGCAUGUGCACAUGGAAUAUGAUCAAGAUCAAAUUGUCGACAUGUGCAUGAACGAGUGUCUAAAUUCACUUGAGCACUAAUGCCAGCAUAGUUAACAUUACACUCUUUGGAGUUGAUAGGUUCCACUAGAUAUGUUGCUGACAUAUUAUACCUAGAACGAAGUUCUCCAUCAGCCCACAUGGUAAGUUCAGUUGACAUUGACAUUGCUUGUUGUUGACGAGUCACAAACCAUUUUUGAAGUAAGUUUCUCAAUUCUUCAACCAAUUGCAAAACCGGAAGAUCUCUAGCAUUUUUCAACACAACAUUAAGGCUUUCAACGAUCCCUGUCGUCAUGAUAUUAUAUCUUUUUCCGGUAGAAUAUGAACGUGUCCAUCGAUCAACACCUAUAUCCAUCAAAUAUCUUGCUGCUCUUGGGUCAAUCAUCUCUAGUUGCCCAAAUAUAAAAUUAAACUCUGAAACACGAUAAGCAUGGGCAGCAUCAUGGAACAACUUAUGAAUUGCAGGAUUCUUGAACUUUGUCUUCAAAUUUUGUCCAACGUGAUAAGUGCAGACACCAUGCCUCGCAUGGGGAAAUACUUUAUGUACUGCUUUCUCAAUGCUACCAUGUCGAUCUGAUAUCACAAACAAAUCAUCAAUGUGUCCAAUUGCAUCAUGUAGUUUUUGUAAAAACCACUCCCAUGANGCAUCAUUUUCUGAAUCACCAAUCCCAAAGGCUNNNNNNNNNNNNNNNNNNNNNNNNNNNNNNNNNNNNNNNNNNNNNNNNNNNNNNNNNNNNNNNNNNNNNNNNNNNNNNNNNNNNNNNNNNNNNNNNNNNNUCAAGUGUUUUAUGAACAAACUUGAAGGUAGUUAAGUUCACAGUCUUCAGACAAAACCUGAACUUAACUAUUGUCAAGUUGUUUUAUGUACAAACUUGAAGGUAGUUAAGUCCACAGUCUUCAGACAAAACCUGAACUUAACUAUUGUCAAGUUCCUUAUCAAUAAACGUGAGAACAGUUGAGUCCAUAGUUUGAGAAUAAACAUGUAAUUUUCAUUUAUACUUUAUACAUAACUCAUCAUAACAUAUAUGUACAAAAGUAACAAAUAUCUCCAUUUCUAUGGUUAUGCAAAAAAAGGGGAUCAUUAUUACAAUAUUCAUCUAUGUGCUUAUCCUAUCACCUUAUACAAAAAAGUAACUUACAUUUCUGUUCACAUGGGUACCAAAAAAACAAAAAAGCUCACUAUUACAAUUUUCAUUCCAUGUAAGUUCAUAGAGUGCCAAAGCUAUCAUGAUAUCAAGGGAUUGGUCGUUUGCAUGUUUUCCGAUUAUGCCCAUAUUGACCACAUCGACUACAACGAGAUGUGCGCUUGCCCUCUCCACCAGAAGGAAUUCUUACUUUCCUUGGUCUUCCUGUUGGGCGUCUUGUUUUAGGUGGUAACACAACUUUAUCACGAAUAUGAUUAGGUACUACCCAAUCUAUUUCAUUUCCAGUUGGAUAAAUACACUCUGAAUAUGAAGAUAACAAUGCUUUAGUAGUAAAAUACUUGGAGCACAAAGUGUAACAUGAAAUGUUGUAAAAUCUACAAGCAGCAAUAACAUGUGCACAUGGAAUAUGAUCAAGAUCAAAUUGUCGACAUGUGCAUGAACGAGUGUCUAAAUUCACUUGAGCACUAAUGCCAGCAUAGUUAACAUUACACUCCUUGGAGUUGAUAGGUUCCACUAGAUAUGUUGCUGACAUAUUAUACCUAGAACGAAAUUCUCCAUCAGCCCACAUGGUAAGUUCAGUUGACAUUGACAUUGCUUGUUGUUGACGAGUCACAAACCAUUUUUGAAGUAAGUUUCUCAAUUCUUCAACCAAUUGCAAAACCGGAAGAUCUCUAGCAUUUUUCAACACAGCAUUAAGGCUUUCAACGAUCCCUGUCGUCAUGAUGUUAUAUCUUUUUUCGGUAGAAUAUGAACGUGCCCAUCGAUCAACACCUAUAUCCAUCAAAUAUCUUGCUGCUCUUGGGUCAAUCAUCUCUAGUUGCCCAAAUAUAAAAUUAAACUCUGAAACACGAUAAGCAUGGGCAGCAUCAUGGAACAACUUAUGAAUUGCAGGAUUCUUGAACUUUGUCUUCAAAUUUUGUCCAACGUGAUAAGUGCAGACACCAUGCCUCGCAUGGGGAAAUACUUUAUGUACUGCUUUCUCAAUGCUACCAUGUCGAUCUGAUAUCACAAACAAAUCAUCAAUGUGUCCAAUUGCAUCAUGUAGUUUUUGUAAAAACCACUCCCAUGAGGCAUCAUUUUCUGAAUCACCAAUCCCAAAGGCUAAAGGGUAUAUCUGAUUGUUGCCAUCUUUACACGCUGCAAUAAAUAAAGUCCCGAAGUACUUUGCUUUCAAAAAUGUCCCAUCAACUGCAACCACAGGCCUUAUUGAUGUGUGAAACCCAGCAAGAGAUGCACCAAUCGACAUAAAAAAGUAUUUGAAUUGAUUAUCACAAUCAGUAACUAUAUCAGUAAUGGUACCAGAAUUUUUUUGCUCUAAAACAUAGCAAUAGGAUGGUAAAGUGUUAUAAGACUCCUCAGGUGAUCCCUUAAUAGAACCUAGAGCAAGUUCUUUGGCUCUCCAUGCCUUAUCAUAACUGAUUUGAAUGCCCUACUGCUUUCGAAUGUCUGCUACAAUGUCUUUUGGUCGAAAUUCACAACCAAUCCCUUGAUAUGUUUCUCUUAUACUCUCACCAAUCAACCAACUACUUGCAUGUCGAUUGUCACGAGACAUCAUAUCUAACCGACAAGUGUGUGUUGAAUAGAAUUUCAUUAUUUGAAACAUAUUGGAAAUCCCCAACUUGGUAGCACGAACUCGCCACUUGCAUUCUUUAUCAAAACAUUCAACAAGCAAUAACUUAGUAGUGGAUUUAGUUGUUUUGAACUCAAACUUCAUUUUCAGAGCCAUCAUAUACAACUUCCUUUGUAAUUCUUUCUUACUUGAGUAAAUUUGGUGUUUUUCUAGAUGGUCAUCACUAAUUCCACUAACUAUAGGUUGUUGCAUCAUGUUUUGUCUUUCAUUUGCUACAUCUUCGAUUAUAGUGGGAUUGUCAUGAAUGAACCCAUCACUUGUAUCAAUCAUGGUCAAGAUUUCUGCACUCUGAGCUGAACCAGUUCUGAAUGAGCCAAUUUGGGUCACUUGCUUAUCACUAGUAGGGUUAGUACUCAUUCUAUAAUCCUCCUCAUUAAUUGCAGUCUCAUUCAUGUUCCAAUCAUGAACUUUAUACCCUUCAAGUGACUCAUUUUGAAAUCUUGGUCCAUUUUCACCAUCAACAGUAAGAGUUUCAACUGAAUCACAAUGAAUGUGUCUACUUUUAUGCAUCAACAUUGAGUCCCCAUUCAAUUCUUUAUCAAUCUCAGAAGACAUAUGACAUUCGAAAUAAGAAUUGCAAAUUGAUUUCUGAUUGUGAUUAUCAAUUCUCUUUUCAACUGUGAUGCACAAUGGAACAGACAACUUACCAUUUGUACAAUUUAAACCAAUAAAGAAUUUCACAUCCCCAUCAUCAGUUAGUUGUAUAGGACUUGUGGGUAUGUUGGCAUUGAAUACAUACUUCAUUGAAAGAAAACAAUUUGUUGGAUCUAGCUUCAAAAUAUGAUGGACAACCCCUAAUAACUCUUUAUAUGAUAUAGUUUUCGGGAUCUCAAUGCCUUUACCUUUACUUCCUUCGAAAUAGAAAACAUUUCCAUCUCGUACCCAUUCUCCUUCAUAUAAAAGCAUUAUUCUUACUUCAUCAACCACUGAAAUAACAGAAUAAUUCAAUUAGUGGCAUCAACAAACAAUAUUAGAAUAUUUUUUAGUUACAUCAUAGCAUUAGCACCAAUAAGUAGGUAUUAAUUUUAAAAAACUCAUUCAUUAUUAAAUACAUAUUAUUUCAUUACACAUAUUUAUUUUUUUAAUAAACAACAAAUAAAUAACAUUAUUAAUCAUCUUUACUACCUCAAAUAAUACCAAUAAUGAUAUAGAAAUACAAUGUAUAUAGUUAUUAAAUAAAUUCAGACAUUGUAACUCUAAACUAUUUUAAACAAUAAAAAUAUAUUUAUUUACUAAAAGAUUGGUUAUGUUGUAAUUUAUUUAAUGUCAAGGCUAAUUUGCAAAUGAUUCAACUCAAAUUGAGUAUAAUUAAAUACAAUAACAAUAAUAUAAUGUUACUAUAAAAUAACUAUAUACAAUCUUAACUUACUUCAAGUUCAACUUAACACACGUCAAGUUCAACUUAAUAUCCGUAAGGUUUUGAUAUAUAACUAAAAAAGAUAACUUUAUAUAUUAUGUCAAAACCCUAUUAACACAUAUAUUUACAUCUAUAUAAAGCACAAAUAUGCAAACAAUACCAAAACCAUCAUAAAAUUCCAUAAGUUUUAUUACUUACCAUCAUUUGAUUUUUCCAUAUAGACAAUGUUUCUCCACGCUACACUUUUUAAGCUGAUUGUUUCCUUCUUUUAAUCCCUUUUUUCAUGGCUGUAAAUGAUAUUAAAAAAAUUAUAACAAUUUCAAACUUAUUUAAAUAUUUACUACAUCUCAUUAAAUGUUUGAAAAUAUUCAAUAAAUAAAACAUGAAAGAAAAAAAUAUGGAAAAAUAAAAAUAAACGUACACUGUUUAUCCAACCACAACUUAAAGCGCUUUAAGUUGAAGAAAUCUGAAGAGAAACUGUGUGAGACUUGAAGAAAUGCAUUGAAAAGAGAGAAAGAGAAUAACAUGAGAAAAUGAAAAAAAUGAGAAAGUGGCAGAAAUAAUAAAAAGGAGGUGAAUGGAGGGAAAUAAAAUUAGAAUGGGAGGGAAAAAGGAAUUGAUGUAGCUGAGGGGUAUUUUUGUCCAGAUCGGGCCAUUUUGGAGGCUAUUAAAACUGGGGGGUUAAUUUUGCAAUAUUGAGGGAUUUUUGUCCUUUUUGAUCAGGUUUUCCCUAAAUUUUUUUAUUAAAUUUAAUUAUUAAUAAUUUGAUGAUAAUUAGAAUUGGAUUAUUUUAUAGAAAAAUUGAAAUUUUUUUUUAAAAUCACUACCACAUACAAUCUUCCACUUUAUUUAUUUUAUUGGAAGGGAAAAAGGCAGAGAAAUUGACAAGUCCAUAAACUUUCUAAGCCAUGAAAUUUUUUACACGGCCAAACAAGGCCUUAGCUUUGGAGGAAUCAUAGAGCUCUAUCACAUGGCAAUCUCCCCUCACGAACACUGCUUCCACCUCUAUCCCAUUUCCCUUUAACAUAUCAACGAACUCCACCUGGCGGUCAUGCAACAAAUCCCCCUCACAGCCCGCCACCAAAAAUUUCCAUCCCACCCGUCCGAUCUUUGAACAGUGUUCUGAGGCAUUCUUCGCCAUCGGAUUGCUAUACUCGUGAUCACGGUCAACGCCCUCUGGCAGUGCUAAUUCCCACAUCAAAUCAGUAGAACAAAGAGGCAUUACACCGUCAUUUUCCAACCUCACCUCUGACCCACUUCUGUGGAUCCCACCAAAAAAUGGAUGGUGCAAGAUCAGCCCUCUGAUCUUCAACGGUUCAAGAUCUGCAACCGAAUCCGCCAUAUGUAUACCCGCGAAGUACGCUAGGUUUCCUCCAGCGCUGCUUCCCAUGAGAAAACAGCGAGACACGUCAGCAUAUUCCGACACCCAAGCCUCUCCGCUGCUCUUGAUCCACUUCAGCGCCUCCACUCCGUCCUCGUAGGCCGCCGGAAGCCGGUGCUCAGGCGCCAGCCUGUACUCCACGGAGACGACGACGGCACCGAUCUCCGCCGCCAUGAGAGCGCAGAGAUCAUGAAAAAUGGUGGUAGCGGCGCUGCAGAUCACGAAACCGCCGCCGUGGAAAUAAACGAUAAGGGGCAGCUUUCUUGCAGCUCCAGCGGCAGGAGGGGUAGAAUCCCUUGCUUCUCGGGGCAGGAAAACCCUGACCCAAAUGUUCUUAUCUGGGUUGAUGGUGAUAUCUUUGGAGAGCACUGGGAUGUCGGUGGUGUGAUCAGGUGAUGGAGCUGUGGAGGGUAAGGUGACGGGCCUGGUGACGGAGCCGUCGGGGUUGUUGACCAUCUUGAGAUAGUCAUUGAAAUUGGGUACUGCAGGGUGCUCUGGCAUGUUGAUCACUGUAAUAUUUGUGGGUAGUCUGG
rnacentral:lncRNA from 1 species